UCUUCUUUUUCUUUUUUUCUCUAAGUGUUCCUUUUACCAAGCUGCACUUGUCGGCUACACAAUAUUAUGAGGGAAGAGGUACCACUUUGGUUGCAGAAACUUAAUUUCUAUUUUACCAAUUAUAAUAUUUGGGGGAGAAAGACUUGAACAUAUAAAAGCUCCUGUUUAAUGGGGAUAUAUAGCUACAAAAACUAGGGCUUUUUACUUCACACUUUAGUCGAGGGAAGUCUUAUCAGCAACAUAUUUAGGGCUCGUUUGGUUCUAUUUCGAUAGAAAGAACUUCUACUCGUAAGCACUUUUAGUAAAAGUGUUUUUAUUAGAACGUCAAUAUUUUUAUUAAAAAUGGAAGUGUUUCCUAGAGAAGCACCUAGCAAAAGGCACUGGAAAACAAUUCUAAGAGCCAUAAGCAAGCAUUUUAAAAUUUGUUCUCUCAAUAAUGUUGCUAGAGCGCUUUUAAUUGUCAUAAAACGCUUUUAGCUAGCAUUUCUAAAAGCAAUCUCAAAAUACAGUGACUAAAACGCUUUUAAUUUUCAAACACAUUUCAUACUCAUUCUCUACGUAGCCAACAAAUGAAAUCAAUGUCAAAGCAUUUGAAGCUAGGGUUAGAUUAAGUGAACCUUAUAAAGUAAAUGUAUAUUGAAUUGGUCAGUCUUUGGGUGGACCACAUCAUGCCAAUGUAAAUAUUAUGUGCAUCUCCACAAUCAGAAAACAGCUGAAACACUAUGGGAGGCUUGGAAGCACACAAUUGAAAUGAGCCCUAUCAUCUGUUUGUGUACCCUCAUUAAGCUUUUGUCCUGUUUUUUCAACUUUUGGGGGGACGCAUAAAAUAAGUUCAUCUUCAAUUAUAUGGCUAAAUAUAGUCCAAGUUAUAAAUUUAGCCCUCUAAAAUAUUAAUUUUUUAAAGAAUAGUAUAUGGUUAAAUUUUUUCAUAUCCAACCAUGCAUGACUAUAUUUUAGGACCCUUCAUAUUUUAUUAUUUUGAAAAAAACUAUGGUACAACACUCAUACAUUUCACAACUAUGUAUUGUUUAAUUUAACUAAACUACUAUUUAGAGACAAUAUUCCAUAUAUGAUACAUGUACGUUGAUAAGCAUUUAACAAGAUUUCUAAUAAGAUUUUGUGUCUACGUGGCAUGUCUUAUAUUGAAGGAAUCUUAAUAAUUUUUCAGAUAUGAUUUUCAAGUGAUACAUGUCAGUCUGGGAGCAACUAUUCAGAUUUCCGAUUAGAUUUUUGUCAACGUGGCACCUCUUAUCUUCAUCUUCAAAUGUCAAUAAAUGGAGUGUUUUCGACAAUAUCUCACAACUUCAUUUCCUUUCUUUGUAAAUGGAAGGAUUGAUAAUGCCUUCCAUAGACUCUCUGUCUUUUGGUGAGAUGCAUUCUCAAAGCCCCAUACUUUUGGGAUUAGCACCCACAACGCUAUCUUCGGAGACUUUUAUGAAAGCCUUGCAAAGAUGUUCAUCUUCCAUUCGUGACCAUUUUGUCCCUUCAAAGUCCGAGACAUUUUUCAAACAACGUGAAUAACAAAAAACAGUAAAGAAAAUAAAUUUAUAGGAAAUGAUUGGAUGAAAUGAGUGUGGAAAAUUUUUGACAAAAAGAAAAAGUAAAAAGUUGUGAAUAAGUAGAGAAUGUGAUAGAAUUUGUAAGAAAAAGGUGGAAUGAAAUGAGUGAGAAAUUUUUUGAGGUAUUUAUAGACAUUUUUUAAAUUUUUAAAUUUUUUUUUAAAAUAAUAAUAAUAAAGCCAACAAAGGAAAUUUUUUUUUUAAAGGGAUGCAUUUCAAUGGUUCUGACCUCCAACGGUUAUAACCAAAUUUUUAAACGAAAUGAAUAUUUUAAAAGGUUUAAAAUAAUUUUUUUUAAAAAGUAACUCUUCAAUCAAUAGUUCUGACCUCCAACGGUCAAAAUUCAAUUAUAUAUAUAUAUAUUAAACAAAACGAAUAUAAAAACAUUUUAAAAUAUAAAAAAAAUAUAUUGGUUAUUAGAUCUGUAGUUGCGCGAGAUGUUUUAUGCUCUUAUCCACGCAUGAUACUCUUUUUUUGGAAAGCACAUGCACUGGGCCCACAAAAAAAUUUGCCCUAGGCCAAAGCUGUGCUACAAGUAGCCUGGUUGGAGAGCUAAAUGUGGCCCUUCAAAUUUGGCCAAAUUUUUUUUAGUCCAUAACUGGAGAUGAAUUUUGGAUUAUUUUAUGACUAUAUUUGGCCUAUGACCAUGACUGGAGAUGACCGAAGAUUGUAGAUGGUCAAACUAUAGAUAAGCCCUGCAGAUCAUAAGAUUGUAGAUGUUACUGUUCAUCUUGCAUGCUUACUUUAUCAAAGCAGCAACUUCUCUUCUGCAUAUUCUCAAUCCAACUUUUGUUCUUCUUUUCUUGUGUGGUGAUGGGCAGAUUGCAUUUUCUCAAGGCCACAAAAAGAAGAAAAACCCUUUUAAACUUGACCACACAACUCUCAUCUCUCAAAUCAAACCCUGCUGUUCUCUACUGUCGGCAGCAGCAGCACAAUAUUUCCAUUGAAUUCCACGUGGUUUUGAUGAUGCAUUUGAUUGAAAUGAAACGUUUCAAAGCUGACUUUUGUUUGAAUUGAUCCAAUUAGGAUGAUGAAAAUCACAUCAACAAAAGUGGGCAAACCACAAUGCAUAUUAUGCAUGCUUCUGUGUUUAACUUUUUCUCUGAAUAAUGGGAUUUUUGAGGUCCAGGGGGAGAGAAGGGGCUUCAAGAUUUUCACCCUGCCCUACUUUUUUUUUUUCAUCAAAUGACCAACAUUUGUCCUCACCAUCUAAUGAGAAAGGACAGUGGGGGCCUGAUGAAUAUUAAAAUCCAUGGUGUUUUUAGUAUGGGAAUGGGAGGAGAGUGGGGCAGUCAAUUUUGAUGAUGAUCAUGUCAUCCUUCUCAGGUGCUGGGGCAUGUAUGUACCAGUCACCAUCAUCAUGUUAUUCGUGAAUUCAUGUUGCAAUCCAAGAGUUGAUGCUUUUUUUUUUUUUUUAUAAUUGUUAUGAGCUGUUUGGGAUCAAUAAUUUAAAAUUUUAUUUGAAUUUUUUUGGUACCCUUUGGACCAUAAGGCUAAAAUAUAUUAAUACAUCAGAAAUUAUUUGAAAAUGACAGACAUAAUAUGUGAAUAAAUAAAGAGUUAUAAGCUUUUGUGCUUAUUGGGGAAACAGAAAAACUAGCAAACCAUAUGAAGCCUUAGCGUUGAAGCAAAUACCAUUCUAAUCAGGGGACACAGGGUCCAGAAUUUUGGCUCCAAAAACAGGAGUGGGAUCAUUAUUAGCUUAAUAAUUUACCGGUGUGGCCCUAACAUACGCAUGGCAUCCGAGAAUUACAGGUAACAAAUAUCACAGUAAUUAUCAGCUUCAGGUAAAACCAAGAGGAGAAGAUAAUAUGUUUUUUAUUUUUAAUUUUUGAAUUACAACUACAGUUGAGGAUAAGCCAACCAUUCUAAAAAUAUGAGGAAGGCGAUGAUGUAUUACAAAUUUACAACACAUUGUAAUAACUCUCUGCAGAAGAAGAUGCUCAUGAGAAUCGUCGACAAGAAAAACGAGGCAUUACUUACGACUACACAUCUCACAGCAGUAGUAGAUCAGAGGCAAUCAUGUUAUGUACGUAUUCACAUCAAAUGGGCGACGGGGAUGUAAGAAUAUAACACCUGUUAUGAACUCUGUGUAAGCAGGGAAUGUUCGAUUCCUAACAAUAUGUAGAACCCAUUCCAAAUUUUGCAACGUCUGAAAUGGAAGUGGGAGACCGACGUGUAUCAGGCAUUGCAUCAACCUCUAGCUUGGCUCGAAAAGCAUUGGCAUCAGACAUUUGCCUCACAAAACGAUUGAAACGAAUCCAGUUAUGAUAUUCAAACAUCUUCUUGUCCAUCCUCACAAAGUUGAAUGAAAAAGAGGGCUUCUCUAGACCAUAUGAGUAAAACUUUGACAUCCUUACCACCUGUUGAAACGAUUGAUGGUCCAAACUGGUUGUAGAAGUUUCACCUUCUAGGGGUAUAUCACACACCCGAGCAGCUGAGAGCAGCUGUCUGAGAAGGCCUUCUGGGCUACCGACUGGAUUCAUCCGCUGUUCUUCCAGAUCUUGCAAUUCAAAACAUGAGCAGCACAAAGUAAAUCCAUACUUAGCCAACAUGCGAGCAAUUGGUAAAUAUCCAUCUCUUAGUCUAGUAUUGUAAUAGCCAGCUGUUAUCUCUGACGGAUGAGACUGAGUGCGAUAAUGCCAGUGGAUCCCAGCUAUUUUUACUGACGUACUAGCUUCUGUGCCCCGGAAAAUGGUCUCAGCCUCCCUGCAUAUCCUUUCGCCAUGCAGAAGCAGCAUUCCUGAGUACCAUUCAAGAAAAAAAUUACCAUAUGGUGUAGUCCAGGAUCCAUGAUGACUUUUGAAGAAAUCUGUCUGUUCAAGAUUCUGCAUCAAAUUGCCAGCACCAAUAGGGCCCCCAUUUCCCCAUUCAGGCAUCCCAAUGGCUCUUGCGCAUGCAUUGAGAGACGCAAGCAUAUACUGGCCAGGGAAUUGAAGACAAAAUGAAAUCAAUACAGGGACAACUAAUAUAAUUAUCAGGACAAAAGAGUAGCAAACAUGGUCACCAGUGCAGCCUCAUUCGGGCACAGGCAGAAAUCCAACUAUUAGCUAGUAAAUUAGGUUUAAAAUUUCUUCAUACCUUGUCAUAGCACUGAAACUCUCCAAGCUCACGAGAUCGCCAAGUCCAUGUUAGUUUCUGGGUAGGACAAGAAGGGUAUCUUAAUUCACCAGCAGGACCCAUCCCAACUUGAAUGCGCUGUAAGGAGAGAGCAGUUAUUUUUGUUAUUUAGGAUUAUACCAAUAUGACCACAGCCUUAAUGCGCUCAACUAUCGUUUCAUAUAACUUACUGUUAUGACAACACCAAGAAAAGGCCUAAAAGUGUCUCUGAAGUUCCUCAUAAAAUCUGCAUAUGCUUGGAGAGGUGAACGUCCCAGCAAAACAGGAAGCAUAUCACACCCGAGUGAAACGUAUUCCAUAUUUCUUCUUCCAAAUCUGUCAGAAUAUGCUAAAUCUGGAUCUUUAUCAAUCUCGUCAAGUACCCACAGAGGAAGAGGAAUCCUUCAAUGCACGAAGGGAAAAGAUGUAGCUGAGGUAGGUUUUAAACAAGCUAACAGAUAACAUUCAUGAAAAACUUACAGCUAAAAAGUACUAAUGAGAAAGGCUGACAUGAAAUCUUAAAUCAUUAAUGCCACCACUAUGAAAUCACGGUUGGUCAGAUAAUCUAGAAUCUCACAACUCAAUCUCUGAAAAAAUUCACUUUAGAAGUUAUGAAGGAGAUGUUAAGUCAUCAGAUAAAAAGCACAUACUAGAACAUAUUUUGUAAAUGUACAAAAGAUAUGCAUUGGAUACAGGACAAUAUUGACUAAAGUAGAACAUGUAAAAAAACAAAUGAAGUCCUAUAAAAUGUCAGAAUAAAAUAAAGUUCCUCCAUAGUUAGUGAGAACAGGAAAGGCACAUCAAGCCAACGGGUCUUAAUUGCUGCCUUGGAAAUAUAUCUAUAUGUCCCCAAGUAGUAAUUACAUUAUCCAUUAUAAAGAUACUCAAGGCAUACCAGGGGAAUUGCUUAUGAUAUUUAGACUUAAAUGGUAAAUCCCAAUAUUCAAAUCAUUAUUAUAACCUUUUGUUACUUUCUACUUUAGAUCAUCUAUUAUAUGGGAGGCACGUUAUAUAUAAAGAUACCAUAAACUUGCUUUAAAUCAAUGAACCCUUGUAGAUUGGCAAAUGAUUCAUUUUGUAUCCAAAUCUGAAUGACACGAAAAUAAAACUGCGCGACAGAAUUUGAAGUUCUACUCCAUUUACAUUUUUCUAGUUUUUAUUACCAUGAACAACAAAAUACCCUCAAGCCUCAACAACUUAGGUCAAAAAACACGGUCAAGGAAAUGGAACUAAUAAAGGAGUCCAUGAAACCUAUGGAGAACCAAAAUGUCAAGAGUAAACAUGCUUCACUAGCUAUUACAAGACUGGUAAUCAUAGAUCCUAUCUUUGGAUUGCAGGUUCCUAUCUAUAUGUACUUCAAGCCAUUAAGAAACAAUAGAGAAUUCUUUAAACAAGAAAACGCCAAAGUAAAACAAAAGAACCAGUUACAAUAUUUCUUAACCCAAUCCAAAUAAAGAAAACGCAAGACCUAAACUAAUCCAAAAAAGAACAUUCAAAAAAGACCAUUGGUCAAUUUAUUAGAAUCAAAGAUUGAAAUUAAAACCUAAAAGAAUCAAAGAAAACUAACCAAUGAGGGUCCUCCGGCCCAGUGCCACACUGAUGGAACGCCAAGACGGCACGAACCUUCAAUCCGCAGCGUCGAGCCAGAGCGACGAUCUCCAAGUAGCCUUCCCAAUUGUAAAGCAUAGGCUGAUCCCUCUCCACCAGGCCCCACCACACCUCCAUGACUACGCCUUCGACUCCGGCCGCCGCGAGGGCCUUAAGCGACUGAACCAUAGCCCUGGGCCUCCGUAGCAGACCCAGUGGGCCGACGGUGUCCAAAGGUAGCGUGACGAACACCGGGGAUCCUUUCCGACAACGCUGGGGCGAUAAGCCGUGGAAGAGCUCGUACUGAAGUUCACUGUCGUCCGGCUCACCGUUUUCCGGCUCACCGUUGUCCGGCGAGACUGAGCCUCCAGCAUCGGAAGAAGUUGACUUGUUGAACCGAGCGCUGAGGGCGAGUCGGCGAGUGAGUGGGCGAGGCUUGGCUCGGUGAGUGAAAAUGGACGGGAUGCGAGUGAAGGUUGAGGGUGUCUCGGUGCGAGUACGGCAGAAGGAGGCGGAGAAGCUUGGAGCGGACGGAGAUGCGAUCGCCAUUGAAGGAAUCUUGGAGUUCUGGUUAGGGUUUGGGAAAUGGUGGUUUGUGGUUGUUCUGCAGAAGAGAGCGAGGGAGAGAGAGUGGCGGAAAUGGGUUUACGGUGUGGGCGCGGGUGUAUGUGCUCCACUGUCCACAGCCACAGGGCGCGAGAGAGGAGAGAGAGAGAGAGGCUCUCUUCUCUACAAUUAUCGGAUUUUUGGGAGUGGGCUUUUACUAUUCGGUCCCCUUGAUUUUUAUAACUAUAAAAUGGCCCAGGCUGGCUGCUGUGUCGUUUAAUGCCGACUGAGUAUUUUUGACAUUCUAUACGUCGACUGAGUAUUUUUGACAUCUGACGUCGACUGAGUAUUUUUGACAUUUUUAGGUCGCGUCAUCAAAUUUAUUUUUGUUAUAUUAAUUGUUUAAAACCAAUAAACAAAUGUAUCGAAAAAUAUCUCAUUGAUGUGAAGGGAGAGAAUGAUGGUUUUACCCAAUUUGUUUUGUGUAUUAAUGCGUAUGAUAUAUUUUCGCAGGUCUGAAUGUGUAUAAUAUACUUCUACUAACGUUUUGUUUUUUCUAAAGAGAAUCGAACCUAGUACCCGAACCCGGACCUAUUCUGCCACCUGGGCUAACCCCAAGGACUAUACAAAGCAGACAAAAGCACCUUGCCAAACCAAGGGAGGCAUGAGAAUUGGGUAAGAAGACAUUACUCAUAAAUAUACAAGAACAAAUAAAAGGAUUAAUAUCAUAAGACGAUUUAAUAGAUUUAAUUAAAUCUUAUGUUUGACAAAUCAAGGCAAUAAAAAGGCCCGGACUUGACGACUUAAUCUGGUGCAACCCAAAUGACCAAGGCUAAAAAGAAACACAAAGAAUGGGCUAUAGGCUAUAUAUAUACAAAAAGCCCAACCAACCAACCACAAACAAAGGCAGCAUAAGAUUCUAAAUAAAAAUGCAUGAGAUUGGAACAUUUGACUGACAAAAUGAAAAAUUCCUGUGAGUACAACAAUGAUAUGAAAUAUGACUAAAUAAUAUGCAUGAAUAUUGCCCAAAUAUUAUGCGGAUGACGUCACCAAUCCUACAUAACGAGCAAGUAUACAGGGAUGACUGACUACAAAAAAGGCAGAGACCAAACUCUAUCACAAUUUUGACAUAUGAUGUAACAAUGCAAAUACUUUUUAGACACCAAAUUCUGGUGAAGGAAAGAAAAAGAAGGCCAAAAUAUAUAAAGGGGGAGAGAGAAUGCAGACUUUACAGAACUGCUGCUGAAGGGCCCCGACUCGGCGACUCCUGAACCAAAAACCUCCACCACCAUCAACUUCAGACAGAUGAAACGGGUACUCGCGGGUGUAUUUCUAUAUCUCAUUCCUCCAACACCAUUGGACCAGUUUCUCUUUUUUCUAUUCAUCUCUUUCUGCCAAGAUAGCAGAGACACAGGGGUCAUCACCACCAACUUCCUCCGAUGCAAUGCAAGCAAUAAAAUUAAAAAAUAACAAGAAAAAACUGACUCCCCGAUGCUGAUUUGGUAUACUGACUGCCGUUGAAGCAAACAUAUCAGCCCAAAAAUGGUGAUGACCCGACUCAUGAUAUGCAAUCCCAGACCUGACCCCAACUCAAGACACCCAAAUGCAUGUAAGAACAAGAAUAUACUAAACAGCAGCAGCCUCAAAAAUUAGUUGCCCGGCUGAUAGCUAUCUUGACCCAUUCGGCAGCUUCCUUAAUAGAAGGAUCAUCUGACGUGAGACAUUCAUUUAGAAAGUCUCUGGCUGACACAGAUUGCUGAAUUAAUGAACCAACAGCACUACCCAGUGUAUCAGCUAGAUCUCCAAGGAGUCCGAUGGCAGUUUUUAUCACAAAAUCAUCCCUGAAAGAAGCAAAUAAAAAAUCAGAAAUACUAGCACUAGUAGGAACAAAAGCAGAAAGAAAACAACCAUAAACUAAAGGUUCCAGAGGUCUUACAUGUCCUUCUCUAUGUAUAAACUAUCCAAGAACUGAAGAACGUGAGGUGCAUAAGGCAUCAAUAAAUGGGUCUUUGCGGAGCCCUUAAAUCCUUGCAAGAUGCCAGAGUACGCCUCCAUAAUUCCAUUUCUCAAUGUAUUUGUGUACUCUAUCAUAUCAUCAUCAACUCCGGAUGUAUGGGCAGAUAGCUCUGCCGCACUCUGAAGCAUGGGCAUGGCAUACAUCAAAUACUUCUCAAAAUUCUCCCCAAUUGCCAAAGCUAGGUCACCAAAGCAUGAAAAUAUGGGAGGCUUCACAGAGCGGUGCAACUGGUUGCUCGACAAAUCCUUGAGGAGCUGAGUCAUUAUCCCAUCACAAAAAGGCAAUAUUUUAUCCUCUAAAGCCCGGCAUAUAUCCCCCACCACACCAACUGUGAUGGCACAAACCUGGUAAUCCUCAAAAUUCUGGAGACCCAUUUCCAAGUAUUUAUAAAACUCAGUCAUGUACUUAGCAAAAUCAGCGCCUGUCGAAUAGACAAGAGCUCCAAUUGCAAGCAUAGCCUCCUCAUGAGCUGUGGCACUUUUACAAGCAAAUACUCUCAAGAACAGGCCCAUCAUCUGGUCAGCAUAUUGCAAGAAGACAUAUUUUGUUGGUUCAGAUGACCCAAGCUUCUGUAUAAUGACCUGCAAGCAACCACAAAGAAGGCCUUGUAAUUCAUUCUGCUUCUCCCUCUCAUCAGAUGAAAGCUUUUGUGCCUCAAGAGUCUGGUGGAGUUCCAUCAUAAUGAGAGGAACUAAUUGCAUCACCAUUGGAGCAGUGUCAUCAGUGGAACACCUUACAACUUCAUUCAGAGCUUCGUAGGCUGCAGUUCGCAGGCGGGAUUCUCCAGCAUCUUCUCGGUGAGUGGCAUCGAGAAGGGCCUGGAUGAUAUCCUGGAAAAAAGGAGCCAGUGGGGAGGAAGAAGGUCCAGCAUCCUCAAAACCCUGGGCCAGAAAAUAGAGAGCACCACAUGCCUUCUCAGCAACAUUUGGGACAUCUUUCAUGCUCUGAAGAAGAACUGUGAUGAUCUGUUGACAAUUUGCUUGGGUAAUUAUGGGUGUCUCCAAAGUUGAACCAUGGAGAAAUUCAAAUAUUCUUCCAAGAGUCCAUCCGGUAGUGUCUUUCACAUGGUUAUUUGGAUCUUUCAUCAAAGCAUUCAGCAUAAAAUUCAGAGCAACAUUAACUAGAGGCAUGAGCUUGUCAGGGGAUGGGCCUUCCAAAAUAGAACCAAAUGCAUAGGUGGCUGCCUCUCUCUGCCUCCAAUCUGGUUUUGUAAUGUUCUCCUCAAUAAAUGGCAUUACAAGUGGAACAACAUCAUCACCAACUGUCCGUGCUACCAAGCCCAAGCAAGUUCCACCUGCCAUUGCAACAUUCCAGGCCACUUCAUCCUGAUCCUGAUCCUCUUCUUGCUUAAGAAGAGUCUCCAAUAAUAAAGGGAUCAGAGCAGGAAGUGCUUGCUUAAUAAAAUAAUAGCACGGAAUAACAGAAUCCCCAGUAAAAUCACCGCCAUAUUCUUCUAAAAUGUCAAUCUCUUCAUCACAAAUUGAACUCCAGAACUCAAUGGCCUGUAGUGCAACAGGUUCCUCAUCUUCCUUCACAGCCUUAGCAGUAAUGCUAAAAAUAUCUUGGAUGUACGGAGCCAACUUUUCAUAAUAGGUCGAAGAUAUAGAAACAAGGCACUCAAAGGCUGCCUGUCGAAUCUUUACUUCGGGGGAAAGAGUAGCCUCACAUACAACUCUCACUAUAUAAUCACGCUCCAUAUCAUUUGAGAAAUUUGCCUGAGCAAAACCCAAGGCAUUAUGCAAAGCUCUUGUGGCUGCAAGCCUGACAUCAUUAUUAGUCUCAGAAGAGUUCAUGCCCUGAACUACAGCGGUAAGCAUUUUAUUCACUUGAUCCUGCUCUACCACAUCCGGGGAGACUUCCUCGCAUAUGUAUCCAAGAGUUUCAAGAGUUGCUUGUCUAGUAUGAGCUGGAAGUUGAUUAUUAUUUGACAAUAGAGCUUCGAUCAGUUCAGGCCAUUGUUUAAGAGGCAACUCAAUCCCUGCUAGCUUUGCAAUGACUUGAGAUGCAGUUGAUCGAGCAUCAUGGGCAGGAGAAGAAAGGGUCUUUAACAAACAAGCUUUGAUCUGCGCCUUCACAGAUGGGUCCAAGGACAACCAUCUUUGUCCAAGCUCGAACUUCCUAUGUUGUUCUUUGGCAUCCAAAGCAUUCUUAAGGAUCAAACCUGCUAAUUUACGACUCUCAACAGGCUUAUCAUCAUUUGCCAAUUCUCCAGCAAGAGAGAGCAAGAAACUUGGAAGAUUUUGUUCUUGAAAUUGUCUAAGGUUUUCUUCUGCAUGCUUGCGUACAUUCCCAUCCACUGCUUGUGCAUUUAAAAGAAUUUGGGUAACUUCCAUCGCCAUUAGAAGCUGAAAUCAAUAAACCAAUUAAAUUAUUAAUAGAAAUAAAGCUCUACAUAUCUUGUCCAAAACAAAUUGUAAUUAUGUAUGCACUAACCAAGUAGCACUGAACAAUAUAGAAUUCUUUAAAUAACGGAGUGAAUGCAUUUAGGGCUAAAGAAAUAAAACUUGAAACCAACAAAAAUCACCAAGUAGCACUGAACAAUAUAGAAUUCUUUAAAUAACGGAUUGAAUGCAUUUAGGGCUAAAGAAAUAAAACUUGAAACCAACAAAAAUCAUCCAUACUGCUACUCAAUUAGUAAUUUCAUUCAUACAAUUAAGACAAGUACAAUCACAAACAGCUAUAACAAUAACUCCGAGGAACAGAGCUUUACGGGAGAGGGAGAUAAGAGGUGUAGAGAUAGAGAGAGAGAGAGACAGAGAGAGAGGGCAUCAGGGUUGAGCAUAAAGAAGAUUAAUGCCGGAAAAAAAAAAAUCAUAAUAAUCCCCAAAAAAAUCAUAAUAAUCCAAAAAAAAUCAUAAAGUAUUGCAGCUUAUUUAUCAGAAUUCAUUGCCAAUUUAUAGAUGGGACAACAAAUCAUCGAUACCCAAUUAACUUAUGUAUUCAUUAAUCAGCUAUAUCUACAACUACAAGACUCCAGUUAACAUUGGAAUCAAUCCCAUAUUAAAUCAUAACUUGGAAAACCAAAUGCUCAUAAUGAUAAAUAAAAAGGAACCCUUUACUAAUCCUUACCAAACCCAAGUUUCCUUGACUGACAAAAACAUAACUAAUAAGUCAUUAAGUACAUAAUUUCUUAUUGCAAUUCAGUCUGAGAACGCUUCCCAACUCAGUGGAAGUGAAACUAGCAACAGUAGUAGUUACCAGUCAAAAUUAUCAACACUGAGCAUACGGAUUACCUAUCUAAUAAUACCUAUCGACUCCUUCACUUUCCUAAACACAAUUUGAAAUUCAAAUUGAUCACACAUCAAACACUUACAGAAUCAAUCAAUAACUCGCUGAUCCCAAGAUCAAAAUUGAACAAACUAAGCCAAAAAAAAAAACAAAUCGCGGAUCAAGGAUUUCAGAUCAGACCGACAAAACUGCAAUCAGAGUGCCAGCAAAUGUUAUAUAAAACAGAGAUUGAGAUUUAAGAAAACUUACCAAGUUGAUGAGUGGACUCGGCGAGACAGCGAGUGAGUGAUGAAUCCGAGUCAAAAAAGAAAACGAAGACCAAGUAGAAGAAGAAGAAGAAGAAGGAAAUAGAAGCGGCGACUCUGAAAACCCUAGCAGAGUGUGGGAAGCAGAAAAGCAAAUAUGCCCAAUAUUUUGUAAAGCUGGGAUUUGCAAAAAAACAACGAUAUCUGAUUUUUAUAGUUCCUCAGGUUUCCCACGCGCGGUCCUCGGCGGGUUACAGCGUCAAUUAAGUGGAAGUGGGUGAUUGGGUGGAUUUAGUGAGCCCCGGUGUUCGAGCGAGUUAACGUUUGCGAGGACGAUGAUUUGAUUGGUCGUGUUUGGUACGCGGUUCAAGGAUGUGUGGGAUUGGGCUUCCGUGUAUUAUUUAGCACCGUUAUUAUUGCAGUUGUUUAUUCAUUUUGUAUGGGCUUUGAUCCGCUGGAAGGCGCUAAUUAGUGUUCCCUUUUUUUUUUUUUUUUCUCUCUAAUAUAAAUAAUAUUCUUGUUUUUAUUAUAUAUAUAAAGCAAAUGACUACAACGGUAAAUUAGGAAGAGUUUUGUUUCUUCAAUUUUUUUUUUCUUCUAUUUAGUUGUUGUUUUACCGUUGUACCCUUGCGAGUCUGUUGUUUGGUUCUCAUGUUAUAUAAACAAGAAACAGGGUAAGAAAUUUGCCUACUUAUGAGUUCAUGCAUGCUCAUUAACUUCGCGGGUUUUUCGUAGAAUGUGUUUAUUUGCUUAUUUGAACUCCCGGCUAUAAUUUUGUCUACAAAUAAGUAGAAACUAUGGAUCUGGGAGUUUAUGCUUUGUAAAAGUGUUGGUUUUGCUUCACUUACAGAGUGAGAAAUUAUGGGUUGGGAUGCUUUUACCCUUUCUUCCUACAAAAGCAAAAAAAUAAAUAAAGAUAAUCAAUUUUGGUUAAGAAGCUAUUGUUUGCUCUUCAAAUGCAAUGAGAGGAUAGAAGUUGGAGUUUGAGGAAAUCGUAUUAGCAGCAAUUGGUAAGGACCAGAAUGUGGGUUCAAAUUUGGGUUAUAAUCAUUUGUAUAAUUUAGCAAUUGGAAGUUCAUAUAUCAGGAAUUCCAUUUGAGGAUGGGCUUUUGAAUAUGAUAUAUUUAAGAACAGUAUAGAUGUUCCGUAUACGAGAAAUUAUAGAAUAGUAUCGUAUUAUCACCUCAACUUAUGAUACUUCCAUUGAAAAUUUCAUCUUUUUUAUAAAACCAUAACACAUGGCAUAUUUUCAAUGAAAAUAUCAUAAGCUGAUGUGGUAGUACAGUACUAUUCUAUAAUUUCUCCCACUAUACUAUUUACUAAAAAAUUAAAUAAAUAAAAAAGGUCCCAUGUAUAGCCACGCAGCUAUACCUUUUGAAUAUAAUAUAUUUAAAGAGUAUAGCCGAGCGACUAUACUCUUUUAAUGUGUUAUAUUUAAAAGGCGUAUAGCCGCACAGCUAAACUAUUUAUUAAUAAAAAUUAAAAGAAAAGAAUCAUUCUAGUUGCAUUAAUUUAUACUUUAUAGAUAUUAAUUUUCAGUCAAUAAUGUAUGAAAAAUUAGUGUAUAAUACGUGAAUUUUGUGUGUACUAUUAUUGAAAAUUUGGUAAAAAACAAGUAUAUUAAACAUGAAAAAUACAUGUGUACAUGUAAAAUACGAGUAUUAAAUGUGAAAAUGCUAAAUUCUUUGUGCGAGAUAACUCUGGAAAUGUACAAACUCAUAAGGAGACAAUAGAGACUCGGAUAACAGCCUAAUAGUAUUUUAUUUAUAAUAAAAAGGGGGUAGUAUAGCAGGGUGGCUAUACUCUUUAACUAUAUUAUAGAAGGAGAAUAGCCUUGCGGCUAUACUAUUUAUUAAUAAAAAUUUAAAAGAAAAAGACCUUUCUUUUUGCAUUAGUUUAAACUUUAUAGAUAUUAAUUCUCAAUCAAUAAUAUGCGAAAAUUUGGUGUAUAAUAUGUGAAUAUUAUUGUGUGUAUUCUUAAAAUUUUGAUUAAAAACAAGUGUAUUAAACAAAAAAAAUACGUACGAACAUAUACAAUAUGUGUAUUACUUCUUGUAAGAAAAAGGGAGAACACGUCUGCUUUAGCCAACUUAGCGAAAGUUGGUUUGUUUGCUUUCACUUUUGUUUGAUUAUUGCGAUGUUAGUAACAAGAAGGGAACCACAUCAAAGUUGAAAAGAAAAGGAUGAAAGAGACAUUUGUAGAAGGUAAAGCAGUGCUAUUGGUUUUUGCGCUAUUUUUUAAUUCCAACUAGGUACCAGGUUCGAAGAUUGAAGCACCAUAAAUAUGGGCCAUUUCCUUUAUGUGUUCUUAUAUCAUAAGAUAAUGUGUUAGCAACUUAGUAUUGGAUUAGACUUGAUUGAACUGAUGUUUUAUUUGGUGAAGUAGUUACUUGUGCUAGAUGUCCCCGUCAUCACACCGAAGGUGCCUUGGAGUCAGUCCAAGACAACCUGUGCCUCACACACAAUCAGAAAUUCACAAGAAGCCCUUUUUUUCACAUGCAUUGUUCAAGCAUUUCAACGAUCUUAUACGGGUAAAACCAGACAGUGUCAAACAACGUAACAUGUACCAUGAUACAAGUACUUCCAGUUCAUUCCUUAGCCAUUUCACUCUCAAUCCAUUCGCGCUUGGCUUCAGGAUCUUUCAAUUUACAAAACAUCUUUCUCUUGUUUUUACUUGAAAGCAACCCUUUGGCAAACCACAUCAUCUUGUGAUUCUUGUCCUUUGCCCUCUUGUACUCAUCAUCUGUCAUCUUUUCCUCAUCAUCAAAAUUAAAAAUUUCUUGUCGAAGUUCGGCCUUCAUCCCUAAACCCUAAUAAAUGAAGUUUCAGGAAACAUACUUGGAUGUACUGUAACAAAUCCUCCAUUAUUCUCAUCUUUCCUCCUUUUCUUCAUCCCAGAUGGACUUUACGUACGUUGAGUAGCAAGUACAGCAGAUGAGAAAAAUUCAACAAUAGGGUCAGUUUAGUAACUUGCUAUAUCAUUCAUCCAUUUAUCACAAAGAUAGAAAUAAAAUGAUAUAGAAAGAUCACAUCUUGACUUCAACAACAGUCAAAAACCUUCAUGGGCACCAAAAUAUGACUCCAUUCACAAAUACACAAAUUCACGCAGAAGUAGGGUAACCGAGAGAAGAAUUACUUGUAGACAUUUUCAAGUCUCUUUUUCAAGUGUUUGAUAGAAGCACCGGAAACCUCAUCUACCCUUUUCCCUUUUAGAUAGCAAUUGAACGUUGGCUGCAGCAAAAUGCACACAUCAGCAGAGUAAUAUUCUAUUUUAAGAUAAAAACAGGGCUGAAAUAUAUUCACACAGCUUGAACAAAAUGCUUAGCCCCCAUUUUCCCAGAUAAGCAUAGCCUGUUUAUACUUUUCUGAAUUAUUAAUUACGAUAUGGUAAGAACUACAAGCCAAAUUUAGAAAGAAAAGGUCAAACACAUGAGAAAUUACAACACUGAACUAAGUGCAGACAUUUACAUUCAAACAAAAUAGAAGGAUCGAAUCAUUUACCGUCUUGUGAAUUCUCAACUUGUCCAAUCUGGAUCCAACGAUAUUCUAUAGACAGAAUAAACGUCAGAUCUACUAGUUUAGAGGCAUAACAAGAAAUAAUAUGAUGAUUCUUCUAUAUGCAGCUGCAUGGCGCAUCAUAAUUAGAGUACGGAAAAAAUUACUGCAUGAGCAAGCAUUAAUGCAUAGCUAAUGAAAAAUUACUGCAUGAGCAAGCAUUAAGUUAUCUUUUACCCAGAACAAACUGACCAGAGCAGACAAGCAUGGGAUAAAACCCACUAUGCCUCAGAACUCGAAAGGACAAUUUUGAUUACUUCUCAGUUUUAAGGACUAUCAAAUAUAUUCACCACCAAUUUAUCUAUUGUUAUUUACAAAAGUAUAGGAAACAUCUUCCCUGGAAUCCCAACCAAUUUUAAGAUGAAAGGUGAAGUGGUGAUGUAUUGAUCUUAUCUGUUUGAUUUAAGUAACCUUCUGAUAAAAACAUAAUACAAGGAUCGAACCAUUUACCUCUUUGUAAUAAAAUCCACGCAAGUCAAUAGGGUAUCCAGUUUCACAACAAAAUAUAAUAUCACGAUUCUUCUAUGAGCAACUGCAUGUCGGAUCAUAAUUAGAGUAUGGAAAACAAAUUAAGGCAUGACAAUUUUUUUUCUGAUUCUGAAUAGAAACGAUAUAUAGAAAAGGUGGAUAAGGCAUCCACAGCCAGGCAAAACAAAACACAAAAGCAGCCUAAAAAAACCCAAAAGAAAAUAAACAGCAAAGAAGAGAAGAGAGGCAACGUGAAAGAAGGAAACACCCUUACUUCACAGCCGCCACUAAAUCCAACAUAAUGACAGAAGGGUUUAUAAUCCUUAAAAACUGGGGUAACUGAAGCCAAAAGAGCAGCCCAAUAUCUAGCCUUCUUCCAGAUUUCCUCGACACCCUCUUCCUGACCCAUUUAAUGUUUUUCUUCUAAAGUGAGCUCUCUUUUUUUUUCACUGGGUUUACAAGUGCAUAUGUGGUUGUUUUAUUCCAGUUUGUAGGUGGUGAAAAAUAGGCUGGAUUUAUAUGUUCUGUGGGAGUUGGUUUUCUGUUUCAAUAUCACAAGGAAGGUGGGGGAAGUUUUAAAAUUAGGAUAAAUGUUGUUUUCAAUCACUUUGAAGCUGAAUCUUGUUUCCUGAGAAAUUAAGCUUUUCUAAGACCCAGUUUUGUGUUUUGAAGUAUACUCAUUUCAAUAUUCAAUUCUGUGCUGAUACUUCUUCUUGGCAUUAUGCUCAUGGCUAUGGAAUUUUUUAUAUAUAUAAAAUGGGGAGAAAACCCCAAGAACAAUACCUAACCACCACACAUCGAGGUCUAGCAAGACCUAACAAAUAAUCCACCAAGAAUGAACUAACCCAGGCAGGGGCCUCCUCAAAAUAGCAAACCCCGAGGUCUAAAUUGUAACUCCAGUUAUGGCCAUACAGUCCGCAACACAAUUUUUCUCUCUGUAGAUAUGAGCAAGCUGACAUGUGCCAAUCUGCCUCAUGUGACUACAGCAACUAUGCACCAAGGCAGCAACUGGAUGACAUUGCAAGAAAUAUACUUGCUGGAUGAGAGAAAUAGCAACAGCAGCAUCCAUCUCUAUAGCAAGGUUGGAAAUACCUUUCUCAACAGCAAGCUUUAGCCCAAAAUACAGCCCCCAUAUCUCAGCCUCCAAAAUUUGCUCCUUACCCAAAUUCACAGAAAAACCAGCAAUCCAGUCACCUUAGGAAUCACAGAGGACACCUCCUGCUCCAAUAAGACUAGUGGCAGUCCUUCUUGAACCAUCCACAUUGAGUUUAAAUUAGCGAACUAUAGGAGGAUCCCAGGCAAGAAAUAUAUGCAUUCUAUCAAGCUUCUGGCCAGGGAUAGAAAUAGAAUUAACCCACUCAACAACAGCAGCAUAAAUAACAUCUCAGGAAUUAAAAGGCAAACCCUCCUCUUCACUAAAAACUUGCUUAUUUCACCAUUUCCACAGGUACCAACAAGUGAAGGCAAAAAGGAUACCCCAACGAAUACCAUCAGGGCCUUUAACCUUGGAAAGCAAAUUACUUAAGGAAGAGUAGUUAACCAAUGUAACUUAUUAUUUUAUUAGAGCUGAAGAUGCUGAAUUCAGAUCCAUGCAUCUGGAAACUUUCAAUGUAUGUUGAAUUAAUUCUACGUGUAUGGUUCUCUUGCGGCGGAAAGGCUGACAUGUUAGGGGACUGUUAGAAUGUAAAAAACAACAGAUGUUCCACAUCCGAAUGGCAUCUUUGCAAGAAGAAUUAGACCUCUUUUCAACUUUGGAAAGUGAACAUCUUGGUAGCUCGGCUUGUCAAUCCCAUUGAGACCGGCCCAAUGGGUGGGUUUGAGCUUUAACAUUCGAACCCUCAGUCCGACUCAUAAAAUAAAAAAAAUCACAUUAGGCCCGGCCUGAGCCCGACUCAAACUAAAAAAUUUAAGAUCGAGCAAGCCCAGCUUGGCCCGAUGUCAACCUAACAAUAAAGCCACAACGCAACAAAUUUCCAAUGAUAGGGUACUUCAUUUUUAAAUUGAGAGGACAUGAGCAAAACAUGCUUUAUAGGUGAAACCACAUGAUACCUAAAUUGGAAUUUACCCAAUUAUUUAAAAGUAAAUAAUUUUUUAUCCAUGCUGGAGGUGGGCUCUACUUUGCCAUAUCAUCCACUUUAAUCGGAGUAAAUGGCUAAUGUGUACAAAUUUACUAAUAUAAUCAUGCAACAUCAUCGUUUUUAAUAGAGUUUGGGAUGAAGUUAACGGUAAGGAGGAAGUGAUAUACCAAACAUUGGUCAAUGGGACAAAAUAGAUCACUUUAACUUCCAAAUGGCAAUAUGGGAUUUGAGCAAAGUUUCAGGAGUAAUGUAACAAUUUUUAUUUAUUUUUGGUCGAAAGAGUAUUGUAACAAUUAAACCUUUACAAUUACAAGAAGAAAAAAAAAGAUUGUAAUCGUCAACAAAAUCUUUUUACAUGCAUUGAUCCAACAUUUCAAUGAUCUCAUACGGGUAAACAUUAGAUUAAUGAUUGUCACAUCUUGUUCAACUGUUUUCCUUCAACUUAUGCACUGCUUUUGUAAUCAUUAACUUUAUAUUACAUUUAGUAGCCGACCUUAUCCCUCAUCCCAAACAAUCCGAAUUUGGUUGUGGUAUAUGAAACAGCAUAGCAUGCCAAAUUUCAAUUUCUGUCAAAAUUUCCUUAAAUCUGUUAAGUUUUGACCACUGUCUCUCACAUCAUCACAUGGCAGGGUAUUUUGCUUGUGUUUAGGGUCAAAUGUACUGGAAUAUCCCUCCGUGUGAGGGGCACAGUCAAAACUUAAGAAAUUUGGAGGAAUUUUACAAAAUUUGAAACACCUCAUUGAAAUUCUCCGAAUUGAAACCAUGGAGAUAAAAUUGACAAAAUUAAAAAUAUAGAAACCAAAAGGGUAAAUAUGCGACAAUUAUCCAAAUAACAGUCAAACCUACUGCAAUUAUCCAAGUAAUUGUACAACAUAAGGUAAUCGAUCCAAAUUUUAAACCACCGUACAAGUCCAAACCAUAAUGUGAACAACAGCAUAAUAUAAUUCACAGUUGAAGUGCACACAUCCAACUUAUUCCUCAGCCAUUUCAUGCUUGCCAAGCACCGUUGAAGUAAAGACCUUGCACUUCAGAAAACACCACUCUCUUCUUAGGUUGAUAUUUAAAUACUAUCGGCAUGUCCCCCAUCCCAGGUGAAGAUUCGAAAGCCUGCAUCACUUCAUCAAGUGAAGGUGCAGUACUACUCUCAACUGCCUCAACAAGGCCACCACUCCCUUGUGCCAAGGCCGCAGCACCUCUCAGUUGUGACAAUGUUGCGGCGCCUCUCCAUUGUGAUAAUGCCCUCACACUUCCUUUGUCAUUCUCAUUUUUCUUAGCUUCGAUCGCCGACUGGGACGAUAUUCGUAAGUACACAUCAAUAAUAGGGUCUAGUAACUAUGAUAUAAAAUUCAUCCAUAUAUUACAAGAUAGAAAUAAAAGAUUGCGUAACAUAUAGAGUGAUCACAUUCGGAGAAAACUUAACUUGAACUGUCAAAAAAUACCAAUAGGCACCAAUAUAUGCAAAAGCACAAAAUGUAACGUAAAGAAGAAAUGAAUUACCUGUACUGUAAAGCUCUGCAAAAAUAUCUUGCAAGGCUGAAUUAUAUUUACUCAGCUUAAUCAAACUGCUUAGACCCCUUCCUGCCAUGCCAGCUAAAUAUAGUAUGUUUAGCUAUGUAUUAUAAACUAUCAAUUAGCAUAUGGUAAGAAAUUCAACACAAUUUUUUUACUGUAUUCAACGAUAAUUACGAAUGAUGGUUUACAUGGCAAUUUGAUACUUUGGAAAAAAUUUAACUUUAUCUAAAAUGUCAGAGCAUCUCUAAGGGAGAUGUCAAAUGUAAAAUGUUAAAUUUGAAUUUGAUGGCUUAUGUGGCAAUUUGACACUUUAAAAAAAAAAAAUUUCCAUCCGAAAAUGCCAAAUAUCAUAAUAUUUUUUAAAAACAAAUGGGAUCCAUAUAAUGCAUAAAGUUUAAAAGAGAGUAAAUAAUAGUGGGGUCCAUGACUAACAAAAUAUUAAAAAUAUAUAUGACAUCAAACUUUUUGAUAUGUUAUUUUUGACAUAUAUAUCUUCUAGCCUUCAAAUCUAUGUAGGAUUUGACUACUCCGUUGGAGAUUUUUUUUUUUGUUUGUUGUCAUUUCAUAUCCAUGUGACAAUUUGACAUAUCGGUUGGAGAUGCUCUCAAAUAUCAUAUUAUUUUAUUAUAUUUUAAAAAGCAAAUAGGGUUCAUAUGAUGCAUAAAAUUUUGACAUCAAACUUUUUGAUAUGUUAUUUUUGACAUAUUUCUUCCAGCAUUCAAAUUCAUAUAGUAUUUGACUAUAGAGCAACUUUAACCUUCAAUUUUUAUCAUUUCAUGUCCAUGUAGUAAUUUGACAUAUCGAUUGGAGAUGCUCUAAUCAUCUCUCUAAAAAAAAAGAAGCUAAUAAUCAAUAUAAAAAUUGAGUUAAAUUGAACUAAAAUACCUGAAGUUUUUUUUUUUUUUUUUGACAAAAAAAUACCUGAAGUUAUAAGAUGAAUAACAAUACCCUUUCGAAUAAAUGUAUUGGUCCAAUACGGUGCGUUUAGCUUAGCGAUACUGGUUUCUCGAAAGACGAAGUUCCAUUGCAUCUUAACUACACACGUACACAAUUUUGGGAGAUCCAACGGUCCAGAUCAUCCCAACAUGAGGUCGAAUAUGAUUGGCCAAGGUAUCAGGCCUCGCGAUUUGAUUGGUCCACUUCAUCGGAAAUGACAUGUUUCCACGAAUUGCUUGCGUCCGGUAACAGACCACCGGUUCACAUAUGCGGACAGCAUACGUUAAUCUCCCUCUAUAAAAGCUCUGUCUCACGCGCGGUUUGACACUCAGAAGCCAUAAACCAAAACUCUCAAAAUCGCUAAGGCUUAAAGCCACCAUUUGUACUUGAAUCUCAGAGAAGCUCAGAGAAACAGAGAGGUUUCACGAAUUGCUCAGACGCCAUGGCUGGCUCCUGGAGAGCACGCGGGUCUCUGAUCGUGUUGGCGAUCGUUACAUUCGGUGAGUGUUUCGGUUAUUCAGUGUUAGAUCUGCUUACUUUGUUUCUUUAACGAUUAAUGGAUUGUUGUUUUCGGUCGAGAAAAUGCCGUGGAUCUGGCUGUGAUUUGAUGGUUUUUAGUGUGUUAGAGGACGUUCGUAGCUCAAAACCGAUGAGAUUUACGAAUCAAUCUGAAACUUUUUAUGGUUUUUAUUAUUGGUUGAGUGAAUUUUUGUGCAUAAUUGAAGUAGUGGAGGAUAAUUUUCUGCAUGAGUACGUUGAAGUGUAGGUGUAGAUCUAGUUAGAUUGAAAAAGUUAUUAAAGUGUGUGUUUAUUGGUUGAAUUAUGUGACCUUUUGAGAUCUAUAAGUGACUGGUUUGAUAUCUGUGCCUCUGGAUCUGACUAAGUGAUUUGCAGAACUAAGCAUGAAUAAGCGAUCAGAAUAUAUAGAAAACAUAUAGUUUUUUUGCAGUGUUUUGUUUGUGUAUGAAAUUUAUUUGAUUGAUUUUGUUUCCGUCAAGCUGACAUGAAACAAAAGGUAAGAAGAAUCACAAUAUUUACUCUUACUAACAGCUGUUAGGAUUAAUCAACAGAUACUUUGAAGAAUUUUGUUUAAAUAAAAAAUUGCCAAACAUGAAGGAAAUGUAGAUCCUGCUCCCAUUAUGGUACCAUUAUAAUCGCAAUGUUAUAGAAAUGGUUGUUACAUAACUAGGAAGUAUACGUUUUAAAUGGCAUGAUAGUGAUCAAUGAACAGCUGUUAGUAGUGUUUGUUAAAUAUUGUAUGUAUUCACAAGACUCUUCUGGAAUCUCAUGCUAUUAUUAUGCCAAAUAUGUUAUAAUAGUUACAUCCAAAGUUUCCUUUCAACGAGGAUUACGGUUUCAUGUACUGAUUAUGCGACGCGUGAUGCUUGACGAGCCAAUGCCUUGUUUGAAUGAGAUUCAUUUCAUCAUUUACCAUAUGUGCUUCAUAUCUGUACUAACAUGGAAAGAGCUUUAUAACAGGGUGCCUUUUUGCUAUUUCGAUCGCAAAAGAAGAAGCUACCAAGUUAGGAACAGUCAUUGGGAUAGAUCUUGGAACUACUUACUCCUGUGUUGGUGUGUAUAAGAAUGGUCAUGUGGAAAUUAUAGCCAAUGACCAGGGUAACCGUAUCACCCCAUCAUGGGUUGGUUUCACCGACGGUGAGAGACUGAUUGGUGAGGCUGCAAAGAACCAGGCAGCUGUGAAUCCUGAAAGGACCAUCUUUGACGUCAAGAGACUUAUCGGAAGAAAGUAUGUGUUUUUCACUAUUUUUUUUAAUGAUUUGCAAUCAUUUUAGCUGGUUGGAAGUUAAUACUGACUGGUGCUUAUUAUUUGGCAGGUUUGAGGACAAAGAGGUCCAGAGGGACAUGAAGCUUGUUCCUUACAAGAUUGUUAACAAGGAUGGAAAGCCUUAUAUCCAAGUGAAGAUCAAGGAUGGUGAGACAAAGGUUUUCAGCCCUGAGGAGAUCAGUGCAAUGAUUUUGACUAAGAUGAAGGAAACAGCUGAGGCAUUCCUUGGGAAGAAAAUCAAGGAUGCUGUUGUUACUGUUCCUGGUGAGUAAAACAUAUAUUCAACUUAAUAGCCUCCCAUAUUUAUAGUCGUAUUAGUCAUGCCCCUGACAUUGUCUUCCUGUUCAAUACACAGCAUACUUCAAUGACGCCCAGAGACAGGCAACUAAGGAUGCCGGUGUAAUUGCUGGGCUGAAUGUUGCUAGGAUUAUCAAUGAACCAACCGCAGCCGCCAUCGCAUAUGGUUUGGACAAGAAGGGUGGUGAGAAGAACAUUCUUGUCUUUGAUCUUGGCGGUGGUACCUUUGAUGUCAGUAUUUUGACAAUUGAUAAUGGAGUUUUUGAGGUUCUUGCCACAAAUGGAGACACUCAUUUGGGAGGUGAGAAAUCUUUUUCUUGUUUUACUACUUGCUCAUACUUGAUUUGUGUGGUCUGUUAUUGAUGUGUGCAUACAUCUCUGCAGGUGAGGACUUUGAUCACAGAAUUAUGGAGUACUUCAUCAAGUUGAUCAAGAAGAAGCACGGAAAGGAUAUCAGCAAGGACAACAGAGCUCUUGGGAAAUUGAGGAGGGAAGCUGAGCGUGCCAAGAGAGCUCUCAGCAGCCAGCACCAGGUCCGUGUGGAAAUUGAAUCACUUUUCGACGGAGUGGACUUCUCUGAACCACUGACCAGGGCCAGAUUUGAAGAGUUGAACAACGACUUGUUCAGAAAGACCAUGGGGCCUGUGAAGAAGGCUAUGGAUGAUGCUGGCUUGGAGAAGCGCCAGAUUGAUGAGAUCGUUCUUGUUGGUGGAAGCACCAGGAUUCCCAAGGUCCAACAGCUUCUUAAGGACUACUUUGAUGGCAAGGAGCCAAACAAGGGUGUGAACCCCGACGAAGCAGUUGCUUUUGGUGCCGCUGUACAAGGAAGCAUCUUGAGUGGAGAGGGUGGUGAAGAAACCAAAGGUAUGCUCAUUUCUCGCCUGUGUGGGCAGUUAAGAUAUAUUUAUUUGAAAAGGGUAAUUGGAUGAACUAUUAUAAUACCUACUAACAAAUGUUUCCUUUGGAUAUUAGAUAUUCUUCUCCUGGAUGUUGCGCCUCUCACCCUCGGUAUUGAAACUGUUGGCGGAGUGAUGACCAAGCUUAUCCCAAGAAACACUGUGAUCCCAACCAAGAAAUCCCAGGUUUUCACCACUUACCAGGAUCAGCAGACUACCGUCUCCAUUCAGGUAUCGAUCUUUGUUUAUUCAAUGGUCCCAAAAUGCUUAAUUUAGUGUUUUCACAAAAAUGCAACUCCGAUGCUAAUAUGGAUUCAAUCCUGUUUUUGAUCUCAGGUCUUUGAGGGUGAAAGGAGUCUCACAAAGGAUUGCAGGAACCUUGGUAAAUUUGAUCUUUCAGGAAUUCCACCAGCUCCAAGGUUUGUUUCUGCUGCCAUUUAAUCUUCCCUUGAGAUUGCCACCCCUUUGUUUCCAGGAUUUAACAGUUUUCAUUUCUCUCAAUUGAACAGGGGAACUCCUCAAAUCGAAGUCACAUUUGAAGUGGAUGCUAAUGGUAUCCUGAAUGUCAAGGCAGAAGACAAGGGCACUGGCAAAUCCGAGAAGAUCACCAUCACAAACGACAAGGGUCGUCUCAGCCAGGAGGAAAUCGACCGCAUGGUUAAGGAGGCAGAAGAGUUUGCCGAUGAAGACAAGAAGGUGAAGGAGAGGAUCGAUGCCCGCAACAGCCUAGAGACCUAUGUCUACAACAUGAAGAACCAGAUCAAUGACAAAGACAAGCUUGCUGAUAAGCUCGAGUCUGACGAGAAGGAGAAGAUUGAGACCGCCACAAAGGAAGCCCUUGAAUGGCUGGACGACAACCAGACGGCGGAGAAGGAAGACUAUGAUGAGAAGCUCAAGGAGGUCGAAGCCGUAUGCAACCCCAUCAUCACAGCUGUUUACCAGAGGUCAGGUGGUGCCCCAGGUGGCGGAGCAGCCUCAGAGGAGGACGAGGACUCACAUGAUGAGCUUUAGAAAAAGUCUCUUUAACUUUUAUUGACCACUGUGAGAAAGUGGAAGCGAGAGGAGAGAAUUGAGGUUAUAGGUUUAGGGGAAGGAGACUUUUUACUGUAAUUUUUCUUGAUGGGGGGUUAGAAGGGGAAGUUGAGGGAGACGGAUUUUCUUCUCCCUCGAUUGUCUUUUUUUGAAGUGGUGAUACAUUUAUCAAGUCUUUUUGUUAGUUACGUGUAAUUUCUUUGUUUUGAUAAAGGAUACAGUUUUUGUAAGUUUGGUUGGUUUGUUUCUCAAAUCACGCUAUGCAUUUUACUAAAAUGCGUAUAUUUAUAUAUAAACAAUAAUAUGCCUCAAAUCACAUUUUUCUCCAUCUUCUUAAUAAAGAUCAAAGUGUUUAAAAACCCAACAACAAUAAAAAAUCGCAAGUGUUUGAAACCUAACAAAUAUAGGCAUCAUCUGACCUCUAUAGGUUGGGCCCAACAGAUGGGAGGAACGAUUUGACCACUUCUCUUUCAGGAAAAUGGAAAUAGGAAAAUACUUCUCUUAGGGGUUAUUCUAUUCAUGCCAAUAAUAGUGUGACAUGUAUGCUUAAUUUUUUUUGUCUGUUUUUAAUAAAUUAUUUUUACACUAUUAAAAUGUGAUUUGUAGAAAGGAAAAGUAUCUCCUUACAGAAAGAGGCAAGCAAUAUCCGUUUUCUGAUUUUCCUAACACACUGUUUGGAAUCCAAUAUCCCACAUUAAAAAAAUAGAAUAUUUUAAUGCUUUGAGAGCUUGGGGGCACCUUUCACUUUUUUUUUUUUUUUUUUUUUUUUCUGCAGAAAAUAGAAUUACAAGCAAAACCCCUUGAGCAUGCAUGCCCAAGAAGGUCAAAGAAAAAAGGAACGGAGCAGGAGAGAGGCAGCCCAUGCUCCCACAAUUUGGAUGGGGUGAGGCCAUGACCCAAGCCAACGAGAGCAUCAGCAGUGAAAUUAGCCUCUCUAAAAACAUGCUUACGUUGUAUUUCAUUUUGUUUUCAACUCUGAAAACAUCUCAAUGUUCUUUAGUUGUUGAGAAAAUAGAAAAUUUUGAAACAGGGAAAUAGCCAACAACCUUCGAAAUAUUUUGAUAACAAGGAAAGGCGCAAUGCUUGCUUGGUGAGAAAGUUCAAGUUAUGACAUUGAUGUGCAUAUAUAGAAUCAUCUACAAUACAUGGAUUGGUUGUUUAUUAAUUUCUAACCAAAGUUUACCAUAUUUUCAGUUGUCGAUCAAAGCUUUAAUUUCUAGUGGAUUCAGUGAUUAGAAAUUAUUAUGACUUAGAUUUGGAAGUGCUUUGUUUGUAUUGUACAGGUAGCAAACAUCAUUUAAGUUUAACUAUAAUAACUUUGGCUGCACUUGCACUGCCUUGAGCUUGAGCCAUGCGAUAAAAUUUGUGUGAUCUUGUUGCAGUCUAAAUGUAUAAAAGCUAGCCUCCUAUAAUAUGUCUCGUCUCUUGUAGCACGGUACGUAAUAAAAUUGAUAUAUGUACAGACCAGUCAGUCACCAGACCCAUUGUAUUGGAGAGAAAAUGAACAAGUGAUCCCUUGACGGAAAAACAUGCACAUUUGAAAAAAUAGGCAUCCUUGCGAUCAAUAGCUUAUCUGUUUUCUUUCAAUGACGAAGGAAAAAAAUUAAAAUGAAAGAAAGAAAACCCUAGAGUCCAACAUUUGGAUUGCCUGAGCCUGCUGCCACAACUCCCAUCCCACCUCCACCUUGUGAAGCAUCACCCAACUUGUCUAGCUCACUUGAUUCUCCUAAAUGAACCCUGUCACCAUCUAACUCACGCACAAGAUCAUCAAUCUUUCGGAACUGGUAUGGCCAUCUAGCAUUGUAUAAAAACUGGCGAAGGUCGAACCGAUUAUCCUCUGGCGAAUAACUCUGCAUGAAGUUAACAAAAUGAGAUACAGAAAGAAGCUUCAUAGCACCAACAUUCUAGUCUGCACUUAGUUUCUUAAGGUCAGCACAUUCAUACCUCAGCGUGAUACGAAGGUGUUAAUACAGUCAUUUUGUGUCGAUUAAUGGAGUAGUACUUGAAAAAGUGCUUCACUUUGUCAGCCACCUCUUGUGGAGUCAAUUUUGCACCCCAUCUGUAGCAGAGGUUCUGUAACCAGGAAAUCGGAACAGAGUUAGAGAACUGCAAAAGAUUCCCACCACUUUAUAGAAUUGAUAAUGCAACAAGUAAAUCUGUCCUCUUAGAACUGAUCCUGGAAAUGAGCACACACCAAAACAUUCUACUUCUGUGGUCUCCGUAAAAGCCAUUAUGAAAGAAUAAAGUUAAGGCAUUAGACAAACCUUGAACAUAGAUAUGGGACCACAGCGGAAAAUUUUCCGCAGCCUUCCAUAGACUGAGAGUUCCUCAUAUGUCAUUCCCAUGUCCACUUCAUCCAGCUGUUUUACAAAGAAUGAAGUAUCAGAUUCACCUAUCUCGUUUGGAUAGGACAGGAGCAUAAAGCAUUUUCUGUGGGUUUUCCCCUAAUAAUGUUUCCUGCAAAAAGUUUUACAGUUGAAGAAAAAUUACUGAACCGUUGUUACCUGACUAUAAUCAGAACGUAUAGGCUCUAGUUCAGCAGUGGGUGGAGCUGCUUCAAUUUCUGCCAAGGACGCGUAACCAAGAUGUGUGGCAGCCCAUCGCAAAAAUGUCCGAAGGUCCUGCUUACUAAUGCUUCCGAUAGGAUUUAUAUCUGCUGAGCUGCAGUCAUACUGUGCAGGAAAAGCAAAAAGAGCACUUACAUAUAAACUAGUAGGCAGGUCAAGAUUAUUAAGAUACGAGAAAGUGCCCACGAGUAAUACCAUUUAUUACCGAAACACCACAAGUAAAAAUAAUGCAGUACCUUGGUGAGGUAACCACGCAAUGCUUCGUCCACAUUGGAGCUACCCAAAACAAGAUAAAACCCAGGUUUAUUAUGGACCCAAGGUAGGAGUGAUGCAAACAUAAAAGCCAGCACCAUUCUUAUUCGAGCUUGAAUGUUUUGCAAACCUAAGUUCUCGCUAUUAGAUCCUCCAUCUACCUAUCAAAAUAAAACGAUGUUGAAGAAUCAAUUUAAAGCACAAUUAUUAACAGUUUCUAAUGUAAUUAUGGUCAAAUCCCAACGACCAUAACCCAUACAGACAUACAUACAUACACACAUGAGGAGGAGGAGGGAGGGGAGAAUUUGAAGUCAGACAAUAUUUACUUUGUAUUGUGGUCGUUUUCCUGUUACAGUUUGAAACAACGACAGAAGUGCGGAAAUGACACCAUCUAUGGACACGUCAAGAUGCCAUGCUCCAAUUUCAUCUGCUAGAACUUUUGCCCUUGACUUUGUCGCUUCAGAGCUGCAAGGAACAAACCCCUUUACUGGACUACUAUAAUAUCAUAUUAUGAGCAUGUAUCUGCAGGAUGUUGGGAUAAUAAAAUCUACUGCAAGUCUACAAAUGGAAACUUUAUUAAUUUGUUAAUAAUUGGUUCUCAGGUGCAUUUAAAAUCUAAAAAACCUUUUCCUGGAUUAUCAAUUGAUGAAUUAUGGUGCCUUCCCCAAUUUAGUGCAUUUUAGACCUUUGCUUUUAUCAGAAACUGUGAUGAUUUCAGAUGAACUGCUGACAUUAGAUAUGCACAGCAAAGCACAAAUUACCUUAAUUAGAAACCACAAAAAGAGUUGCGUAAAGGACAUUGACAUUAAUUGUCAAUCUUAUUGUUAGAUGAAAAAUCAUAUAGCAUCCAAGAGAAGGUUUUAGUGCUACCUUACCUGUAAAACAAUUAAAGUACUGCAAUUUGCAACACCACAAGCAAUAAUUUAUAAAUUCCACUGAUGUCUGAUUUAAUAUUACAGGCACACGGCACGCAUAGGGAAAUUGUUGUUUGUGUAAAUGGGCUCACCUGUUUUCAGAUCCCAUGAAAACAGUAUAAAAUAUGCGUUUUGCGAAUUCUCUGCUGUCAGUAGGAUACUGGCCAUCCUUGUAUUGUCCAAUCCGUAUCGCGUCAGCUUUGACUUGUUCAUCCCCGUUUGCAAUUUCUGCAUGUAAGAGUCCAUCAUAAUUGAAUGAUAAUAUUCAGAGGAUGAUUUUUAGAUGGUUCCCAGUAAGAUACGAGAGAUCUUUUUUCUGCCUCUACUGCACCCUGAUUACUUACACAAGUUCAAAGGAGAAACUAACUUAUACCUCUAUGUUCACUCUCCUAACCUGAAACACUGGUUAGCUAAGUUUAUGACCAAGUUGUGAGCUAAGGCUGCUCAGAUUAAGUUGAAAACAUUAUAAUUCUAAUGUGGCAUAUGUAAUUUCUACAUUAGUAUAAUUCGCAAGGCCAAGGUAUACAUCCAGUUCUUAUGAUAAACCUGUAAGAAAUGGUUACAGACCCCAUCCACCCAUCCAGAAAUAAGUGGUCCAUCUACAUGAAAUGCAUCAUGCGACCGAAAAGUCAAUCACAUAAAAAAUAAAAUCAUGGUACCCGAUUAUAGGCUUAAGAAAACUAACCUUUUACAACAAGCUGGCACAUGCAACCAACUAUAGCUGCUACACAGGAGCUAUCUGCUCCUCCUGAAAGGGGAAGCAGAAAACCAGAAGCUCCACUUCUUCUUAAAUAGUCCCAUAACCAGCAACCAGGACCAAAGGCUAUUUCCUCCUCAGGGGAGUGAUACUUAAUCUGCAGAUCAUAAAAUAUAUUCAUUUAUAAAUGUGAAUGUUUGAUUAAUUAAAGCAAUGUUUGAUAAAUAAUGUCAAAAGGACAAAGCUUAUCCACAUAACUGGAAACUCCACCAAAGAAAGCAUGUUAAAGCAUAUCACUUUUGUUAUAUUGUAAGAUAAGGUCUGAAACACACAGAGAUGUAAAACAGAAAUAUUUGUAGGCAAUCUCUUGAUGAACCAAGACUGGAAAGCCAAAGGCUUUUCUUCAACUUUUUAAAAAACCACUAUCCCAACUACUUGAGUUGGUUUUUGCUAGAACUGGAUCUAACCUUUAAAGGACUAGAAAGGCACAUUUUCAGAUUAAAAGACUGACAAAGGUUGUAUCGCGCCUCCACAAAAGGAACCCUGGUUUUGCAGCUUGCUUGCUCUUGGAAGCUACUUAUAGAUCCUCUAAGACUAGCAACCUGCCAUUACGCCAGAAGCAAAAGUAGUAAAGUAAUAAAUUAUAGUUGUAAGAAAUUCAAGGAAUCUGUACUAGUAGAAGAAAACUAGACUCAAAGAAAUGAACCAAAUAUCUGUUAUUUUGUCAUAUAAAAGUCAUUGCAAUUUAAUGUAGCGUCUAAAUGAAACAUGCAGACACCUACAAGCAGUGAAAAGAAUCACAUACCGCUUCUAAAUCAAUUUGGGCAAUUACAACCUCAACAUCCUUCAGUGAAAAUUGUGAGCCUUGAGCGACUAGAUCUCCAUUUACAACGACAGAAGCGCAACCAUCUGUGACAAAUUACUCAUAGUUCAAAAAAUAGAUGCAUUACUCAUCACAUAACAAUAAUUAAAGAUCAAGUUUUUUAUAACACUAAAAGGAGAUUCCAUAAGAGAUAGACCCAAAAUACCACCAACGAAACAGUAUUUUGUCCUUAACUUAAAAUAUGCAGCACUGAUAAGUAUAUUAUCCUAUGAAAAUUUGCAUAGAACCACUGAAGAAAAAAUAAUGUCACGUACCAUAGUAGAGGCGACCACCAUCACACCCCUGGUGAUUGCUGUACAUGUACACCCCUCCACGAGUGUGAGUAGCACCCAUAAAAGCACGAAGACGAAUAUCAAGCUUUCUUAGUUGGUGAUGACUUCCACUUGCAUUCAUAAACACUUCAACCCCAUUCAAUGCAAGCUCAGCGUGAGGAGGAAUGGGAGUAAAAAGCUCUUCGCAAAUUUCAGCCGCGACAGCUCUAAUAAGGGAACAAUGCUUAAGAUUUAGAAAUGCAUAAAAUCCGAUUAGGAGUGAACUUAUUAUACAAAAAAUGCUAUUCUGACUGCUGAAAAAAGCUCACAACUCCUGCAAAUUUUACUUAGGCAGGCAUUUGACUCAUCUGCAUCAGCUAUGGGCUUUCCUGAAGCACAUUUCAGAUAAUGCAGAGGUGGGAUCAACCAACGACCACCUCUUGGAGACAAAACGAAGUCCUCACAAAGUGUUAUGAUGGCAUGAUUCUAAAACGUGGACAAAUGCAAAGUCCCAACCAAACUUAAUAAUCAUGAAUUUUGUAGUUAACUCAAUGAAUUCCAAGGAACUAUAAUGAAGACAACUUUCAAGGCAGUUGUGGCACUAUCCUAUAUAUCUAACAGGGAUAAAAUUAAAAAAAUUCUACUAUUUCAUUCUCACCUAAACAAUCCUACGUUUCAGUGUACGGAUGGAACUACAAAAGCAACAAGUGAUACAUGGAGUCCUAACCUGACUAACAACAAUAGAGCUAAUAACAUUGGCACUUACGUGUCCAGAAACUGAAUGUACCCAUAACCAAAAGGCACUGAAUCCUGUGACAAGGCCUCUGAAAUUUCCUUUGGCAGCUGAAAGUUCACAAGUUGGUCUCUUUGUUUCCAUGCUGUAAACCAACGAAGCUCCCUGUAAUUUCCAUCAUUCGCAAGCCACAUCUUUGGGCGUAUCAUGAUAAUCUUUCUGUUCAUACAAAGAAUUUGACAAUUGUAACGUUCUGACCCUUUGAUCACAGGCAUGCCGAAGCUGCAUAAUAUACCAUCAGUCCAAUCCCCAACUAAGAGCUCUUUCAAGCAUUCCCAUCUGCAAAAAUCACAUUUCUCAAUCACCAUAAGAGAUUACCAUUAACAAUAACUUAAAAAUCAUCAUGGUUAGUUAAUUAUUUUAAUAAACACAUAAUUUAUCCACAAAUGAGACCCCAAUAUGAUAUAUUUUCAGCAAAUAAACUAAAGUCCAAGUUGGUUUUAAUGUAGCUUUUUUUUUCUUUUCAAAACUUGAACUUUGAAAGAAUGGUUUGAAAUCCAAAGAGCUUACGCAUGAUUAACAGUAUCGAGCUCGAGGAAAUGGUCUUCGCAGCCAUAACCAGUAAUCUCAAGCUCAGGACCAAGCCGAAUCACAGCCCCAGCCUCUUUAGCCUUAGCUAUCGACUCUUUGAUGUUCUUCAAAUUGCAAUCGAAGUCCAUAGCCCAUUGGUUCAAAUUACACGUUGCAGUCUUCAGUAGCCUCAUCUCCAACACUUCAGUUUCAGCGAAUUCUUGGUUUUUGAAUUGCCUUUCUUAGCUGAGAAAGAACCAGAAAGCUUCGAUUGCAAGCGUCGCCGAUGUCAGCAAUGGAGCAGAGACUGACAAUUCUUAGCCUUGCGUUUGAAAUCUUGGAAAAUUUAUUCUGUUGCUUGGGAUCUAUUUAUUCUGUUGCUCGGGAGCUAGGCUCCUGGACCCUUGGACGGGUCAGCCCGGUCAAGUUCUUCCGGUUUUGACACGUUUCAAGGGCUCGGGCUUUGAAGCUUAUGUGGAAUUUUCAUAAGUUUGAAGCUUAUAACCUUUUGAAUUAUUCAGUAAAGUAAUCAAUUCAAUAACGUCAAUAAUACGUUAAUAAAACAAACAAAUUCUACUCGUUUCUUAGGCUUAAUUGUUACAUGUGCUUAAUUGUUACAGUGUCUUUGAAAUAUUGAACAAAUCCUACAUCCUUCUUUGAAAGUUGAAAUAACCUAUUUAGUGUGUCACUUUCCUCAACGUUAAAUUCAUAUCAAACUUUGUUAAAAACUAAUAAUAUAGUGUAGUUAUAUUGGUAAAUUCGUCGGAACUGACCAAGUUUCCACCAAUCUAAUUUGGUGAUGUGGCAUUGUAGAGUCCAAAUGGAACCCACUAGAUAUAGGUCCAUGUGUACCAAAAAUAAACUUUUGCGCUAAAAAUGCUUCAUGACAACCAAAUGUAACGUUUGGCAUAAAAACUCAUUAGUGCUUUCGUGCUUUUUACAGAAGCAAUUACUUUUGUAGGAAUCACUUUCAAAUACUUCUUGGAAUUUCAAUAAUUUUUUUGACGUUUUUCAUACAAAAGUAUUUUCAAACGAUUGCCUACCCAUGUGUACCUAAAAUUAAAUAUUAUUAUGCCUGUUGUCCAAAUGGAUCCAAUCCAUCCAUAUUAUUAGUCCGGCCCAUGGCCCGAAGAAAUGGGCUGGGCUCACACCCGCCUAUUUUUUUUUUUUUUCAUGCCUAAUGUAAUUCAGAUUUGGUUCUUAACAAACGAAUAUUUGCCCUCUCAACUGAACGCCGUCGUAUCAAGCACCCUUCUUUAUCGACCGAACGCCGUGCUGUUUUAUCGUUUUUCUUCAAUCUCUGCAAAAAACCCUUGUGCAGUGAACGAAACAGAAAUCUUGAUUUUCGUUUUUGGAAUUGAAUUUGGUUCGGAGAAUGACAGUAGCGAGCUCAGUAGUCCACGAAGUGCUGGGCCGGAGGGCCGAGGACGUAGACCAGCCCAUAAUCGACUACAUCGUUAACGUCCUCGCCGACGAGGACUUCGAUUUCGGCGACGAUGGAGAAGGCGCUUUCGACGCUCUCGGCGAGCUCCUCGUCGGCGCUGGCUGUGUUAGCGACUUCGCUGAGUGUCGCUCGGUGAGUCUGCGAUUUUUUCCUUUCACUUGAGUUGGUCCGUUUGGCUGCUCAGAAAAUCUGGAAAGAAAGUAAAACUGGUUUUGGAUGAGUAGAUUACUGUAUUAUUUUCUACGCUGAGCUUAUAGCAUUUGCUUUGAAUCUGAUUUGAUAAUUUGAGAUACUGGACAGUUGUUAUGAAUUCAAUUUCUUUUCGAUGUGUAUUCCAUGAAACUGAAUCCGACGUUGGUUUGUAGAGAAAUUGAAGAAAAGAAAAGGAGUUUUGGAAUUGUAGGCUUUAUGUUGUUAGCGACGCUUAGUUGAGAUGAGGUUGUUUGUGGACAUUGGCAAUGCUAUUCAUUUUGAUUACGUGAAAAAUGCUUUCUCAAUCUGGGUUGGUAUUGUUCUUGACGUUUGGUUUUUGCGAUAGGUUUGUAGUAUAAUAUCCGACAAGUUUGGGAAGCAUGGGUUGGUUAAAGCUAAACCAACUGUACGGAGCCUUGCAGCACCAGUCAGAAUGGAUGAUGGGAUGGAUGAGGGGGAAGCUCCAAAGAAGAAGGUUGAGGUGGUUGAUGGCCCUUUGUUAACUGAACGUGACCGAGCUAAGAUAGAAAGAAGAAAGAGGAAGGAUGAGCGCCAAAGAGAGGUAAGGUUUCUGUGUAAGAUAUGAUUCCUACUGCUUAUGCGAGGUUUUUAUCAUCUUGGGGUACAAUAUUUUGGGCCCUGUUGAGUGUGGGUAUAAUUGGGUUGAAGUUAUAUCUGAGCUAGGUUGUUAUUGGUGUUGAUGAUUGAUAUGGUUGAAAGAGAUUUGUUCAGUUUUAUUUAUACAUUGAUUACACAGCAACAAUAUCAAAUACAUUUAGCAGAAAUGGAAGCAGUUAGAGCAGGAAUGCCUGUUGUAUCUGUAAAUCAUGAAAGCAUUGGUGGGCCAAAUGUCAAGGAUAUCCGUCUAGAGAACUUCAAUGUUUCUGUGGGCGGCCGCGAUCUAAUUGUGGAUGGUUCAGUAACACUUUCUUUUGGAAGGCAUUAUGGUGAGUUUGCUUUUCAUGGAUGAAGAUGCUCUUGAUUUGGUUCUCAAGUUGAGAGGGCCUUUUGUUAGAGUUCCCAAUAGUGAGUUUGUGGUACAUGGAGUUUCUUAUCUCAGAGGUUGUUGAAUAAUGUUGUAGUUGUAAUAAUAAUUUUCAGUUGGCAUUUGACAUAGUAGAUUGUGCCUCAAUUCAUGCAGGCCUUGUUGGAAGAAAUGGUACAGGGAAAACAACAUUUCUUAGGCACUUGGCUAUGCAUGCCAUUGAUGGCAUUCCUAAGAACUUCCAAAUAUUGCAUGUGGAGCAAGAAGUGGUGGGUGAUGACACAUCAGCCUUGCAAUGUGUUCUGAACACUGAUGUUGAAAGAACUCAGCUUAUGGAAGAAGAAGCUCGUCUCCUCACUAAACAGGUUGAAUACCAUAUUGUUUUUAAUUAGAGGAGAGUUUAGCUUUCCAGUCUUUUUUUCUUUUCUUUUUUGGGUAUUUGAUGGAUUAAUGUUUACAUGCUCCUUUCUUGUGCUAAAUAAAUUAUUAUAACGUGAAGAGAGAACUGGAGUUUGAGGAAUCAACAGAAACGAGCAAUGGAGCAAUUGACAAAGAUGCUAUUGGACGGAGGCUUCAGGAGAUAUACAAAAGGCUUGAGUUCAUUGAUGCUGAUUCCGCAGAGUCACGUGCAGCUUCCAUUCUUGCGGUCAGUACCCCAUUCAUUUCUGCAACAAUCAUCUAAGUCUUUACAUGAAUUAAGCUUGGUUUUUGACAUGAAAAUUUAUGAUGUUUAGGGCUGGCUCAACUCUCCAAAAAUUAAAAUAAAUAGUAACAGAAAGAAAUGGGGUAAGAAGAAUCUCAUUCUAGGUUGAAUUUCUUUGCUGUUAUGCUGAACCUAUCAAUAAUGGUAUAAAUCACCGAGCCACCACUGCUAACAAAUGAAACAGAAAAUCCUACCUGCUGGCAGUUAACCAUGCCAUUCAGGUACAUUUGGAUGGGUUGCACUGGAUGUACGCAUGUGUGAUGCAAUGAAUUUCCUCUAAGUUGAGAAAGGAAGUUGUGCCUUUACCUACACUGUUGCUUGUCAGCUGGUUCAUUUUUCUGAAUUACUAUCCUACUGACCUGGAAUUUUACAGGGUCUUAGUUUCUCUCCGGAGAUGCAGCGAAAAGCAACAAAAGCAUUUUCUGGAGGAUGGAGAAUGCGAAUAGCUCUUGCUCGUGCUCUGUUUAUAGAGCCUGAUUUGUUACUACUUGAUGAACCCACGGUCUGUUGUUCAUAUACCCCUUUAGGCUUUUCAUAUUAUUCUGUGUGCCUGGUUUUCAUUUUUCCGCCUCAUGUUUAUCCUUUUUUCUUUUUCCAGAACCAUCUUGAUCUUCAUGCUGUCCUCUGGCUGGAGACUUACCUGGUGAAGUGGCCGAAAACAUGUAUAGUUGUUUCUCAUGCUAGAGAAUUCUUGAACACGGUAACUUGCUUGUGGGCUUUAGUUUCUCAGUUGGUCAUAUCAACAACAGUAUUAAUGAGUAUAGUUUAUGUAACACGUGCACUAUCCUUCAGUAUACCUCAUUCUAUGCUCUGUUUUUUCAGGUGGUCACUGAUAUCCUUCAUCUUCAUGGGCAAAAAUUAAAUGCCUACAAGGGGAACUAUGAUAUAUAUGAGAGGACACGAAUUGAACUGGUCAAGAACCAACAGAAAGCUUUUGAGUCCAACGAGCGUUCAAGAGCACAUAUGCAGGUUUUUCAUCUUACCGUAAUGAAAAAAUGAUGCUAUUAUUAUUUUUCUUAUUUUCUUGAUGUUUACAGCAGUUCAACAUAAUUCUGCUGACUUCCUAUAUUACUUUUUUUUUUUUCUCCUUUUUAUUGCCUUGGCAAAGGUGCUGAGGGUUGUUAGCCUUUGUUUGCUUCUACCAAUAAUUACUAAUUUGAUUUUCCUAGUCAACUUCAUUUUUAGAUAUAUGCACAUAUUUUCUCUUUUUAUUUUCAAAUUUUCUGCAUGUAGCUUUCUGUUUAAAUAAUAAGGAUAGAAUCAUGUCUGUUAGAUGUUAAAGUACUCGCUCUUCUUCUUGAUCUUCUUUUGUCAUCUUGCUCCUCUCUCAAUGGCAUGUUUUUUGAAUUACAGUAACUUGUGUUUGGCAUUCACAUGUUUUACUCUGAUCUGCAGACUUUUAUUGAUAAGUUCCGUUACAAUGCGAAGAGGGCCGCACUUGUUCAAUCAAGAAUUAAGGUGAUUUUUUUUGUAUUUUUGCAUGUUCCCGAAACCAUUUCUAACGACUGUAAACAUGUCUGAAUUCUGCUUUCUUGGCUGUUAAUAAAAAUUUGAUUUAGACAACUUUAUCAUGUACAAAUAAUCUUAAUAUAACUGAUAUUCCUUUUCUUUUAUUUAGGCAUUGGACCGGUUGGGACAUGUGGAUGAGAUUGUUAAUGACCCUGAGUAUGCACCGAUUUGUUUAUGUGGCUUAUAUGGAUAGGAGCUUCUAGAAACAUUUCUGCUUUUUCUUUCUAUCUUUAUAAACUCUUCCCUUUCAUGUGCAGCUAUAAAUUUGAGUUCCCAACUCCAGACGACAGACCUGGUCCUCCUAUAAUAAGUUUCAGGUUGGCUCCCUCUUUGGUUUUUGCAAGUCACCUGAGAUCCUUUCUUUGUGUUCUUUUCUAUUUUCAAGUUUAUUCUGUUCUCAUUACUUAGAUCAAGCGCUUAUUGGAUCUUUCUGAUGUAUGUGUUUGUAGUGAUGCAUCAUUUGGUUAUCCUGGGGGGCCCAUUUUGUUUAAGAAUUUAAAUUUUGGAAUUGACCUUGACAGCCGCAUAGCAAGUAAGUAUGCUAGUUUAAUCUUUUUCUAUUUGAAAAGGAUCCAUUCUUAAUGGUUUACAUAUGAUUCACCUUGUACAUCUGGUGUCAAAAUUGUUAUGCAGUGGUCGGGCCAAAUGGCAUUGGUAAAUCAACAAUACUCAAGCUAAUUGCAGGGGAGCUACAACCAACUUCUGGGACAGUUUUCCGUUCGGCUAAGGUAUCUUGCAUGUUUCACGGGUUUACCUAUACUGGAUAACAAUUUGAAAUUGAUAGAUUUCAGAUUUUAACUAACAUCUCACUGUCCACCAAGUUAAUUUGGUUAUAGUUAUCAUUAUUUAUUUAUGCAAAUACUUGUAUUCUGCAUUAUGGGUGUUAGAACGUAAAGUAACUGCUAUUUGGCCUUUGUAUCUCCUUGCAAAGUUGGAGUUACUUUAUAUGCUUGAAUCUCAAGGGGGACUUAUAUUUCUACAGGUUCGGAUUGCUGUGUUCAGUCAGCACCAUGUUGACGGGCUCGAUUUAUCUUCUAAUCCCCUAUUGUAUAUGAUGCGAUGCUACCCAGUGAGUCCUUGCUAUUACCUUCUUCUUUUUUUUCUUUAUAGGUUAUAUUUAUCUUUUCAUGUUUUGAUGGGUGGUAUCUAUGAGUUGCUUUUGAAGUUCUUUAUGUAUACAUGAGAAUCCAGGAUAGGAUCCUACAAUCAAACCCCUCUGAAUCUAUUUCCAUACCCGGAUUAGGAUAAUUUUGCUUUAAAACUAGAAUAUAAUCCAUGGACCUCAUCUACUGAUAUUUCCAACCUAAACAUGAUAUUUUCCCCUUUUCCUAUCUACUACAUCAUUGAACAAGACUUGGGAAUUGGUACCAAAACCGUUAGUCAUUUUGACCACAUGAACAAGUUUCCAUUGGUAGAGACCAAGUUUAGGUGAAAAUGUUGUUCAAGGCCUCAGCCCUAUCUGACCCGAGAUGGAUAAACCCUUUGUAAUUCUUUAAUCUCGUUUGGGCAGAUAAUCUUGUUAUUUAGAAUUGUCAUGCUUUUACUAUUAAGGGAUGCUUUUUUUUUUUUGUUCUUUUUUUAAAUGUAAAGUAAUAAAGUAUCCUUCUUGCAGGGAGUGCCUGAACAAAAGCUCCGAUCUCACUUAGGUUCUUUUGGUGUAACUGGAAAUCUUGCACUUCAGCCAAUGUACACUUUAUCAGGUAUUUUCUUUAUUCCAUAUUGUCAAUACUUGAAAGAUAUUGGUUGAUUUUCUUGAUCUAUAUGGAUUUUAGCAUUAUUCUCUAAAUGCAUAAAUGGGAUCUAUUUUUUAUUGUUGCAUCAUGCAUUAGGUGGUCAAAAGAGCAGAGUUGCUUUUGCCAAGAUAACUUUCAAGAAACCACACAUAAUAUUGCUUGAUGAGCCCUCCAAUCAUCUGGUAAGUCACGAUCCUUUGCAUUAUUUUAAUAUUUUGAAGAACGGUAUUCUGGAUUUCGAAGUUUCUCCACCUUGACUGAUUGUUGAUUUAUUCACAUUGCAAUGGUUGUUGACACGUAGGACUUGGAUGCUGUGGAGGCACUAAUACAAGGUCUUGUUAUCUUCCAAGGAGGCAUUCUCAUGGUACAUUAUCCCGAUCUCGUCAUGAUUUCUAUUCACAACAAAAGUUGAUUUAUCAUAGUUAGUUUGUGGUUUAUGCAUAACUAGGCGUGUGUUAUUAUUACUUACAGGUUAGUCACGAUGAGCAUCUUAUCUCUGGAAGUGUGGAUGAGCUGUGGGUGGUAUCAGAGGGUAGGAUAGCACCAUUCCAUGGCUCUUUUGAGGACUACAAGAAGAUACUGCAGUCGUCUUAGAUAAAAUGUUACGAAAACUCGGAAGAAUACACAACUCUGGAGCUUGUGCAUGCCGUGGCAUGUGAACAAUAUUUUGAUAUAGUGCACUUGUAUUGUAUGUACCCACAAAUAUGAUUCUUUUUGUUUUGGUUCCGAAAAGUUGACUCAUCUUUUGCUCAGAAUAGUAACUUCUGCUUAGAAUGAAAGUGGGAUUUAUUCCAAUGGGUUCCCACCACAGUGGUGGUGGAUUCCUCUCCCCAAUGGCACCCAGGUUCGAAAUCCUUAGGGGUUUCUUUCCUCUAAUGUAACCCAAAAAAAAAAAAAAAGAUUUUAUGUUCGUAUUUGAUUUACUUAUACUGUCUGGCUGAACGAGCACUUGGUUAAUAGUCCAUAAGAAGGGUAAAAAAAAAACCUAGAUUGAGCACGUGGAGGUUUUAGCCCAUGGAAAAGUUCUGGAGAAGGUUUCAUUAGUUUUGCAUUUGCAGAGGGGUAGGAGUUUAUUUGAGGGGUUUAAUUUCAUCAUCAACAAAUGUGAGAAAAUCAAUGGACUUCAAAUAUUUUAAAUAGUUUGAUGGUGGAAUCGAACCUCUCAAAUACAAGCUCCUCACUCUAAACUCCUCAUUGUAGAAGGUCUCCUGUUUGCCCCUUUAGAAGAACACGUUGGGAUUCUAAACUUGUUUCACAUUUUUCAACCCAAAAAAUUCAAAUAAAAAAACUUGUUUCUCAUAAUCUGACCGAAAAAAAAAAAGAAACUUAUUUCACAGAAACUUAAAUUUUAAAAAACAUGCGCAUCCAGGGAAUCGAACCCUGGUCAGUACCGUGGGAGGGUACUAUGAUACCACUACACCAGAUGCGCUUGUUGAUAUUGUGGACAACCGUUUGAAUUUAUUUCUCAUAGCCUUUAUAUUGUUCAUGCUUUCUAUUUCUCUUCUCGCUAGUCAUAUGAUCAAAGAGAUAAAACGGACCGUAGGCUUUUCUCAUAAGGGACGAAAAAAGGCAAGAGAUUCCAAAGGUCCAUGUAGUAGAAAAAUAAAAGAACUAGGCACACUAUGUUGAACUUUAUUAGAUGUGUAAUCUUAUCGAUUAUACAUGUAAAUAUGAGAAAUUUCUGACCGUUAAUGCAUGUGAAAUUCACGACACAAAUGGUUAAAAUUUACCCACAUGCUAUUGUAAUUAAUUCUAUUUACCGAUAUAUAAAAAAAUCUUGUAAUUAAUUAUAAAAAGAGCAUCUCAUGGGUUAGAUCGCAUGCGUGAUUGAGCAUAACAUGUCAAGGUAAUUAAAUCUAAAUGGAGCAUGGCCCAUAACCUAUAUAGGCCGUUUAGAACUAAACUAACACCCAUAUAGCCCAGGAGUCCAUGACCCACAUAAUGAUGGAUAUAAAAUUCAAACCAAAAUCACAUCAACCUCCAUUUUCAACUUCUGAGAAAGUAAAAAGAAAAGGAAAAAAAAGAAGAAAAAUGGAAAACGGGAACAAUAGUAUCAUAUCACGGGAGAAGCUUGACCAGGUGGCCAGCUGGGUGAGCGCGACGGUCUCCACCGCCUUCUUUUCCUCCCUCGAGCGCUUCUCUUGCGUCAACCUCGCCACCACCGACUUCGACGACGAGGACGAGGACGAGGCCGCAGACCGCCCUUUCACCCUCACCAAUCACAGCGACCCUCCAAACGACGUGGCUGAGCUCCCCGUCUGAUCCCCCCUCUCUGUGUGGUAUUGUUGUUACACUAGAUCUUGGUUUUAUGUGUAAUUAGGGUUUAUGAAAACAGCUUCUGGUUCUGAAUUUUAUGCGAGUCUGUCAAUGUGUAAUGUUUGUCGAUGACGAUUGUAUUUAGCAUUUUUAUAGAACAUAUUGAAAUUGUUAAAUAAUAAAGUUAUUUUCCUUAAUCCAGAGGUGGUUAAUUUAUGCUUGUUUCAUUGGAAUUGCAGUUUGUUUGGUUGCAUUGUUCAUGCAUUGUACGGACUGAAGAUCCAAUUUUAACAUUGGAUAGGCUAAGCUUCAGUAAACCCCCAAUUUAAUGAUUGGAAUUCAAAAAUUUUGUUGAGUGGAAUUGAGUUGAGUUUAUGCAUAUGCAUCAUUGGAUUGGAAGGACAAAUAAUGAUUGGUGCACUAUUUUGAGAAAACAAAUUAAUCAAUGGAUAGGACAUUGUCAAGUUGAUUUAGACUUAUGGGUUUGUGUUUUCAUAAUCUCCUAAUUGGAUACUUGAUAUAUGAGUUUUUUAUCCCUCUCCCAUUGUAGGAUAGCAGUACAUGCCUAGUAAAUAUACUCACAAGGCAGUAUGAUUAGUAAAUUAUAUGUUCAGGGCAGUGUAUAAAAUGUAUCAUAUUUGGCUUAAGGGACGUGGUCCCCCUCUAUUUCUAAUGUCAGUCUAUAGGAAACUUCUGCUGGGUUUUGUUCACAGUGUUAAACAGCUCAUUUUUUAAUGCCGUACUGCUCUCUCACAUGAUCAAGUUAGAACACUGACGUGUUCUUAUUCAACAUGGCAUGUGCUGGUAAUUGUAAUUGUAGGUGAGUCGGUGACAUAGCCUCGUAGAUCCCAUAUUCAGUUCAUUGUUUCUGUAAGUGAAAUAACUUCUGCAUAGAUUUGUAUAGACAGUUUAAACCCCUUAUUUUUUGCCUCUCUUAUGAUCUCAACCCUUUUUCUUGAGAAUCUAUUGCUUAUAUUAGUUUUUGGAAUGUGGCCAUAUAUCUAGCUUCGAGUAUCUUUUAUCUAUCUCUCCAUCCAUCUAACUUCCUGGUGGAAUGCCAACUUUUAAGAGCAUAUCUAAUUAUUUGUUGGUGAAUGUCAUGGUAUUUCCUAUUUUGUGAGUGAAACAGUGGAGAGUCUGGUGACUCUAGUGGCCUUCAGUAAUUGUAUCUUGAGGCUAUUUGUAAUUUUCCCAAAUUGAGUUUUAUGUCCCUGAUGCCAAUGAAACUCUUCUGGAACCAUAUCUGGGAUGUUGGCGCAUCCAAGAUUCUGAGAAGGACAACUUGAACACAUUCAAAACUUUAAAACUCCAGUUAUGAUUUUGUUAAUCCCACCUUCAAGCUUUCUUUUUACAAUUUAAUUUUGGGUGAUUCACCCUCUUUUGUAUCUUAUCUGUCUCAUGUUUCUGCAUGUGUUCAUCUGUGUCUUGAAUAUGCAAAUGGUGCACAUCUUAUAGGCUUAGUUUUCCUCUUAAAAGAUACUGCUGCAUCAAAUAGUGAAGAAAGUAGUUAUUGUAACUUGGAAUGCAUAGUGCUACUGCUGCAUCAAGUUGUGAAGAAAGUAGUUAUAGUCACUUGGAACAAUUAAUAGUGCAACUUACAACUUUAUCUUUACAAUUUGAUGUUUUCAUCUUCACAUCUCUCCUCUCUCUCUCUCUCACGCACACACACAUACACUACAAAUCCUAGUGCCAUUAACAACAAUGCCAGGUACACAAGAUAAACUUUUUUAAAAAACUACUGCAAAACUAGAACAACAAACAUGGAUGGUGAAACUUUACCACCAUUGUUAAUCUGCAUGUUCCCUCCAACAUAGUAGCAUGAACACGCAACGUUUGAUAAUGUACAACCUUGCUCUCUUCUCCUUCAAGCUUCUCUUUGAUGCCUGAGCUUUGGUUUGCCUUUGUGGGGAAGUAGACUGCUCCAUGAACUUAGAACUCCUCACUCCUCUCCUGGGCUUUUUUUUUUCUUCCUCCUCCUUCUGUGCCUUAUUAAGUCAGGUUAUAAGGAGAGAGAGAGAGAGAGAGAGAGAGAGAGAGAGAGAGAGAGAGGGGAAUCUUUUGUGUGAGUUACUAGUGGUUGUUUUUUCCAGUUUCAGUUUGAAAGUCAGCAGAUUAUGUCCUGUGUGGUAAAGGCCUGGAGAGACUCAGACUGACCACACCAGUCAACCAGGGAGCUGCUGCUUUUCUGCCUUGCGAAGGCUGUCUUCUGCUUCCCUCUGGUCUAAAAUCCAGACUUCCAGGUUGGUUGUCUGUUGAGCCUUCCAUUAUUACUGGUCUGUUUCCAGGAUUUAUUGCAAAAAGAACCAUGGACCACAAAAGGCCUUUAGAACAAUUUUAGGAAGUGCUUGGGUUCAUGAACUUAUUGAUUUUUAGAGUACGUUAGAUUAUUGCAUUACAAAGUAACUCAGCUGAGGUGUCCUGAUGACAACUUUCAGUCUCAUAGAUAUCAUGUACAUCAUUUUGACCAGCCACAGAUCCCUUCAAUGUUCAAACAACUUUUCAAUCAGCUCUAGAUUUUGUGGUCAUGAUUCUUGGUUAUCCUCAAGUCAGGUUCUGACCCUGACGUUUCAAAUUCCAUUAAUUGCUUUAUGUAUUAUAUUAAUAACGUGUGGGAAAUGUUAAAUUUUAUUUCUUAGCUUUGCGGUUUACUCUCUCUCUCUCUCUCUCGCGUUGCAAGUAGCAAAGAAGCCGCAGUAAAGGCACUGCCUCAUUUCAUUGGGGAACCUCAAACCGGGUUUUCAGAUUCUUGAUUGUGAUAUGCUCUUCUUUUGUUGUUGUCUUUAUUUUUUAUUUUUAUAUACAAGUAAUAUUGAGAGAGGGGAUUUAAACAUAGAACAUUUAGUGCCCGUUUGGCAUUGUUUAUUUGAGGUAAUAAGUGAUUUUUAAAAAAUUUUGAGAUGCCCAACCCGUUUGGUAAACUGUGAGAAAAUCACUUAUUGUUAAAAAUUGCUGUGAAAGAAAGCUAUAAGGGAAAGCAGCUAAUGAGGUGUUUUCAUUUUCUGAUUAUGUUGGAAUCAAAGAGGUGCUGGGUUUAAUAAUUAUGUGGCAAUCAUUUCUUGAUUAUGCGUAAAAUCAAUACCUACAACAAUUUUAACAAAAAUUUUACCAAACGCCAAACUGCUUUGUUUCACAGCUGAUUUCUCUCACAGCAAAUCUGUCAACGAUUAUUUUCACAGCACAGCAAUGCCAAACUGGCCCUUAGUGUAAGGAUAACGGCUUUUAACUACUUAAAUUAUAAUCAUCAUGCUAUUCUUUUGUUGUUGUUGUGGUUUGAGGUUCAAAACUCUCAAAGAUCCCUCUUGUUAAUGUUUCCCACCUCUCAAAGAUUCUAGGACUCAACGAGGCUCAAGUUUUAAAACCAUGGAGUUUCGAACUUAAGACUUUCUUCAAACAAACACUAGAAAUUGUGCGAUCGAAAUUUAGAACUUCUUCUAACAAAGUGGAAAGAAAAAGAAAAGAAAAGAAAAUCAAAGCACAGAAUACACAUUACAUUAUGGAAUGGAAUGGAAAGUUGGGGUAUUAUUGGGCUUGAAGGGUAUGGGCUGUUAUUGGGCUUAAAUGCCUAUUUAUUCAUCUGGUCCAAAAAUUAACUAAUAUAAUAAUAAUUACACAAACUUCACAAUCGACCUCUUCUUCUUCUUUUUCUUUUCUUCUUCUUCUUCUUUAGAGAAAAGAGAAGAAACCGUCGUGGUUGGUUCUUCUCGGUAUUUAAUGCCGGCGGGAUUUUUGCUAAGACGGCUUCAGUAUUGGCCUCUAGCCUUUGUAUUUUUCAAUCUUCUAUUAUUAUUAUUAUUUAUUUAUUUAUAUUAUUCGAUUUGCAAUUUUGUGUUGAAUGAAUUUGGGUGAGAGCAGGCUCCGAUGAUGAAUUAUUUCUUGACUGUCACUUUUGUAUAUAUAUCGUUCCAAUUUCCGAAGCUUUAUUUAAACAGUUUCAGCUUCCAUGUGGAACUCAAGGGACAUCUGAGGAGUUUCCCCACCCUUUUUCUUUUUUUUUUUUCAUUUCUUUUCUCCCCUUCAUUUUUGUCUCUUGUUCUUGUUCUUCUUUUCUUCUCAUGAUUGAACGACACGCCGUAUUAUAUACAUACGUAAGGAAAAGAAGAUGUGACAUGGCGUCGUUCUAUUUUUUUCUUUUUCUAGAUGGAAAAAAGGGCAUUGUAGUUUUCACAUGAUUGGGUUGCGCUGAUGGGAUUUAAUUGGCAAAUUUUUUUUUAGUUUUUUUUCUCAUAAAAGUCCCCGUAGUCUCACUCACACACAUCACAUGGUUCUUGGUUGUGCUGCUGUCGCGUAACCAUGCAAUUUGGCCUUGGACCACUGUCAUUUUGAGCUUUUUAAUUUUUUUAAUUUCUAGAAUAAAAGUAUUCUUUUCAACUUUAAAAAAGAUAAAAAGAUGAUAUCUAUUCUCUUUCUAACCCUCCUCUCUCUCCUAUCUUGACCACGAAUCUUGUGUUUCUUUUUUCCUUUCCAAUAUUAAAGUUCAAGAAAAUAAAUAUAAAAACGAAUUUACCACCAAAUUAUAUUAUGAACAAAACUGCUCACUUGUGCAACAAGUUGUGCUCAACAAACCGUUUUCAAUUCUCACAAACCGCACCAGAUGAAUGAAUCUAAUCCACCCCUCAUUUGAGCUUUAAGUUUGAUUGGGUAAGUUUAAAAUCGACCAAGUUAUAUGCAUAAUCGAUUCAGUUAAGUUCAAACGAAUUACAUUUAUCUUAUAAUCGAUUAAGUUCAUCCUUACAUACCACUUAAAUUAUAAACCUCUCACCCUUUUAGGUUUAAUCCACAUAAUUUUUUUAGAACUAUAAGCACAAAAUUUGAUCAAAAGAAUAAAAUAUGUAUGUGCACAAUAUACAGAAUAUCAGUGGUGAUGUGCACAAAAUACAGAAUAUCAUUGUUGAUGUUAAAGGUCAAAAGCUGAAACGUAGCUUUUGUUUCUAUCUUGUCAACCCAGCAUUGUUUAUGUCGAAAGCCAAAAGCUUAUUCAUUCGAUGGAUUGAAAGAAACCAAGUCCAACCCAAAAACCCAAAAAAUUCCAAGUGCCGGCUUUUGCCCUCCUCCCAAGUUCCAGUUUCUGUCAUCUUCUUCUUCUUCCUCUCCACGUCGACCAUGUGCUCUGCUUCUCUCUCCUCGUCAUCUCUCUGUCACCAAUCCCAUCUCAAACCUCCACUCUCUUUCUCCAACAAUGGCGGGCUCUCUGUUCCCCAGCCAUAGCCACUCUUCAUUCUCAUUAUUUUCUUCUCUUCUUCUCUCUCUUUUACUGCCAACCAUGACUUUCACAACAAAAGCCUCGUCAGCCUGCACUUCUGAACCAGGCCCUGUAAAACCCACAAUUCCAUUGGUCGCCUUCUUCGAUCGGCUCCAAGAAACUGCGCUCGCCACUUUUGGAAAAACCAAGUUCGACCCAAAAUUCUACGUCGAUUUGUCGCUCAAGUUCGAGUUAUCGAAGACUCAGACAGCCUUUGAUCAGCUUCCAAAGUCUGCAAACGGGUCUGCAUCAGUAAAGGAUUUGAAGGAGUUCAUAGCAGAGUAUUUUGAGGAUGCAGGGGAGGAUAUGGUGCUUGCUGAGCCAGAGGAUUUUGUCCCAGAGCCGGAGGGGUUCUUGCCCAAGGUGAAGAACCCAGAAGUGAGGGCUUGGGCUUUGGAGGUGCAUUUGCUUUGGAAGAAUUUGAGCCGCAAAGUCUCUGACGGGGUCCACAAGAGGCCUGAGUUCCAUACUCUUCUUCCUCUGCCUCAGCAGUGUGUAAUUCCGGGUUCAAGGUUCAGAGAAGUUUAUUACUGGGAUUCUUAUUGGGUAAUUAGGUAAGUGUUCUGUUGAUUUCUCUUCUUUUUUUCUUGUUUUUUUGGUUGAUCAUGUUAUUUUGAAUCAUGUGCUGCAUUAUCUUUUCUAAAUUGUUUAAGGUGAUGCUAAUUUAAAAUGUGAAUUCAGAAUCUAAUUCUAGUCAUUAUUGAAUCUUCAUCACUUGAGCCAAAAGCAACCCAAUUGGUUUGUUGGUGCGAGACUACCUUGUUAGAAUCAGAACAAUAUAAAAUGAAGUAACCUUUCUUUUUCCACUUUUUCAUUCACACUGGAGACAAAAGCGUAGAGAUAAUUGUGUAUUGAUGUGCAGGGGCCUGCUUGCAAGUAAAAUGUAUGACACAGCUAAAGCAAUUGUGUCUAAUCUCAUUUACUUGAUAGAAGAAUAUGGAUAUGUCCUUAAUGGUGCAAGGGCCUAUUACACUAACAGGAGGUAAUGCUUUAUCAUUUUGUUUACUUCUUCCCCCAGUGAAUUUUUAAUUGAUGUUUUGUUUCUAAGGAACCCCAAAAGAUUACAAAAGCAACUUGUAAAAUAUGCCAAUUUUGCACAAGAAAAUUGCCUUGGUGUAUACUAAGCUCUGCGUUGUAUUACACACUCAUAUAGUUCAGUUCCAUAUUAAUCUUGGGUGGGCAAACUUUGCAGCCAGCCACCCCUUUUGAGUGCAAUGGUUUUCGAAGUAUACAAGAGGACAGGCGAUGUCGAAUUCGCUAGAAAGUCUCUCCCUGCACUCAUCAAGGAACAUGAAUUCUGGAAUUCAGGUUUAUGAUAAACUUUUUGUACAUAAUAAGUUCACAUUAUAAUGAUUGCAGCCGUCCUUUGUUCAUCUAUAGUUGGUUUUAAAAUUUCUGUAGUUUUAAUUUAAUUUUCUGCUGUUGUAGGUAUUCAUAAGGUAACUGUUCAAGAUUCUCAAGCUCAGAAACACACUCUAAGUCGAUAUUAUGCAAUGUGGAACAAACCCAGGCCUGAAUCUUCAACCAUUGUAUGUCUUCCUCUGCAGCUCCCCUAGAAAAAAAAAUUAUACUUUUUGGUAGGAAAUAAAAGAGAAUAGAGCUAGUUUAUUACUCCUUUUAACAGAUUGUUAUGCCUGUCAGGACAAGGAAUUUGCUUCGAACAUCUCGAAUGUUUAUGAGAAACAGCAUUUUUACCGGGAAGUGGCUUCAGCUGCUGAGUCUGGAUGGGAUUUUAGUACAAGAUGGAUGAGGUAAAUCCACAAGAAGUAUGCAAAUCCACACUUAGAGAAGAGCCACUAUAAAUUAGUUGAAAGAGGAUUUUUCUUGUUCUUGUUGCAGGAACCACUCAGAUUUUACAACAUUGGCCACCACAUCAAUUUUACCUGUUGAUUUAAAUGCAUUCAUACUAAGGGUAUGUAUGGCUCAGAAAUCUUAAACAAAAAUGAAGCCCUACAAAUUAUGACCUGUGUCUGUUGAUGCAGAUGGAACAUGACAUUGCCUUACUUGCAAAAGUUACAGGAGAUCACAACAUUGCUGAGCGCUUUCUCAAAGCUUCUGAAGCAAGACAUGAGGCCAUAAAAACUGUUUUCUGGAACGCAGAGAAGGGACAAUGGCUUGAUUAUUGGCUCGGCAAUAGCACAUGCAAUGCGGUAUCAAUUGCAAAGCUCUUUGAUUUGUUGAAAGUUUUAGUUGUGGUUGUCUUAAUUCCUUCAUAUUUAUGCUUAUAGGAAGCUCAAACGUGGGAAGCUUGUAACCAAAAUCAGAAUGUAUUUGCGUCAAACUUCGUCCCUUUGUGGAUUGAGCCGUUUUUCUCAGGUUUGUGCUUCUGAGCUCCAUCAUAUGGUUGCAUCUGAGUGCAAGCUUAGACUGAAAUUUAUAUAAACAGACAACAAAGCAACAUGAAAGCGCACCACAAUUUUCCUUUGAAAGAUAUUAAGUUCUUUGGAUUAAAAUCAUCAAUAGAUUGGUUCAGACACCCUUUUCUAUAUCAUGAACCAAAGAACAUAAUUGAAUGAAUAUUUUGUCUUGUACAUUGUAUACUGAGAAAGCCCUUGCCCUGUGUGUAUGUGAGUGAAGAUGCUUCUCUGGUAGAGAAAGUUACAAGAAGUCUUCAAAGCUCAGGACUGCUUUGUGAUGCCGGUAUCGCAACAUCCUUGACAAAGUCAGGAGAACAAUGGUGAGUUCAUAAACUAAAAUCCAAUUAUCUUUCAGCAUUUUAAGAAUUAUCUGAGGCCUUUCAUGAAAGGGUUUCAAAUUUCAUUGUCAAUGGCCUAAUGGGGACUUAUAAAAAAAAACAGGGACUUUCCAAAUGGCUGGGCUCCAAUCCAACACAUGAUAGUUGAAGGCCUGGCAAGGUCUGGUUUGAAGGAAGCAAAGUUAGUGGCAGAAGACAUUGCUGUGAGGUGGAUCAGAACCAACUAUGUUGCCUACAAGAAAACAGGCACCAUGCAUGAAAAAUAUGAUGUGGAAAAGUGUGGAGCAUUUGGAGGUGGUGGUGAAUAUAUUCCCCAGGUAUAUAUGCCUUAAUCACUUUCUAAUUGACAAUUGUAUUAGCUACACAGAAGAUUUCAGCUUAAAUUUUUUAACAUCAUUUGUUUUAAUUUGUUUUGUGCGUGUUGCAAUGCAGACUGGUUUUGGGUGGUCAAAUGGAGUUGUAUUGGCAUUCUUGGAGGAGUUUGGAUGGCCUCAAGACAGAAGGAUAAAUUGCUGACUAGCAUUAGGAUUUUAGGACCAAAUCAUCUUGUUGGCUUCGAGAUGCAUUUCAGAUUUUUUUUUUUUUAAUUAUUAUUUUUUUUUGUGUGGUUACAAGCGAUUGGAUGCAUUUCAACUUUUAAUCUGUUUAUCAUAACAUAUAUAAAUUAUAUGCUAUUAAUUUUUAUUUAUUAUUAUGGUUUCUGUUGAUCCACGAGUAGGUGAUAAGGAUUUUUAUUGUCUGAUGCACUUUUGGGGGGUUCAUGCUUCCACUAAGAUUCUUAAUUAGUGUUGUGAUUAGGACAGAAAGGUGGGAUUUGCUCCAGAAGCGGCACUGAUUGGGAACUUUGAUUGAUUGUACAAUUAUUUUUCCCAAGCUGGUGGAGUUAGUGUGUCAAAAAUUUGCGUAGCUGUUUGAUCAUAUUCCCAACUCAUAUGUGACAUAAUUGACAUUGGUCUUUAUGGACUCGUUAUGAUUUUUAUAUGUGGCUAAAGAUUUAACUAAUUAAUUAGGGCCUAAUUAUCUUAUUUGUGUAGUGGGUGGUGGGUCAGUGUUAGAUGAUAGAGAUCCUUUUAGCAAGUGUCACGUUCGGUUUAAGGGAUGAUUAGGACUUAACAAGAAGAGAGAGCCAAAACACACAUCUCAUCACACGGACAUACUCCUAACUCUGAUGAGAGGAAAAAAAAAAAAAAAAAAAGAUUCCCAGGAAACACACAUUAGUUUCUUUUUCUUGUUUCUGAAGAUCAAUAGGACAUUUCUAACAAGUUAAAGUAUGGAUUAAGUAAAACAUCGAAGUGUUCUUCCGAUAUAAAAGACUUUAAAUUGUAAGAUAAAUGACAAAUUUAAAGACUGACUUUGACGUAGUUCUUGAAAAACUAUCUCAAUUGAUAGUCUAAUAGCAUAACACAACACGUAUAUAUGUGUAUGCAAACAAAAUGACGGUGGGGUGCGGUGAUGUAACCUUGUUUCAUAAGAAACUCCUUACCAUAUUAUUAUACAUUCCAACUAAAGAUUUAUUAAUUGUAAUUGAGAAGGAAGGAUAUGAUUGAGGUCAUCAAAUGGAGAUUAGUUUAGGGUAAGAGAUUGGAUGCCCUGAACCCUAACUUUAAGGGAAGAGGGACCCUUCAAAGAUUCGGAGAUACACAAAGUAGAGAGUGGCAAUCAUUGAAUCAUGGUAGUAUUCAAAUGGCACCCAAUGUAUGCUUUUGAUAAUACAAAAUUGGGUUUUUUUUUAAUAUUUUGAAUUGGGAAAUGAGUGAGUGGAAAGUAUAUAAUGACCAAAGUCUCCAAGAUUUUGCAUAUUAUAUAUAUGAACAAAUUAAAUUAUAGUGUCAUGGGAUUUGGUCCUUUCUCAAAUCCCUUUAAUUUGAUUAGUCAAUUAGAGUGGGCGAACUAACAAAAUACCCAAAUCCAAGGUUUAAUCUGUGAGGUGGGGUGCAUUCAAAUAUCAUAUAUAUAGAUUGAGGGAUAUAUUGAGGAAUUCUUCAAAUAAUUUUAUUCGAGAAGCAUCAUUUAGUGUUUUUUAUAAAUAAAUAAAAAAAUCAACUAUCCAAAUAAUUUAUUUUUAUAUUCAUAGAUCAUUUUUACAAAAAAUUAGACAAAUUGGAAACCGUUUCGACAUCUAAUUGUGUCUUACAAAAUCAAUGAACACAGUGCUUCAAGAAAGUACUAAAAUUUCAAUAAUUCAAUUAGGUGGUCAAAUGAUAUCGAAUUCAAGUGAAUUUUUUUGUAGAGAUGAUCUUUGAAUGAAUAUCUACAAAAUAGACUUUUGGAUUAGAGAAAUACAAUAUAGAGUGGGCCUUAUAAGAAUGUCCUUCAAAGAAACUUAUUUAAGGUAUCCCUCACUAAAGCUAUAUAUAUCAAAUAUUGGAGGCAAAUCAGAUGAAAGGCAACUUUAGGCUAAAAUAUUAAGCAGGCCUAAUCUGGGGAAGCCUCAUUUGACUAUUCGGGGGUUUCAUUGGAGGGUAACAGAUGUGCGCAUAAGCUUGCAAAACGGGACCAUAAUCCCAAUACUUAAUAGAUUUCUUUAUUUAUUUUUUGUCUCUAGUUAGUUAAUUAAUUCAAUGUAAUGAAAGUGCUUUAAUAAGCAGCAUUUAAACUUAAAGGUAAAGCCACUGAUUUUGAACCUUUUACUCCAAAAUGAUUUUGAUUUCAUUUUAUUAUAAUGCAUGCCCUGAUCCACACAGUGCAUGCAUAUCCUGACUCCAAAAUUUGAACUUAAACUUUUUUUUCUUUUUUGAGUUAAAGAAAACCUAAGAUUUGAAUUUAAUUUUGUUAUGUAACCAAGGAUGAAAGAGUAGUAGAGAAAAAGUGAAAUGCAAAAGAUAGAGUUCCGUUAUCAUAAUUUGUUUCUUUUAUUUUCAUUAGAGUAAAUUUCAACGGCAUGAAUGAAAAUUUCAUUUAACUAAAUAAACUAAUACAACUCAAGAAUGUAAAACCUAACCCUGAUUCAAUAAAUCUUCCAAAAGGGUGUCCUGCACAAACGAAGGGGCACCUCUGACCAAGACAAACUAUCAUCUAUAUGCAAAGUAUAUUGUGCUACGUACCCUAUGAGUAACUUCAUUCGCUUCUCGAAAAAGUAUGUAUAUGAACUUAUUGUUUGCUGGAAAUAUUUUUGCCAGAGUCUUCUAUUUAUGGGUUCACAUAAUAGGAGAUCGAAUACCAUUAUUUAAAAUAUAUAUAAAGCAUUAAUAAAAAAAAAUGUUAAUUUAGUGUAUAUAUGACUCAAAGAAUGAACUCAUAAAAGGUAUGGUGGUCAUCCACAAUCACGCAUUUACAACAAUUUUCUCUCGUUUAUAGGGUAGGGGCCAAGGGACAACCAAGAAAAUGUAAAAGCUGUAUGAAUGUUUCCUCCUUUAGACUUAGAGAUAGCAGGGGCAGGGGAGGCCAACAUGAUAAAUACCUAGCAAAGAUGACUGAGAUGCCAUGACAGCAUGAUAGGAUAGGAUAAGAACACUUUUCCCCUCCUUCGAUCCAAGGACCCCAUGGCCUUAUAAAUUUACAGAUAAUCUCUAAAGUGAAAAAAAGAGCCAUAAAUGAUACUGAUUUCUAUUAAGUAUGUGGAUUGGGGUCUAGGAACUUGAUUUGUAGGGUUAGGCCGCGUCUCCGUGUUCUUGAAAGAUGUUCAAGAGCUCACAUCCUACUUCUUCAAACAUGAAAGAUCUUUAAAAUAUGUGCUACUUUGGUAAAAAGUUAAUGUUCUGCCAAUUAAUUACUUUGGUUUCAUAGAAAAAAGGUUAUCGUUAAUAUGUGCAAAAUUAGAUACUAAUUGACCCGACCAAUCUAUUUUAAAGAGAAAAAAUUACAUUCACUGGAUGUAUAUGUGAAGAGAGAGACAGAAAAAGAAGAGUAUGUAAACGAUUUAUGCAAGUUUUUUCUUUAUCCGACAGGUUCAUAAUCAUGAAUAGUAACACACGCAAACAAAAAGGCAAGAAGAUGUAAUGUGGCAGCACCAUGGCCUAAGAGAGUAGAAGUUGGUGAAACUAGCGAUGUGAGAGGAGAUGAGAUACAUAUAUAUAUUCCGUUCCAAAUACAAAUAGUAGUAGGAAUAGUAUGUGCAGUUUGUGGAGGAAGGAUAUGAUGUCAUAAGGUCCCCGCAGGAGGGCACGGGGACUAUUUAGAAAUAGAGAAGUGCUCCCAAAAAAAGCUGAAAUUUUCAGCACUUUAUCCACCUUUUGGCCAAAUAAUAAAGGGUCUCCCUCUCUACCCACCUUUUCUCAAACUAUUGCACAUCACAAUUAAAGUGCCCUUAAAAAAAAAUGAUAUUCUCUUUGCUCAAUUAUGCUAUGCAUUCUCAUUAAAAAUGAAACUUUUAUAUAUAAUUUUUUCAGUUUGAGUUUUAAGGUGAUCGGAUUUUCAAGGAUGGUAGAGCAUAAUUAUUUUCAUCUUUUCUAUUACGAUUCUAUACUAAAUCCACCAUUAAAGCACGUUAUAAACAUAAUGAUGAGCGAAUUCAUAUUCGAACUCUUAUUACAUAGAACCUUGGUUGCAAAGAAGAGGAAUUUCUAGCUUUAAAAAAGAUGUGUUUGAUAAACUAUGUCUAAAUGGAUAAAUGAGGGAUUCAUGUAUUUUGGUGGCUCAAAACAAAAUAAAAUUAGAAUCGGAUUGAAUUGAAUUAUUUUAGACUUGGUAAGUUAAAAAAGUGAAAUAAGUAUAAAAUGAAAAAAGAAAGGGAGGGUUUGAACAGGAAUGAUUGACCAGAGGCGACUUUUUUAUCCCAAUAAAAUGCAAGAUUCGAUGUGGCAGGAUUGACUGAUCUGCAGAAAUUUGGAACCCUCCUCACGUGCGAUUCCCCUUUGACAAAUCACAAAUGCACGCUCUCCCAUACAUUCAUUCACUUAAUCAAAUCACCUUGACACUUGUGCCCUCUAUACUUAUUUUCUUUUCUUUUCCUUUUAUUCGCCAUUUUAAAUAAUCAAUCACUUAUUUUCUUUUUCUACCUCAUCCACCUACAAAUGAAAAUUUGAACCAAGACCUAAAAGUGAAAAUUUGCCGUAAAUUUAAUCCAAGAAUAUUUAUGCUAGUAAAGAAUAACUCAAUUGGUUCAACGUUUUCACCUUUAUUCAUAUGGACAGAAGUUUGAAAUUCUGAGGCACCCAAUAAAUAUUUGUGUAAACUUUCUUUCUUAAUCGUUUGUACUCCAAAAAUAUACAAGUUCAUAUAUCCAGCGAAUUCACACAAUUUAACAUCAAAGACUAUAACUUAAAUUUUAUAAUUUCAUCAUAGUUUUGGGAAGGAAUCAGUUUUCUUCCUAUUACAUACUAGUCUUGCUAAAUAUCCCAAAAAGUUUAUAAACAUCUGCCAUGAGCAAACAAGUAGUUCUAAAACAAGUGCAGUCCUUAUAAUGGACAUUCCUAAUAUAUAAAAAAAUAUAAAAAUAAUCAAGCAAUUAAGUCCUCUAUUGUCUCCAGUUUUUGUCUUCUUGGCUGGAGACUUAAGACUACAUUUCCUUAUUGUGUGGGUUGUCAAAGAAGAAAUGGAUUGUGAUUCCAUUAGCAAGCUAGAGCUUGGUCGGUCUAGAGAUAUAUUUGCAAUUCAAUUUUAACAACCCACGUCAAGACGCCAAGAGACAGAGAAACAUAGAGUACGAUAGGGUAGGGGUUGGGGAAGGUGUGGUAUAAUUAGAUUAACUUUAUUUAUAAAAAAAAUUCUAUUUUUUACGUUUAUUUUAGUUAUAAAGAAUAGACAAAAAUACCCUUAAAUUUAACGGAAUUUUUAACGGAGUUAGACAUAGGUUGUGGAUUGCAAUACUUUACAAAGUGCAAGUGGUUAUAAAAUUAAGGGAGAUUCACUAUUAUACCUAAUAUAGGGGUCCACAUUAUAAAAAUAUCUUAUAUGAAAUGGAAUUUAGAAACACACUCAAAACUCAUUUACAACAUAACAAAUAAAUUUUUAACUUCUUAUAAAUUACAAAGCUGCCAUCAAUUUCUUAAAACAAGCCCAACCCAAAAACCUCAUAAAAAAUUCAAAAUACUCAAUUAGGUAUUAAAGUAAUUUAAUAAUCAAAAUUAAAUUCAAUAGGGUCAGCUGUCAUUUUUUGGGUUUGUUUAUAAAAAUUAAAUGAUAUAUAAUUUAUCUAUAUUAUUAAUGCUAAGAAUGAGUAUAUCACUAUUUAUACAAAUUUAAUAAAUUAUUGUUAAGACUAGUAUUUAUUUCUUAUUUGAUGGGUCUUUAGAUGGGCAAGGCUAUGCUCAUCCUUACUUCAUAAUAAGUCCACAGCUCUCUUGGACCCAAAAAAUUGUUUACCAACUAACCCACGAGGAUGUAACCUGUUUUUAUUCGAGGCUGAUUAUUGCUUAAUUAUUUUUCAUUAGCCAAUAGCAUAUGCCCAUGCGCUGCCUGGCCAUAUUCUCAUUACGAUAUAAGAAAAGCUUUAUUCAAUGAUUCCAGCACAAAUUGUUUUGAAAAAACAAAACCCUAUGGAAUUUUUUAUAUUAUUCUUCUCUUAUAUUAGAUUAACUUCAACUUCACGUGGUAUGUGGAAUUGGGGAAAACUCAAUUUGGGAUUUUGAAGAAAAGUUUUUAGUUUGUCCCUUAAUAUUUUUUUAGAAUGAUACUAUAUUAAAUUAACACAUACUAACGUUAGGAUUUAAAUUUAGGACUUUGCUGAGAAUAAUAGUUCCAAGUCGUUACACUAGUGGGUCCUUUUCACCCUUUAACAUUCUAUUAACGGCAACAAAAGAGGCUUUUGAAAAUUAGUAAAAGAUUUUUGAAAAGAAAGGGGUAGAAAAUUAGAAGUAGAUUAUUUGGUACAUUAUUGCUAGAUCUUUAAUUUAAUGGUUUGGAUGCUAUUAGGAAAGUUGUAGUAAAAUGAUUUGGUGCAUUAUUGCUAGAUUCUUUUCGUUUACAAUCAAAACCCUCACCUCCCAAAGAAAGAAAAAACCCCACUAAAAUCUCGAUCUUUAAAGAAAUAAUAAUGUUUAGAAAUAAAAACAAAAAGUUAAUUAGAUGGAUUAGGACCACAAAUAAAAAAUCACCAAGUUAACCUAAUCAUGCAAAAUUAAAUUUAAACCAAUUAAUCCGAUCUAUCAAUCACUGACAAAUAUAUAAUCCUCUCCCCCUCCCUCCCUUUCCCUAAACCUCAAUCCAUAUCCUCCACCCAAACCAAACCUCACCAUUUCUCUCUCUCUCUCUCUCUCUCUCUCUCUCUCUCUCUCUCUCUCUCUCUGUAUGUACUUAAUGCAAAGCGGCUACUUCAGGCACAGUGAAUAACCAAACACAACACGUACGUGCUCUGGCUGCUUCUCUCUCUCUCUCUCUCUCUCUCUCUCUCACAGUCUUUGUUUUUCUGUGUAAUAGUCAACGCGGUCAAACAUCACUUCACACUAUAGGCCCCAGUGAUCAACAGGCAAAAAAAAUGCUCGAGACCGUGAAGUACCUGCUCGGAUCGGCCGGCGCUAGCGGCUACGGCUCAAGGAGCACAGCCGAGCAAGUCACCGAGAGCUCUCCCGAUCUGCGCCACAUCACCGCCAUCAUCACAGGUACGCAAGUGAGCUUAAUAACCACCGUCGGAUUACGGUGAUUUGCUUUUCAUUUUGAUGAUCAGCUUCUGAUUUUGAAGACCGUGUGGUUUUUUUCGAAUUCAUCAGGUGCUACUUCAGGGAUCGGAGCCGAGACGGCUCGUGUUUUAGCUAAGCGCGGGGCCAGGCUGGUUCUCCCGGCCCGGAGCCUCAAAGCGGCCGAGGACGCCAAGGCUCGGAUCGUCUCGGAGUUUCCCGACUCGGAGAUCAUCAUCAUGGCGCUUGAUCUUAGCUCUCUCACUUCUGUCAGGAACUUCGUCUCCGAGUUCGAGUCCCUUCAGCUGCCUCUUAAUCUGCUCAUGUAACUCUCUCUCUAUCUCUCUCUUGUUGCUUUCUGUUUGGCUGCCGAGAAAAUGCCGGAAACGAAAAGAAAAUUAGCCAACUAAAAAGUUUCUUUUUGGUUUGUUUGUGUCAGAAACAACGCCGGAAAGUUCGCGCACGAGCACGCGAUUUCCGAAGACGGAAUCGAAAUGACCUUUGCGACUAAUUAUCUAGGUUAUUAGUACUAACACUCCGACUAAUACUUAAAUUAAUAUUUUGUUUUUUGUUUUUUGUUUUUUUUGACAGAAUAUUUAUUUAAAAAAUUCAGGUCAUUUUCUGUUGACGAAGCUGCUGCUCAACAAAAUGAUCGGACCGGCGGCGGCUACAGGCGUUCAAGGCCGAAUCGUGAACGUCUCGUCGGCGAUUCACGGCUGGUUUUCGGGCGAUACCAUCCGAUAUCUCGGCGAGAUCAGCCGAAGCGGAAGGUGAGCGAGUUAAAUGAAUCGGGAACUGUAGCCGAUUAUUUAUGGUGCAUUUAGUGAUAAGAGCAAGAAAAAAAAAAUUAUGCGGUACCAAACUAAAAUUCUUAAUUUUAUAUUAAAAAAAUCACUAAUUAAUUGAUCUUAUUCUCGUUCCUUCACUUAUUUAUUUAUUUUUAAAUUAUUUAAUAAUAUAUGUGAAUUAAAUGAGUUGGUCAAGAUAGUUUGUCCGUCUUUUUAUACCUGAAUUUAAUUCACUUUUCAUAUAAAAGAGUAAUUUGAAAUAUUGCAUUAUUAAAUAAAUUUUUUAAAAAAAUUCCCAUUCAGUAUGUAAUUAUUUGGAUUCAAUUUUUUUUAAUUUUAAUUAAUUUGUCUUUGAGAGUUCCACAUUUGUUUAUUUGUAUUGACAUUUUUUGUGUGGGUGGUUAACAGCGAUUACGACGAGACACGUGCGUAUGCGCUCUCGAAGCUGGCCAACGUCUUGCACACCAAGGAACUCGCUCGCAGACUCAAGGUUCGCAUGAUCAUUAUUAAAGACAAACACACACACGCUGCCUGAUGAUUAUCGAUAUAAAAAAAUAAUUUAUUAUAAGUAUUAAAAGGUGGCUUUUGUUUGUUUUCUUAAAUGAUUAUUGUUGCUAAUUUCUUUGUUGUAAUAUUGUUUUUUGGUUUUUACUAAAAUCAUCAGGAAAUGGACGCCAACGUGACCGUUAACUGUGUCCAUCCAGGAAUCGUUAGGACCCGCCUCACCCGAGAACGUGAAGGCCUUGCCACAGGUUACGUUUUUAUUUCUACAAAUUUAUUAAUUUAAAAUAAUUUUUUGUGUUUGCUGAAUUAAAUGAGUUUUGAAUAUGUAGAUUUGGCGUUCCUCAUGGCUUCUAAGCUCCUGAAAACAAUACCCCAGGUUAUAUUUGUUAGCCUAAUCCUUCCUUUAAAAAAAAAUGUUCAAUAAAUUUAGUAUUACAUUGUACUGAGUUUAGUUUGUUGCGGAAGGCUGCCGCGACAACAUGUUAUGCUGCGACACAUCCAAGGCUGGUGGAUGUGUCCGGGAAGUACUUCGCCGACUGCAACGAGACCUUGCCGUCGAAAUUGGGGUCUAACCUAAGCGAAGCUGCUCGGUUAUGGUCGGCCUCUGAAAUCAUGGUGUCCAAAUCCUCCACUGCGAUUUUUGAUCCGAGCAGCCAAUUGGAGUACUAAAAGAGUAGAAGACAGGACAUCAUCAUCAACUAUAUAUUAUAGAUAUAAAUAUCAAGAGAGAAACAGAAAAGCAUCUUAAUUAUACGACUAGUUACUUCUUAAUGUAUGUUUAAUUAGUAGCUAAAUACAGUGGUAGGAAGGAAGAAGGAACAUCGCCCUAAAAUUAUAUAUAUAAUUGUACACAGCUUUGAACAUGUAUAGUACUAGUUUUAGUAGUACGAUAGUGGCAUGGAUUAUAUAUAAUUAAUUAGAUAAAGGAAGGCUUUUGAUGUAUGAAUAUAUUUAUGCGAAGAAUGGUUUUCUUAGUUGGUACCAAGUCAUGACCAGAUUGGAUUUGGUGUGUGUAUAUAUAUAUAUAUAUAUAUAUAAUGACACAAAGGUAUAAUAUUAUAGAAUUAAUUAGAGUUUGCACUGUGGACUUUGGUUGGAGAUGAAAGUGUUUGGAACCCUAGUUUGUGUAUAUUUGUUGAAUAGUAUAUGUUGGUUUUUCUUUAAGCAAAAUAUAUCUGUUCUUUUGCCAAAACAGAUCUAACCCGGUAGAAAAGAGUCUUAAUUUGCAGAGUAAAAUUCUUAAAUUUAAAGAAUAAGAGGUCAUUAAGAACAUGGGGUCAGUUUGUUGCAUGUGGUGGUUGAAUUUUGAAGAGUAUCUUUGGGGCUACAGUUUGGGGCCCUACUUACUAACAUGCGUGGUGGUCACCGAUCGAUGCAUGCUUUCAAUGAAAGGAAGUUCAACUUCUCGAUCAAAACCCCUUUUUAAAAUCACCAGUUUUCCCUCUUUUUAAUUAAAUAAAUUUCAUAUUAUUUUGAAAGCAGAAUUCAAUUCAACGCAAAACACAAAGAAGAAAAGAAGACGUGGAUUUGACAGAGGUGGGAGGGAAGAAAGACAGAAGGGCUCUGUCAAAUGGUUAGGGCAAACAAACGAAAAGUACAAAGCAUUAAAGGCAGUCACAGAAACCCUAGUUUGUUGUGAGGACUUUUUGAUGCUUCCUGUUAGAGUUAUCCAUCUACACACGAAUUCUCCAAGACCAAAGCCAAAUGUGGCAUGUAGACGAACACGAAGACAAAGCAGUUAUGUUGUCUGAGGCUUUGUCUCCCGCCCCACAAUAAAUAACAUCUGCCAUUGCCUAACAUUUCUCAGGUUGAUUAUUGCUGUAAUUAAUUCAUAACCACCUUAACUUAAACACAGCUCAGCUGAUGAUCUUUUGAUUAGCAAAAACUAUAACUACAAAUUACCAUUUACCAAGUUCCUUUUUACGGUGGUCAAAGGAUUAUAACUCGACCAAGAGACAUAAAUUGUGUGUUGUGAGUCAAAAGCUAACUAGCUUUACCGACAGACAAAGUGAAUGAUCGUUUACCCUGUUGCCUAUGCUUUGACUAUUGAUGAGGAUAAUGUUGUACCAUAAUGAUGCUAUGUCGGAUUAUAAAUAAAAAUAUUAGCAAUAUGGAUGGUAUUAGUUAAUGUUUUAUAUAAAUCCUAAAUAGAGGUUCAAUAUAGGAAGGUAAUCUUGUUAUUACCCUAUUCCUUUCCCCUUGAUCACAAGAAAAAUAUUGAUUUCGGAGGAUAGCUCAAGGAUUCGAUCCAGAAGAAAUUAUGAGUUAGAGCAAAUGCAAGGUUGUUGGGCCAAUGUAUGUAUUUCCUACAAAGUUUUUUAGUAUUAUUAUUAUUACACAUUUCAAACAACAUCCUUAUUAAGUAGAGAUUCUUAUAUGUGAUUGUCGUGUACGACAACAUACUCACACAAGAAGGAUCAUUGAAGGGGCGAGUGGGACAAAAAUAUAAGGGGUUCUUGCUUUUGUGACUGCGGCCGAGACAAUGCACAUGAUACGACAGACGGAUGCUAGAAUUUUUCCUUAGGUCAUCUUCAAUAGUGGGUUAAAUCCUCAAAUUUAGCCCCUUCAUACUCCAAAACCCAUCUCCAACAAGUAGGCUAAAUGUGCCAUGUCACUGAGCCAAACCCAAUCAGCAGGCUAAAAGGGCCAAAUGUGGCAUACUUCUUGGAUGGGCUAUAUCUUAUUUUAUUAUUUCUUGGGUGGGUCAGUUGUUGUUUUUAAAUUAAUGUAUUGUUGUUGUUUUUAAAUUAAUGUUUUAGUUUCUUGGGUGGGUUGUUGUUGUUUUUAAAUUAAUCCUAUCAUAUCCGAAAAAUAUUUUUCUUUUCUUAAAUCUUAUUCGUGGAUGUCAAAAAAUUUAUCCAAAAAUAUUUUUCUCUUCUAAAAUACAUUUUAAAUAGGGUCUAAAAUUGUAUUUUAAUUCAAGUAUUCAAUAUAUUUAAAGAAUAUACUAAAAAUUAAUAAAAUAUUGAGGAGGCUAUGAUUUAGCUAUGCACUGCUGGAGACGAUAAAAAAAUAUAGCCCAACACUAUUUUUUAAAAACAACUAUAAAUAAUGAGCUAAAUUUUAUGUGUGGUCUAUGUUUAACCCUCCACUACUAGAGAUGGCCUUAUUAAGCUCAACUUUUGUGGGUUUUGUUAAUUUCCUUAAUAUUAAAAAUAAGAUAAUUAAAAAAAACCCUCCAAGUUCACUGAAAAAGCCAAGCCCAAUAUGCUUGUACGGCUCAUAUAUUCACACCCACAUACAAGCCCAAUAAAAAGCCCAAAAGGCUAAAUCCCUGAAGUCCCAUAAACCUCUGAAGAAAACUUAACAAAACCGAACCAUCCCGUCUUCCUCACUCACACACGGGGCACAACGCCAACCAGAUCCUCACCCCUACCGAAAAUGGCGACCACCCUGCUCCCCGAGACUGCCCAAAAGGUCCUAACCCAAGAAACUCUCCGCUCCGCUGCCAAACAGUCCCAGCGCUGUCUCACAACCCCAGUCCGUCUCCGUCGAGCCAUUAAAAAAUACCUCAAAGGUCUUCACUCUCUCUCCCUCUAUCUGUUUUUAUGUAUCUAUAUGUGUAAAUGAUGCAAUUCAAUUUAUGGGGUUUUGGGAUUUUAGAGCAGGAGGAGCCCCACAUGAAGAGGAAGGUGCUGAGGCUAUCGGAAUCUUUCAGCCAAAUUAAGGAUGUGAAUUCGCAGCUUGUUACAGCGACUUCACAACAGCUCGUUGAGGACCCUUUGCAGUCUGUGGACCAAUCCCAGAGGUGGAAGAUCAAGAGCUCUUAUGGAGACAUCGGCCUCACCUACAGAGACGACGAGACCAUUGCUUAUGUUGCUUCUAGAAUGCCUGCUGUGUUUUCUGCUUGUCACAGAGUACUCAAGGAGGUAUGAAUGAAUGAAAUUUGUAAUAUGGGUUGUUGUAUAAAUUUGAAUAACGAGUAUUGGAGCUGAGAAAAUGGUGGAAAGCAGAGAAAGUUAUCUUCUUCUUUUUUAUAGAAAUGAGGUGCUUAGCUUGGAUUUGUUAUGUUAUUGUUCCCUUUGAAUGUGGAUUGGUACAAGUAGAUUUGUAGUUGUUCUGAAGUUUCGUUUUCUUAUGUGUUCUGUUGUUUUACAGGUUCGUAGAAGACUGCCUGAGUUUUCUCCUGCUAGAGUGUUGGAUUUUGGUGCUGGCACGGGUUCAGCUUUCUGGUGAAAAACACAUUUGGUUAUCUUUUGAUUGCUAAUCACGUAAGACUUUAAUUUGGUUGUAAUGUGAAUUCAAUGCUAUAGGGCACUACGUGAAGUCUGGCCACAUUCCUUGGAGAAAGUUAAUCUAGUGGAGCCAUCACAAUCAAUGCAGCGUGCAGGGCAGAAGCUUAUACAAGGUUCUUAAUGAUUUUUCAGUUCGAACUAGUUAAUUGAUAUGUUUUCGAGAUUAUUUGUAGAUUAAUUUGUAUAGAUAACUAGUUGAAUUGCAGUUGUUAAAGCACCAGUCUACUAACCUUUGACCAUCCGUAUUGCAAUUGUUCAUGCAUUAUCAACAAGCGUCUAGAGCUCAGAAAAAACUCUGACCACUUUAUGUCAUGGUUAUUUUAGGUCAGAAGGACUUGCCACUUAUUCAUAGUUAUGAUAGCAUCCAAUCAUUGACCAAAAGCAUCAAAAAGUCAGACAGAGAGCAUGACCUUGUAAUUGCUGUAAGUUAGGCAAAUUAUACACUUACACAUCAUGUUUGCCUUGGCAUGGUUGGUUGGUACAUAUAAUAACUGUUGUUUGUUACAAUGGGGUGAAGUCCUAUGUUCUUGGAGAGAUACCGUCGCUCAAGGAUCGAAUUACUGUAGUACGCCAGCUCUGGGAUCUGACACGGGAUGUCCUGGUAUGCUUUUUAUUUUAUUUUAUGUGGAUGAGUUUCAUGCUUCCUUAUGAGUUCAUGAUAGAAGAUUUGUGAUGAUCCUAUGUUCUGGUUUAUGCCAUUAACUAAGGGGACAAGUAUUAUAUGUUUUGACAAAUGAUUUUGGAAUACAUGGGCAAAAGAAAAAAUUACUUGUAAUUCACUUGCCAUGUUAUAAUUGUUUUCAAAUUUUCAGUUUGGACCUUCCAAAUUUUUAGCCUAAUAUAUUUACCCUUUGAUUUCCUAACAUUUUAUAGGUUUUAAUUGAACCUGGAACACCACAAGGAUCUAAUAUCAUAUCUCAGAUGCGUUCACAUAUAUUGUGGAUGGAAAAAAGGGUAAGUAGUUUUCUUACUUGUUACUUGCUCCUUGAUGUGGCUUUUGAGUUAGGAUGCUUGUUCAAUUUCUGUACUGGGAAUUUUUUGUGUCUGCAAAAUAAUGUAUAAUGACACACUCAUUGCUUCUUAGAAAUGCCGUAAAUCUAAAGAUGGAGCUGAUGAAACUACCAAGGACUUGGUCACUCAAAAGAAUGGUGCAUUUAUAGUUGCUCCGGUGAGUAUAAUGGCUCUCUAGCCCAUAUUUUUCUGGUGUCAAAAUUAGUAUGUUGCCCAGCUUCUCCAUUUUUUUCCUUUGAAAUUGUUAUUUCUCUCAUUUUAUUUUAUAGUUCUCUUGAUGCAGUGUUCUCAUGAUGGACAAUGUCCGCUAGAGAAAGCUGAAAAGUAUUGUCAUUUUGUUCAGCGAUUGGAGAGGACAUCUAUUCAGCGUACAUUCAAGGUUCUUCCUUGCAUCAAUUUCCUACACUCUUUCUUCUUGAAAUAUUUGGUACAUUAUGAUUUAAGUAAGUGCUUUAAUAUUGAUAUUACCUUUUCUUAUUUGAAUUUUUAUAGCGUUCCAAGGGUGGUCAGCCGUUACGUGGCUUUGAAGAUGAGAAAUUUAGCUUCAUUGCUGUCAGACGAGGACAAAGACCACAGUUAGUAUUUUUUUAUUUAUGUUCAUGUUCAAAAUCGUGGGUUCUUUAAUAUUCUUAUAAGACAAUGGAAGCUCAAAAUCCAAUCUCAUAAAGCUACAAUGGUUUAGUCAGAUCUUUUUGGGUUUAAUCUUUUGUCAUGUGAUUUUGUUCCGGCUAACUCGGUGUCUUUGUUAUGAACGCAUCUUUAGCCGUCAAUGACCUUAGUUUAGUUGUUAUAAUAAAAAACAUUUUCAAUUAGACCAAUCAAUAAUUUUUUAUAUCAAAUAACUGUGCUCCAAAGAUGCCCUUCUCUUACAGUUGUCAGGUUUUUUGCUCAUAAAUAUUUUUGUGUUGGGAAUGCUUUUGUCUCAUGAUUUCGCUGUUGUUAUCCUGACCAGGGAACCUUGGCCUCUUGAUGGUCUGAAAUUUGACACUUUGAAGGAGCAACAGGCUAAACGGAGCCCUGAAGAUCUUGAAAUUGACCUGGGUAUGUCUUACAAGUUACAUGAGUAUCCUUUUCAGAAUAAAUAUUCAAGAGCCCCAAAAUGAACUUGUCUAUGUGAUUCCAUGCAUUAAUUACUAACAUUCUGGCCAUUUGUAAACUCAUAUUUCUUCAUUCUAAGGUUUUGUGUUUGACCUGGACAGAGGAGCUAAAUGCCUCGCAGCAAGCUGACCUCAUUCCAUUUGAAGAACCGGAUCCAGUUAACUAUGAUUCUGAUGUUAUGGAAUCUGAUGUUGCUGAUGAAAAUGAAGAGGAGGAAGAUGAAAGAGGUCAUGCUGAUCUUGGGGGUGGUUGGGGCAGGAUUAUCUAUAUGCCUGUACGAAGGGGCAAGCAGGUUACAAUGGAUGUUUGUCGAUCAACCAAACGGGAUGGUUCGGAAGGCCAGCUUCAGCGGGUGGUCGUGACAAAGAGUAAGAACCCUGCACUACAUCAACAGGCCCGAAAGUCUAUCUGGGGGGACUUAUGGCCUUUCUGAAUACCUCGUCACGCUGUAACCACUAUGUAUACGAAACUAUGUUGUUAUGUUCAACGAGCCUUUAAUUUGUUCUUCUCAAUGACGGGGUUGGAUCCAAAUUUUCCCCUUCAAUUUAUUGUGCCCUUUUAGUGAGUAUUUGACAUGAUUUUAUUCUUUAUCACUUUCGUAUCAUUUAGGUUGCCUUUUGGGUUACCCUACAUGGAAAUUCGGUUUCAACCUCCUUGAAUAAUUUCAUAAAAGUUUCUGUAUGAUCGCUUAAGUACGUAAAUUAGUGUUAGAGCAUUUCCAAGGGAGAUGUCAAAUGCCAAACAUCAAAUUUAAAUUUGAUGGUUGAUGUGGUAAUUUGACAUUUACAUACUUUUACACUCCACUCGAUAUGUCAAAUAAAUAAUUAUUGUAAUAGUCAAAUCAUUUAAGAUAAAGAAGAAAAAAAAAAUUAAAUGAAAGUAAUAGCCACCUAUCUUUAAAAAAAAAAACAUAUUCAUUUGACAUCUUGCUUUUGGGAUGUCAAAAAUAACAUCUCAACUUCUAGUCUUCAUUUCACAUCAGCUUUGACACAUCGGUUGGAGUGAUGUUAAAUGUUAUUUCUAGCUGUUACAUAUUUAUGUGGCACGUUUGACACAUCGGUUGGAGAUGCUCUUAUACAUAAAUUAGUAACACUAGUGUUCUAGUACGACACAAUAAUUUUCAUUCUAGUGUUACAAAUUUUAAAUUCUAGCAAAGUUGCAAUAAUUUCAACUUUGAGGUUUCAUUGCUCCAGGACCACCAUUCAUUGGUUUAUUUUGGGCUAAACUUUAAAUCAAUGUGGAACCCAAUUUAUUAACAGCUUAACAAAGGAAAAGCCAUGUGGAUAGCAUGGCAUGGACUAAUUGCACAUUUGCAAUUGAUUAACCUCCCAAUUAGAUUCGAUUUCUGUAAACAAUCCAAAAUAAAUGUGGAGCAGUUUUGGGAAAAGCUAUAAAGCCAUUGAAAUGGGACAAGGAAACAGAUACUACUUUAAGCUGUAUCCAUCAAGUCGCUUUGGUAAGUUAAAUGGGUAUUGCUAUUAAGUUAAUCAUAUCAUGUGAUGGUAGUACCAACUACCAAGUCAAACAAAUGAUUAAAAAUAAAAACCCGAAAAACUUGUAAGAUUUUAUUUUAUUUUUCAUAAUAACAGGCACGUUGUACACGUUAUAAAGUAAAUAAUUCUUUAAAAUUAAAUGGACGAUGCAAAAAAAAACUCCACUCAACCUAUUUGUACAAUGCAAAAGGGUGGUAAAAUUAAAAUUGUGCGAAAAAAGCUAAUGGAGUCUAGUCCAGAGAAAAAGAGUCUUAUUUAGUAAAUUGGAGGUCUCAGGUUUGAACUGCUAUGGUAUCUUAGUUGUGCGUGUGUGUGAAAAAUCAUCAUCCAUUGUAGUUUAAACUAUCGCUUGUACUAAAAAAGUGCAACAAAGAGAGCAACAUGUUGUUAUUUCCAAGAGUUAAUUUUCAUGUCCUAUUUUCAGCAAAUCAUGCCAUCAUGUAGCUCAAUUAUUUCAUUUCUUUUGCCAUUCACAGACAAUGCAGCAUAGCAUGUAGACUACACAAAAAGCCUCCAAAUCGCUAUUCAAUUAUGGGAUCCUUGUGAAAAUUGCUCACACUAGUUGCCUCUGUUUUUUUUUAGGGAAACCUACACCCCUAGGCCUCCUCCAAAAUUGCCCUCUUAUUCAAUUAUGAUACGACUCAUUUUGAAGCUUUUCGGACUUGUGCAUGCAAGCCAAAUUAUUUCUACCUAGUUGGCUGUUUGUAGGAUCAAAUUAUUGGGCAUACCUACAAAGAAAUUUGUAACAGAAACAGAAAGGCAACUCUGCCUUUUUGGCAAAUGAAAUUGAAAUCUACCCAAAAAUGCUAAGGUAGCUUCAGUCAAUAUUCAAGACUAAGAAACACUACAAUUCAAAUGAAAUUGAAAAACAAACUUUGACACAUACUGAUAAUAUCCUACAAUUUUUCUUUUCUAAUUUUUGGAAACAUUCAAAUCAGCAAGGAAUCAACAAAAGACUCCAAUUGACCAUGAUCUUGAUCUGCCUUGAGAUCCUGCUCAUAUUCCUCACAGAUUUUCCAUGUCAUAGCAACUCUUUCUGCAGCUGCAGCAGCUUCUUCAGAAUUCUGACUCCUGGCAGGGUCAAACACUUGAACAAAGUCAUAACAAUCUUCAACAUUCUCACCACAAACCAAGCCCUCCCCAAAACAAUCAUCGUCUUCCUUCUUCAUAUCAUCAGACCAAGACGCAUGAAAAUAAUUAGGAACUUCUGCAUCAUAAAACCCAACUUCUUGUUCAUGAUCUCCCUCUCCAUCACAAAAAGACCCAACUGGGGUUUUAACUGGAGACACCCUGGUAGGCUUUGGGAGAUGAAGUUUGGUCCUUUUUGUUGUUGCACCAAUAUUUUCAUGGUCAUCAUCACUUUUCUUGGCCUCCUCAGCUUGGACACAUUUUGAUUUUGGUUUUGGUGCAACUUCUUGAGUGCUGGUUUUUUGGAUUCUGAGUCUUUUGGCGAUGUGGGUGUUCCAGUAAUUCUUGAUCUCAUUGUCAGUCCGACCAGGAAGCCUUCCAGCAAUGAGAGACCAGCGGUUGCCGAGAAGGGCAUGAAGCCUCACAAUUAGGUCAUCUUCCUCGGGAGUUAUGUUGCCUCGCUUUAUAUCAGGCCGCAGAUAGUUCAUCCACCUUAGCCUGCAGCUCUUCCCACAACGAAGAAGCCCUUCAUUUUCCACACCAAGAAUUUAAAGAAGAAAAAAAAACCCAAUAAACCAAUUGUUACAAUACAAUUUAUAAGACCAGAACAGAAAGGAAGAAGAAGAAAAGAAGCUGUUAGACUAAAUGAAUAAAUAAAUUACCAGCUUUAUUAGGCAAAGAACUCCAAUGGCCUUCACCAUGGGACUGGAUGUACUGAAUGAGCAAUGCGUCUUCUCUGGCAGUCCAUGAACCUCUAUGCAGACCCACCUUUGAACAACAGGGUGCUCUGCCCAUGUUAUGGAGGACAAAGACUCUCUGCUUCAGUCUAACCAAGACUCUCAACAGAGCACCACACCACCUUCUUUAGAUUUUAUACCAUUAGCAUUAUUGUGACAUUGUGAACAUUAAUUCUAGAAAUGCCACAAGUGCAUUUUCAUACUUUUCCUCAUUGACUAAUUGGAGAAUAAUUUACAUGUGAUGAAUUCUCAAUUUGCGUAUCUAUAAUUAAUGAAUUAUUUGUACAUGUAAAUGUUAAUUUAGGUCAUUUUUUAUUAUAUUUUUCUUUGCAACCAAAACUUAUACGUCACAUAGGGUACAUACUAUACUAGACUUUCAUUGCUUUAUCCAAUCCUAUGAUAUGAAUCACAUUUGUCAUGUAUUUCAUUCACAUUUAAUUCUUAGAAGACGUGUUACAUGUGCUCCUCAUGAAAUUUUGUCACCAUUUAAAAAGAAAAGCUUGUCACAUAAGUUAUGCAUUUUUCGUUUGCCCUCGUUUCUUUCCAGACAUGCGGUGGGUCCAUGCAAUUGACAUGCACAUCCUUAACACCAAAGAGGAUUUGCUUCAUGAUAAAUAGGGUUCGUCUUCAAACUUAUUCUCGAGUUGUAUUUUGGUCUCUUAAUUAAAUUAUUUAUUUAAAUAGUCUACAAACUUUUUAUUAAUUGGCCUAUUGGUCCUAUUGUUAUAUUAUUUCAAUAUUACCGUUAAUUUGAGGAUUAAAGUCGUCAAUUUAUACUAACAUAUUAACCCUUAAUUAAUUAAAAUCUAGAUGAAAUGCUAUAAAAAUCAGAAAACUAAAAACUGAAAUGCCCAGUGGUAAAUAAAAUAAAUAAAAUAAUUAUUUUAUAAAAAAAACCAAAAAAUUAAAAAUUAAUGAAAAUAAAAACCCACUAGAACCCUCCCCCCACGUCCAUCUCUGCCGUAAGAGUUAUAUGGUAAAAAGUGAAACAUGGAAGAAGUUGAUGUCAAACAAAGACUCGCCAACAGUUGAUUGUUGAAAAUGAAUCAAGAUUGAAGAGGGAGGAUCUGCUAAUUGCUGGAGAGUCAACUGAUCCGUGUGGCUUUGAUCGAGGAUGAGUAAUGGAGGCUUGAUUGGAGGAAGUCAUGUCUGGUCUAAUAUCUGCAACGCACCCGACAAAACAACAACAAAGUUAAAAAUGACCCGCGUGCGAGCGAUGGUGGCUCCGACGAGGCAGACGGUGACGUAAGAAUUGCUGGUGAUGAUAUGGUGGUGAGAGUGGUGCAGCGUUCCAAGCGUAAAAGGCUUUAGGCACGCUGUGAAGAGGCGGUGAGGAUGGAGCCCUUCUCUAGAACAGAGGGAAAGUGAAGAGGGAAGAGAGAGUAUAGAGGGAGAUAGGGCAGAGGGGAGAGAGGGAAAGGGGGAGACGAAGGGGAGGAGAGAUGGCGCUGCAGGUUUUUUUGUUUUGUUUUUUCUCUAAAAAACUUAUUUUUAUUUUUUUAGCUAUUAAAAGUCCUAUUUAACCCUAAAAAUAUAGCAUUUGCUCCUCACAUGAUUUAAUUUAACAAAAAAUGUCAAGAUAUGACUAAUUCAACGAAUAAUAAAAGAGUUUGUGGACCAUAUGAACGAAUAAUUUAGUUGAGAGACCAAAAUGUAACUCAAGUAUAAAUUUAAGGACAAUUUGAGUAAAUAAUUCUGAUAAAUAAAUAAUUAAAUUAUUUAUAAAUAUAAAUUUUAAAUAUAUGGGCACACCAUAUAAAAUAUUUCAAUUAUUUCAAUUAAUUAAAUUAUUCCACACCAUAUAAAUAUUUAUUUAUUUCAACUUGCCUCUUAAUUUUAGAAGCAAAUUGAAAUAAAUAUGUUCUUGCAAAUGGAAAUGGAUCUCUAACCUCUCACCAAACCAGACUGCUCCUCAUUGAAUACCACAUCAUUCUCACUAGCAGGCAUAUCUAAGUAGUUAGUAGCAGAUCAUAACCGUUGCAGCACGUGGUGCCCUACAUUCCACACCAUAUUUAUGCUCUUUCAUUGUCCUAAGAUCACAUUUCAACACACUUCUCUUUCUUUCCUUCUUAAUGGAUGCAAGAUACCUUCUUUUAACUUUCUAAAUAAAAAUUAUGAUAUGCAUGGCAAUUAAUCUACUCAAAUCGCAUUUAAUGCAAAAGCUUUGAGUUAUCUGAAACCGCUUUUAACCAUUCUAAAAGCAUUUUUCGCCGACCUAAAAGCUCGAAAUUUCAUCAAUAAGAGAUGCUAGUUUGGUCUAUAGUCCUCCCACCCCUUAGCUAUGAGCUUUAAAAAUUGUUCUCUCAACCUCCUAACGUGCUCUGAUAUAGCAGCUCAUCCCCAUUUUUCAUAAUUAUUCACAGUUCUGACGUUCUAAAGUUCAAGUAAGUCAUUCUGAAGCCUCUGUUUCCCCCAUCAUAAUUUAUGAGGGCUUAUCUUUCUUAGUACAGUAGAGCGCUAUCAAUCACAGCCCACCACCACCCUUAAAAGCCACGGAUUCUACUGCAGCAGAGCAUUUAAAAAGAGGGAAGUUGAAGGGAGAGCAUUUAGCUGAGACUGAAGAGCAACCACCCAAAAUUUAAUUUCAUUAAUGAAAUGUCAAGAAGACAUACAAUAAUAUUUCUGAGUGCAAAGAUUUCAGAACAGAAGAUGCCCCACAGACACCUGUAUUAUACACACUUGUAAAAAUAUAUUAUAUACACAUCUCCUAAUCUAAGGGAUUAACUGCCUGCCACAUAAAACUCAGUAUAAUUUCUGCGCUGAAAACCAACAAAUUAAAGAAUCAUAUAAAUUUUACUUGUAUAAGAUGAUCCAAUACAAAACUUAAAAGCAAUUCCACCAGCCGCUUGUGGACACCUGGUGGGACUGCAGGUGAAUUGGAUUACAGUUGCUACCUGGCAUGACCUGACUGGACUACAAUACAUUUGGUAAUCUUCAAGGGUGCACACUAGGCAAGCUGUCAAUGAUACUGCAUUGUACAAGCACCAAGAAUUAUUUAACCAAUACCAGCGGUGAUUGCAAGGAUGCAUAAUCACUGUCCAAAAAAUGCCGUCUUUGGGGAUUUUAACGACGAAUAGGUGUACCGUAAUUGUGGUAGGUUCUAAUACGUCCGUCCCAGCCGGCAGUGACGAUCACAAGGCCCCACAAAUUAGGACCAGACAUGCUCUGACAAGCACUCCUCAAAAAUUUGUAGUCGGAUCUACACAUUGUUGGGGAGACGGCCACCGGACUUGAAUUUACAAGUUUCUCCUCAGGCCAAGUUGCAGUGCCCUUUGGCAAGGCCUCCAACAAAAACCCACGACCCAAAGAGAAGCAAUCGGGUGAAGAGAGGUGCAUUUUCUGUUCUACUUUCUCAUCGAAACUGAGAUGCUUCAGCUGAUUAUCAAGGCAACUUCCCGGCAUGUCCCCCGUGAAUCUAGGGGAUGGAAGUGUUCCUGGAAUGAUGUUCACACCAUUCCAAGGUAUAGCAAUCAUUGACUUGUGGGACACAAAACUCUCACAAGACCAUAUGUUCCUCGGUCGUGAAGAGGUCAUGUCCUGGCUAUUAUAGUUCCAGAUGCGAACAUUUGAAUCCUCGCUUGCUGAGACAAUGUGCGUUCCGUCUGAGGUAAAAGAUGCUAACAUAUGGUUUCCACCAUUUCGAAGACCUAAUGAGAAUUGAUAAAAACAUCAAUGAUAGAGUCGAAGGAGACUUUUGGGGUGGGGAAUAACAAUAACUUUAUAAAAGAAGAAGAGAUGACACAUACCCCUAAAUUUGCAGACGACAUCAAACCCAUAAAUUACACGGACUACUGAAUCAGCAGAAGUCACCAUAACUUGGCUUGGGUUGCUUGGAGAAAACUGGGGAAUCAUAUUACAUUAGUAUACUGCAGUAAAGUAAAGAAGUGAAAAUGGAAGAAAUAACAUAACCAAUUGUCCAUAACCACCUGAAAGCCAGUUAUCCGUUUUCCAGGUGACUUCUUCUUGCCCUGUAUGCUUAUCGGAGCAUCCAACUCCAGAUGAUUAUCUGAAAAAAUUGAAACCAUGAUCAUGAACCACUCAGAUAGAAUAAGACAAAACAAUAACACAAGCCUUAGCAGCCCAUGGGUAGAUCUCGCCUGUACAAAAUUGGCUUGCAAGAGAAGGAUGCUAAGAGCUCAAACAUUAAAUCAGAAAGUUGCAUAUAAUGAUCUAACAUUAGACAUUUUGAAAUAUCCGGCCAUAUUUUUUUUAAAAAAAAACAUAUAUAUAUAUAUAUAUAUCAUGUAAUAACAUAUCAAGAAAAUCAUUUCAUGUUAACAGAAUUUGCAGGGAAGAUAAGGAGAUACUAAAGCAUUUAAUUAUCAGGACUUCCCAAUUUACUAUUAUGCUUCACAAAUCUGGUUUUAAUUAGAAGUGCCAUAGUAGCAUGCUAUUAAGAAAAUUUCACUAUUAGGUCUUCAUACCUAUGAUGUUAUAAAAACAGCAGUUUCCAGUCACAAAACCGACGAUUCCUCCCUGCAAAUAUCAAAUAACAAAGUCAUAUAAACAAAACCAAUUUGUUUCAUGCUUAAUUUUUCAUUUUCAAGCAAAAAAUUCCAACAGACCUUUCCAUCAGGACGAUAAGAUACAGCAGUGACUAUCUCACGAACAUCAAUAUAAUCAACAACCAGACAACGAAUAACUUCCCAGAUGCGAACUUUUCCAUCUAUUGAACCGCUGAUGAAGUAAUUAUCAUCCAGAGGGUUGAAAUUAACGCAUGUCACUGCAACAAGUAUCACAGCUUUAGAUAAUCAUUGCAGAACUACUUGAAAAUGAGAGAGAAUUGAGAACAUAACACUAUAGAGAACUAGCAUAAACCAAGUUAUUGAUUCACUACAUUGUAAAAGAAUACAAACAAGUAGCAAGGCUCACCAUAAUUAUUGUGAGAGAAAACUCUCAGGCAUCUGUCACAUCCUACUUGCCAUAGACGAACUGUCUUAUCAACAGAGGAUGAGAGCAGAAACUGCAGCACACACAAAAAAGACAGAGAAGAUUAGUUUCACCAAGUUCAGUAGAUUAAAACAAACUUUGGGGCAAAGAAAAAUUGCAAUAGGGAAUAAAACCCAAUACUAACCCCUUUCUUUGACCAUGAGAGAUCUAAGACCUCCCUGCUGUGUCCCCGAAACUCAUGAACAGGCUUCUCCAAUAAACGGAAUAUCUUUGGAGGAAAAAUGACACAUGUUGAGUCCGAUGAUCUCAAUCUCUGCGCCUUAUCUUUAUCCACAUUUGGAGAGUCUAACUUAGAAAACGGAUUUGUUUUGAAGUAUAAAGAAGAAGGAUCGCCAGAAAUAUCAAAUUUGUUGAAUCCCUCAUCCUCGAUCACCUUCCACACGCGCACAACACCAUCUUCACCAGCACUUGCCAAGUAUUUCCCAUCAAGACUGAACUUCAUGGACAAAAUUGUACCUUCAUGAGCAGGAAAAUCUUGCCCAGCAUAAAGUGAAGACAGUUCUUUGGUCCCUUUUUUACUUGGAUAAACUCGGACUCUUCGCAUACCUGUUCCUGAUGCAGAUUUAAGACUGAUGGGGCUCAAUGCAGCCUCAUGUUUAUCAACAACGCACAUCCCAAUUCCUAAUUUCCUUAACCAUCCCCUUUUAACUUUCUUUUUCGCAUCAAGAAAGAACCUAGCAUUAUCAACUUCUCUCUGCAACAAUUGCUGAAUUGAAGGAGAUGGUCCUGGUGCAUGGUUUGUAUGAAUCUCCCCAACACUAACCAAUUGAUUUAGUCCCACUUGACCUAAUCUGCAAAGCCUUCCAUCCUGACCCAAUUCAUUCACAAUGAUAUCCAUUCUCUGAUUUAAAGUCCUCACUGCACAUCCAAAAUUCUCAUCCAAAGCACCAUUUCCUAGUGACUCCCGAGCUUCAUUUGACAGAGCAGAUGCUGUGGACUGGCUUGAGCAAGACGCCUCUUCCAAUCCCGAAGUUCUCAACACCACACAGCUAUCUUCUUUUAUUCUAUCAAUACUCAUUUCAAUUUUUUCAGCACAGUCAUCUCCUGCUUCUUCUUCCAUGAUUAAAUUCCGAUCCAAAUCUAAACCCAUCCAUUGCAGGAACUUAUGGCGGCGCUCAUGAACACUAUCCAGGUUCUUAGCCCAAACCUCAUCAUACCUCAAGAAACCUGAAGUACUAGAACUAAAUUCAUCACAACCAUCUGAACCCCAAUCCGAAACAGAAGACAGGUCCUCACGGGUAUCAUAAAAUUGAUCCUCACGCUCUUCACUAUAACUCCCCAUCAAUUCACUGUUUUCCCCUCUUCGUUUUCAACCCAUGAGAUCCUGAGUCAAAAACUAAAAACAAUGAGAAAUUUCAAUUUUGUUCUAACCUCACAAUUAGAUAACAAAAAAAGACUAAUCCUUUUCCUUAUCCACAACCUAAAAUCUCAAAUUUUCUAUUGACAAUCAAAUCCACAAACUGCAAAAAACAAACAACCCCCCAACACAGAUCCUGAAAUGAUCCUAUCUUCAGUCCAAACAUAUGAUUUUCUCACAAAACGCAAACCCAAAUCAGAAAAAAGAACAAAGGAAGCCAAACCCAACAGAUUGUUUCCAAAACCAAAUGAAAAUCACAAUAAAAAAGGAAGAGUUUUGCUCACCUGGGUCACCACCAAACUUCGGUCAAACCCCAGAAAUCUAAUCCCUCAUAGGGAUUUCCACUUUCUCAACCCCUUCUAAUUUCCCUUUCUCUGUCAUCAGCAAAAGUUCCCACUUGAGGAAGCAAAGAAUACUCAAAACAUGAAACUUUAAACAAAUGAAAUAAACUAAUAAACUGAAACAAACAUAAAAUAAUAGACAAGACAGAGAAAAGAGCAAAAAUUUGCCUCGGUUUGUGCGCCAGUACCAAGAAGAGAAGAGAAGAGAGUGGAAGGUGCUCCUUGUUUGCGUUGUGUUGUGUGUCUUUUUUCUCUAUCUUCCUCGCACAUCCGCACUGUCUGAUACAAUUUGAUUGGUACGGAACGGAUCCCCCAAACCUUUGUAAAACUAUGGUCUUUGUUUUACUUAGUUUUAACUCUUUUGAGUUCCCUUUUUCCAAUGACCACGGUUCUAUUUUUUUAUUGUUUUAUUUUUAACCAAAUUCUGCGAUUGGAUUUGGGUUUGGGUCUUGGGUUUUAGUUCUGGUUUUUACUAAUGACGUCUUUUUCCCUCCAAUUAUUACAGCAUGAGGAGGAGUGUCUGCACUUUCAUUUUUUCUUUUUCUUUUUCUUUUUCUAGAAUCUUUAGUUGGAAAAAAAGAAGUGGAAAUGACUUUUCAAUAACGUUGAAUUAUUUUUAAAAUAAAAUAGAGCUAUUCAUAUAGCAAAAUUAGGUAAAUAAUUAUACGCGUGAUUGUCCUUGAAGCCUCUAAGAAUUUUGUUAAUUCAAAUUUUUAACCGUCCAAAUGUUGAAAUGAACGACACCAUACUAUUGUUUAAUGUUUAAACUUACUAAAGCAAUCAACAAGUAUCUCUUCUCUUAAAAUAAAGUAUGUGUGACACAUCGGUGCAUAUGUUAAAUUAAGUAUGUAAUAAUUAUCUAACUAGUUGUGUAAUGAGAGCUCCAACACGUACAGAAAAUGUAGGUGGGAAGGCAUGAGAAUGAAUAAGGAAAAAGGGUUAAAUAUCUUUUUGGUUAUCGGGUUUUAUACGAAAAUUCAAUUUGGUCAUUGAGAAAAAAAAAUAAUCAAAUUGGUCACUCUGUUUCCUAAAGUUUAAAAUUUUUUCAGUUACCUUCGUUAAAUGCUGUUUUUAUUUUUUAUUUUUUAUGAAGCACGUUCAAUCUUCUUCCUUUAACUCAGUCUUUUUUCCAAUAUACCCUAAUUGGUUGAGUUUGAGGAAGAAGACCACAAAAAUAAUAAUAAUAAUUGUACUUAACGAAAGAUAAAGGAAGGUUUAUAAAUUAUAAAUUUUAAAAAACAUAAUAAUCAAUUUGACUACAAAAAUUUCUCAGUAACGAAAUUUUUGUGUCUAACCCAGUGAUAAAUAUAAAAAAAAGGUAUUCAACCCUUUUUAUUAAAAAAAAAAAUUCAACAAAAGGUGGAGUUGACGAACCUGGAUUAGUAAAAAGGAGCUCAUUCCGUCCCACGUGUCAACACCCCCUAUUGACUACGAAGUCUUCGUCGGCAUUUUUGAAUUGAGAGUUCUUCUAGCAACGGGCCCACUUUGAAAGGUCAAGUUCUCGUGAAGUUGAAGCAAAUUAGGUUAACAGUUAGCCAAAAAAACUUGUUUUUAUUUCAUGUUUUUAUUUUAUAGGCAAUGAACUUUGUCACCAAAAAAUAAUUAAACAAAUGUAUGAGCAUGACCGGCCACUUCCAUCCAAAACCAAUAAUAAAGAGGCAGACAACAAUGAUUUUUUAAUAAAGUUAUUUUGUUCUUUUCUUUUGUAAAUAACAUGAGAUGUCCCUACACUUGAAGAGUGUGAUUAAUUCUCGUUCGGAAUUCGAUUCGUCCUUAAUCACAAAAUGCUUCCAAUAAGUUUCGAACCCCUGCCAUUGAGGCAUUAAAUAACUAGCCAGUUGGAAGUGGCAGGUGGCAAUUUGCCAACCGCACCACACCUUGUGGGUUAAGUUAUUUUGUUACUUUGGUUUUAGGUCAAAUUACUUUUAAAAAAUUUACACAAAAACAUACAAAAAUGAAAUAUGGAUAAAUUAUUAUACAUUUGCUUUAUUUUCUGCUAUCUUUUUCUUUUGUCAAACUUGUUGUGUGGGUUUGAAGCAGUCAAACAUAUGCCAUGCGACCUUUUGAACCUUUGGUUCUUUCCAAAUGAGAAAUAUUUAUAUAAAUAAUAAUAAUAAUAAUCAAUGCCAUUUGAAUAAGCACCAAUCCCCUCUCAACCUUCGUUUAAGAUGAUCUCAAUUAAUUUCUUAGGCAGCCUCAGUUUAUGAAUGUUAUCAAUUUCAUUAUUUUGUGUGUAUGAUAACACUCUGAAAAAAAAUUGAAAAUGAAGGCCCUCUUUUGAAUCCCAAACUUUUAUUAGAGUUGUAUUUUGUAAUUAGCUCCAUUUUCCCUCACUGAUGCGGGAAUGAUUUUGUGGACGGUACAAUGGAAGACACAACAAAUAGAAUCUUCCCUCUCCAAUUCUAAUGGCCCAGAAAAGAAAUAACCCAUAGGCUCAGACGUUGCAAAACAUUUAUGCAGGCCCUGCCCCUGUUGUACACUAGGCUGGCUUAGCAGUCCUGGGCCUUUUCUACAACAUUUUUUGCGUUCUUUCGAAAAUAUCACAUUAUUGAUCAUAUCUCGACAAUAGCUCGAGCCUCAAUAACGCAUUUGAGUUUCACUUUUGAGGAAGAUAUGAUCGGCAAUGUAAUCAGUAAAAUGUUAUAAAUGAUUUAAAAAUUAAAAUUAGAGUACAUUGGCAGACUUUACAAGGCCUUUCGAACUAUGGAGAAGAUGCAAUUGGGUCAUGCUAGAAUUCAUUUUCCAAGUUGCCAGAGGCCCAAGAAAAUAAAGCUAAGAAAGAACCAAAUAAAAUACACUAAAGAUCAUUAGGGUUAAGCCUCACUCUAUGUGAGCAAAGGUUCGAAAUCUCAAGCAUUCAAUGAAUAUUUUGUGUAAACCCACCUUUCCCUUGUAAUAAUAAUAAUAAAAAAAUCAUUAGGGUUAAGAUUGAGAAAUUGUAAACGUUCAUAACAAUAAUGAAAACCGACAAACACGAAAUUACAAUAAUACAAACACACAAGGCUUUUUUCAAUGUAACGACGUCCCUUUAAACCCCAAAGAAGAAGGAAAGCCGAAAGCUUACAGAAAAAUCAGCAACCACAAAAAGGAUGUGGUGGUCCAAAAGUAGCACUUCUCUGCGCCCUAUUUAGGGAGACUAUGGGGUUCCAUUCUUGGAGGCUUUUUAGGUUUAGUGCGGUGGUGAGGCCCUCCUUCUGUACACACACACUAGAAGACAUUAGACACCAACCAAUUAAGUGGUGAUGGUUUCAAAAAUACUUGAUUUUGUGACCCUUCAAUCUUUCAUAUGGUUGCAAUGUCUGCAUCAUAGUUAGCCCUUGCAGUUAGUAGUUGACUUGGAUAGUCGCUAUAGUUGAUUUGUGGUUCAUUACGAGCAAUUGUGUUCCUAGCUAAUUAGUGGAACUUUGACAAGUUUGUCAAUUAAGUACUCAAAUUACCUCUCUCAUGGUCUAGGCCCGUCACCACCUUAUCGGUGACUCAAGGCGAUCCCUAUAAAUUUUCUAAUUCAUUUUUAAAGAAUGGCUUAAAUGAUUCUUAGGGCUAGUUCGGGAAUGAUUCUAGGAGUUAUGCGGAGAAGCACUAUAUAUAAUCACUUUAAGUGAUUUUAAGCAAUUUCAAGGAAAAUCACUUCACAUGUGCUUCUCCAUAAAAUCACUUAAAGUGAUACAUAGAAAAGUGAUUCUCUGUAUAAGUGAGUUUGACCUAUCUAGAAUCACUCCCAAACGUGCCCUUAAUUUUAGUAUUAUGGUGUCAUUAUCGACAAUUUUUCACCACUCGACGUCCCUCUAUUGUUGAUUUUGAAUACUAUACCCUUCUACUGAUUAAUCAUCACGCCUAUCUUGAAAUUUAACAUUGUAGUGGUUGAAUUUAAUAUACCGGCUACUAAAUAAUAGGGCACUCAUGGACGCUUGUAAUUUGGGAAACAAGAAAGGAAGAAUAUUUUGCACUUGUUUACAAAUAGAAGUAAAAUUUUACGCGUACAAGAAACACACAUGUUACAUAAUAAUUCUUUUAUGUUUGACUUAAAAUGACGGGCAGAUAUCUUUCAUUGUUAUUAACUUAUUCAUGGCAUCUUAGCACCCACGAAUAUUGGUGUAAGAGUCAUACCCAACCACCCAUCUAAAAUAUUAUUAUACAGAUAUUUCAUGCAUCCAAGCGAAUAAAUUAAACUAUAUUAUCAAGUAAGUAGGAGCUUUUACAUUCUUAUCAAUAGCAGUGUGAUAUGUGUACAGAAGUUUUUCUUUUCGUGUUUUUGAUGAUUUAUUUUUGCAUAUGUGUCAAACUGUUUGCAUAAAGGAGGGAGUAUCUUUUUACCGGUAAGAAAGCAAGUAGUGUCGGUUCAUUAAUUUCAAAGUUUUCAAAUAAAAUAAAAUGCACUUGUUUUGUGUUUGUGCGUACUCGAUCGUGUAUGCAUGCAUUAUUACUUACAAAUAAUCUUAUACAAAUAUGUGCCUUGCAUUAUAUAUGUGAUCAAAAUUAAAAUAUAUCAUUCACAAAAUUAUUACAUUAUAUAUAUGUAUAUAGGGUUUAGGGUUUAUGUAAGCUCUAUGUAUUACCAUUAGGUUAAUUAAAAAUUGAUACCUCAAUCUUUUCCAACUAAGGCUAUUAUAAAGUUUGUUGUUUUACAUGAUUUUUAGCCCCUUCUUCUUCACAUGUGAAUGAGGGCACGUGGAUCACUUGCAAAAGUUAACCUGAAAAAAAUAUAGAUGUAUGUUAAUGGAAGUUGCGUAAGCUUGGCCUGCAAACUUUGGUUGUUUUGGGAAAUGUAGGUGGCGUGGACCCUUUGAGGUUUGGCCUGGCUAGACGCCGGCCUUCACUAUGUCAUUAUAUAUAGGGAAUGGCCUGCCCUCCCUUGUGCUUUUAAGCCCCCCGUUUGCUUAUCUAAUUAUUGAAUCCCAUAUGCACCAAAAUUUGGCCAUGUGUUGAUGUUGCACUAACUCCACACCACCCUCUCGUGCUUCAACAAUGUGUUCACUACCUAAGUUCUUUUGCAAUUACCUUAAUUAUUCCAUUCAUUUAAAUUAAGAAAUCGCAUCUAUAGAUAGUCAAUCGCUGGUUGGAACAAUCAUAAAUUAGGUUAAAACCGUCACAUGCGAUUAGUAGGGCAGUACAAUUUUAUUUUCGUUUUAUUUGUCAAUCAAUCAAUCAAUCAAUGCAAAUGCUUAAGUUGUAGGGUUUAGUUUUUGAAUUUUGGCUAAAGGCGUCUAGAUGCACCGCUGAUUAAUAGACUGAUGCAAAUUUAUAUUCAUUUUAUCUAGUCGAUCAAUAAGCUUAUGCAAAUUUAAGUUGUAAGGCUUAAUUUCUCAAAUUUUAAAUAAAUUAAAGUAAAUCCGUAAGCGAGUAACUCAGAAGUUAAUGAAUUACAUUCAUUCCAACUUAAAAUCCAUGUUAUGUUAUGUAUCUCAUUCACGUAUAUGGAUAGGUAGGUAUAAUUUAAUAGCAGUUGGAAAAUAUAUUCCAAAUUAAAGAUGUUGUUAGAGAAUAACUUCACGCAUAUCUGUGUUCAUGAAGCACAAAGAUGGAAGUUGGUGUAAAUUCAACUGAGAUUUAGUGGGUCCAGAACAAAAUCUUGCAAGCUACCAUGAAAGGAGGCCUGGCCAAAUCGGACGGUUGGAAUCAUCCUAUGAGUUCACAUUGAUCAAAACAUAUUCACUUUGACCAUGUAUUAAUAUUAUAUGUAUAUAUGGAGGGAGAGGAGGUUUUGAAAGUGAUGUGUAAAUGUGUUGAGUUGUGUAUGACAAAGUCAUCGUCCAAGUUGCUCCUAAAAUCCCUUUUGCUGACGUGUGGCGCACUAUCCACAUGCGGUCCACGUCAACAUAGGGACCCACUCACGUGACAUCAUCUUCAUCAUCCUAGGUUAGGCGUAUGGCAGGUUGGGUUGGGACGAAUUUUCUGAUCUUUUGAUCAGAUGGACGGCUCUUAUUGAAUCUGCGAUUGGGAUUCUUUUCUUCCUUGGUAGGGUUUUGGAGAUGAUGGAUGGGCAUGCGCAUGUAUGACGUGGGUCCCACCCUACAACGCUCCACCACCGCCCAAAAUUUUUAGACGAGAUUUUCAAUGGCUGGCCAUGGCUCUUGUGCUUUUGGCUUCAACAUCACCGCACACGUGGCAGCAUGCCAAGGAUUUGUUUUGUUUUGUUUUUUUUUCUGGGGUGUGGGGCCUGCCUUUUGAAGAUGCCCCCACAUCUGACGGCUUCUAUUCGCGCCGGUUUUGCUAACGGUACUGAUAUGGUACAGUUGCUUGUAGUCUACUGCAACUCUAUACAGUAAUAGCCACGUAUAUUUGUAGCGGAAAAAGUGUAGAUUACUGCACUUAAAACUUAUUAAAGUUUAAUCUAGUAUAUAUAUAUAUAUAUAUUUAUAAAAAAAAGAUUAAAUAGUUCUCAAAGUUGUUCAAACAAAAAAGGUCCCUUAUUUACCUAACACUUUCAGAAGUGAUGAAAAUGUCUUUAGACUUCAAAUGGUAAGGGGACAACCAUGCAAGUACAAAUAAUAUUUUUCAUACAAUUUACGGAUAAUUUGUUGACAGAGUAGGACAAAUUGUUAUUACUUUUGAGGUUUAGACUUUAAUUUACUAAGUUAAUUAAGUUAUUUUUUUAACGCAUUAAUCAAAUCAAUGGAUGUUUUCUACGUGUCUAUGUUAAGAGUUUAUAGACUUAAAUACAUUAAUUGGUGUUUGGUGCAUUUGAGAAAUUCCUUAGUUCGGCAGGUGAUGUAUAUUAAUAAAAUCAAUAGGUGUUUUUAACGUGUCGAUGUUAAGAGCCUAUAGAACUAUACUAAAAACAAAUGAAAUACUAAUUAAUGUCUCUAGUAUUUGAGAAAUUCUCUAGUUUAGUAGGUGAAUUAUGUCACAUGUCCGACCAUACAGAAACACAAACAAGAGACUGAUGCAUUAAGAGGGGAUGUAUGAAGCGUAAAUACAAAAAAGUCUUCUUGUUUAUAUGUGUGUGUGGUUAAACUUAGAUGCUUAGCGCGAUUCACCUGAAAAAUUAAGAAAUUUCUACUUAGUACUAGUGAAAGGGAUUUGAAGUAGAAUUAGGUGGGGGCCAUUGUGGAAAUAUGAUUAGGUAUUCUAAUAAUGUCAUACCAGAUGUGUUCAGAAAGAAAAGAAAUAUAUAUCACAUGGUCCUACAUGAUUGAUGAAUGGAGAGGCAGAGAGGGUCCCAUUUUCAUCAAUCAAGGCCAUGAUGACAAGGAAGAGCCCAGCCAAUCAGGGCCGUUCAAGUUCAAUCAUUCAGCUUCAAUUCAAGUUAGAUGUCAGUGGCUCAGUGCAUCGUCCACGUGUCGCUCGUUUACUUAACCAACACAGACCCCUUGGAAUCUUAAGUGACAAGUGAAACAACGGCUGAGUCUGCUAUGCAUAAUAAUGCAUGUGCAGGGUUAAGGGAAUGUUUGGUACUUCGGUUUGGUUGAGCUUCCAAAAUGCAUUUUUUUUUUGGCUUUUGGAUUUAGCAACAUUUGAUAGAAGUAAUUUCUGGCUAAUUGAUGUGCUUAAAAUAUGGUUAUCAUCAUCAUCCUUCACUUUUCUUUUUGCAUUAAACUAUGAGAUCGCGAAUGAUCUGCAACAUAAUAUAAAUAUAUAUAUGCUUUGAAUACAAGAGAUUAUUUUGUAAUCGUUUAUUUUCAAAUGAUAAUAAUUUAUGAUCAGUGCUAUUCUGAGUUCAAUGUCAUGAAAAGAUUUUGUAGACGUACGUGUGUCAUACUUUGGACUGAUUCAUUUCAGCCAGAGAGAUAGAGCAACAUGAAGUAGUCUAUUUCACUCCAACAUCAAUACUUAUUUUUACUUUCUAGAAUUCAACAACUAUCUGUCGUUGAUGACAUUUACUUAGUGCAUGCGUGUUGUUAAACUAAUUAACCUAGUCAGAAACGCAUCCUAAUUUCUAAGACUUUCAAUGAAAUGUAUUGGUAGCAACGCAACGCGUACUAGUGCUUGUUAAUAGUCAAAUGCAACAACAAAUUUCACUUUCAAAAAUAGGACCAAAACAUCAUAAUACUCAAAAUUGAAGUAGUUGAAUGUAGGGAUUUCAUUGAAUGGUUCUUUAAUUCAAGUGUAAAUACAUCUCCUGCAUUAAUGUCAAAUAGUAGAACAAGUAUGAUGUUAGAGAGUCAUUUUUGGAAAGAGAUGGGGUUUUGUCAAGUCGGCAUUCAGGAGAAUAUGUAAAACCUCUAAACCAGUAGUUAUGUAGUCAAGUCGCUUUUCAUACCUACAUUUUCUGCAUAAUGCCAUCAAAUUUGGCAUCAAAUUUAUUACAAAUCUAUCAGAGAAGGCUUUUAUUAUGACUAUCAGUAUAAACAAAGGAAAUAUCAAAGUUACAUAAAGUUGUAAUAAAAUUCAAACAAGCAAUUCAAAAGUUAAGUAAAGACAGUGUAAUUCCUGGUGUCUAUAUAAAGAAAAAGUCUUAACAUGAUUUAAAUUUGUCACUGAGCUACUUGAUUCUAGCUAAUUAACCAUCUGUUAUGAGCCCAUGUGGCAAGUAGCACUAGCAACAGGGCUUUGCCAUAUUCAUUCAUGCCAUGGAAUGAAUGCUGAGUCAUUUUGGAUGCUUCAUGCAUAAAGGGUUUUUACAGUAUGAUAUUGAAAUUAUUGGAGUCUGCUGGUUGUCUCUCAAGUAAAGUGAUGUGUAUGCUCAAUAGCUAGCUUAGCUAACUACCUAUUCAUCAGCAAACCCAAAUCAACUUGAACAUGUAUGUGACAUCUAGCUUGUCCAUUUUCUGAACAAUGCAUGCUAACAAACAUUAUUUAUCUUUUAACAGAAAAAGCACCUUACAAAUAAGAAGAACUGGGGUUAAGAUGAUUGAAUGAAAUGAGAGAAAUCUGACCUGGCCUUGUUUUUUUGUUUUUUGUUUUUUUUUUUCUGGUCAGAAAAGAGAAAAGCCACCACCAAGAGAUGUAUAUGUAUCUGUACAGUACAUCCAAAGCUACCCACAAGGCACAAAGUCUCAUUUUAAAUUGUGCAAGACCAUCAUAUUAAAUUACUAAAUCUGCAGACAAAUAUUCCUUCUCGGAUGUCUAGAAUAAAAUACUUAAAAAUGAAAAGAAUAUUACUACUAUUAUAAAAUUACACAAAGCAACCUCUCUCUCUCUCUCUCUCUCUCUCUCUCUCUCACUCAUACACCCAACACAUAAAGCAAGGGCCAUACAUACACAGAACGUCCACACACAAACCCUCUCACAAACAUUCUUUCUUUUUUGUUUUCCAGCUUUUGUAACCAGUUUCAAGAAAAGUAAAUUUUCUCUCUUUUUGAGGAUAACAGUUUUCUUCUUGCUUGCUAGCUCCUCUUGUACUCCAGUUUGUUGCAGCCAUGGAUACUGCUCAGUGGCCACAGGUAUAUAGAUAUAGAUUUUCAUUUUUCAUCAUCAACCCUUUUUUCUUCUCUCUCUUUCCAUGAAUAAUUUAGACAAGAAGCUUAUUUAUUGUAUGGGAUCUUUUUGUUCUUUAAAUGAAUGGCCCUUUUGGGUUCUCCUUUGUAAAGAUGAUGGCGUGAUCAGUGCAAGUCCCCACUCAGUUGGAUUUAGUUUUUAUCAGUUCUUCAACAUGGUGUUUCACUUUACCUUUUGUUUAGGUGAUAAAGGAAAAAAGACCCCAAUUUUCUUUUGUUUUUGUUUCUCUCCUUUUUCUUCUGUUGCCUGUUAUAAUUUUGAAAAAGUGUAAAGCAGCUGCUCUCUUGUUUUGUUUUGCUUGUCCUUCUGCUCCAUCUUCGUUAAAUUUACAGUAUUCUCCAGUGGUACUAGGUGAUUAUUCAUUUUCUUUUGUUUGAUCUGAAAUCCUUUCCCUUUCUUGGCUUUUUAAAGGGAAUUGUGGUGAAACCAAUAGAAGAGAUAGUGACAAAUACAUGCCCUAAGCCUGCAGCAGCAGCAGCAGUCAAUAAUUUAGAGAGGAAGGCAAGACCUCAGAAAGAACAAGCCCUAAACUGUCCAAGGUGCAACUCAACCAACACCAAAUUCUGUUAUUACAACAACUACAGCCUCACACAGCCCAGGUACUUCUGCAAGACUUGUAGAAGGUACUGGACUGAAGGUGGGUCCCUCAGAAACAUCCCAGUUGGGGGGGGUUCAAGGAAGAACAAGAGAUCAUCAUCUUCUUCAGCAGCCGCUAAUUCUUCUACAACAACAUCUUCUACUUCUUCAGCAUCCAAGAGGCUUCCUGAUCUGAUACAACCCCAAAACCCAAAGAUUAAUCAAGGCCAAGAUCUAAACCUGACUUUUCCAGCCACUAAUCAAGAUUUCAGGAAUAUUAUCUCUGACCAUUUGGUUCAUCAUCAUCAACAACAUCAUCAAUUGCCCAACAACAACAACAUGGAAAACAGCAACAAGCAGAACCACAUUAAUAUUUCUGCUUCUUCCCCAUCUUCUACCACCACCACCACAACAUCUCACCUCUCAGCUUUGGAGCUUCUCACUGGAUUGACUUCAAGGGGUUUGAAUUCCUUCAUGCCUAUGCCAGUUCCAGACCCCAACAACAACAACAACAACAACACUGUAUAUAGCACCACAUCUGGGUUCCCUAUGCAGGAUUUCAAGCCAACACUUAAUUUUUCCCUGGAUGGGCUUGGAAGUGGAUAUGGGAGUCUGCAAGGUGUUCAAGAGAGCAGUGGGAGGCUUUUGUUCCCAUUUGAAGAUUUGAAGCAAGUUUCAAGCACUGGAGGAGGGAUUGAGCAGAACAAGGAGCAUGGAGACUCAACUGGGUAUUGGACAGGAAUGUUAGGAGGAGGAUCAUGGUAAUUAAAAUAAGAAGAUGAAAAGAAAAAAAAAAUCAUGGGGUCUUUUUCUUUUUUCUUCUUCUUUAAUUCUGAUUUUAAACUCAUUGUUAAUCUCUCAUGGUGGGUGACUUGUUUGGAUUUCUUCAUAACUAACAGAAUAGGAUACAUGGGUUUUCUUUUAAUUAUCACCUUGCCUUGCCUUCUCUUUGUUCUUUUUGGCUUGGAAUUAUCUUUACUCUUUGAAGUAGUACAUGGUGGAUUAUUUUUUGAAGCUUAUUAUUUUAGAUUGGCUUCAAAAAAUGGGUGACUUAUUGUGAGGAUAUAGAAGCUAUGGUAUCAAGACCAGCCCAGAUUUUUUUUAGGGUAGCAAAGAGUAGAAGAGGCAUGCACUGUAUGAAUGUGCCCUUGAUUUCAUGUAAUUUCUUCUCUCACUACUAGAAAGCAAAGGGCAGCCCGCUCCCACUGUAAUGUGUGUGAUCCUUGGUUGGCUUGGUACAAUAAAUAAUUAUGUAUAAUGUGCAACUUCAUUUGUAAGGGUAUAUAUGAUGAUGGAUGAAAUAUUAGAGACUUGAUUACUUAAUUAAAGCUAAUUAAGCUUAUUUAAUGUGGAGUUGCAGUGGGUGUUUUGCAUCUGCUAUAUCUUAUGUUCUUUUAGCAGGAUUUUAGUUUAAGGUCUUAUUCAGAGUACAUAGAUUCUUCCAGCCAUUACACAAAGAUCUGUCCAUGAAGAAGCAGCAAGUGGGAGAAGAAAAGCUAGCUAGAGAUAUAUGCAGCCAGGUAAGAAUCCUCUGAUUCUUCCACAUGACUUGGUAAUAAAGUACUCUUCAAAAAAGCAGCUUCCCAUGUUCAAAUUAGAACCACUGAAACCUGCCUCAAACCAAAAGCUCACCUACUGACUAUAUCCAAACAGUCUUCAUUUCCAGGAACGAUCAUUGCUUCCAUGCCACCCCUCUUUUUUAUUUUAUUUUGUCCAAGUGAAAGAUUGAGAAAAAUCUGACAAACCCUUCUUUCCUUGGUCUUGGUUGGGACCCACAAACAUUCCCCUUGGCAAGUGUGCUAAAGGAAGAAUAAUACACCCCACUAAGUUGAUCCAUCUAGAUCUAGACUCUCUUUUCUUUUUUUCUUUUUUCUUUUUAUAUAUAUUUUGUGUUUUGGUUCCUUGCUGUAAGCCACUUGAGUAUGCAUAAUAAUAACCUAGCAAAUUGUUAGAUGUACACUAUCAUGGAGGUCUUUUUCCAGCCAAAUUUUAACGGUUUAUUUUAUAACUAGUUCAAAUUCAACUUAGCUUUCUCCAAGGGCUGUUUGGGAAAAUCUCACAAUAUCAGAUCGCUUUGGUCGUCCUCCAAGUUGAAAAUGACAAUGACCGAGAAUGAAACCUAGCUUCAAAAUAAUCUAUUGGCCAUUCAACCUAUUUAUAGAAAGAAAAAAAAAAACCUGCUUUUGUUAUUAUUUUUUUUAAAAAAAAAGAGGUAGAGAAAAAGAUGAAAACUGGAUCUGGAUGGUUGUUGAUGGAUCUGUUUGUCUUUUGGCUUCUUCUUCUUGUGUUUUUGUGCUUAGGUUUUUUUCAACAAAUAAAAGGUGACAUGAAAUUAUCUCACACCUUUUCUUCAGUGAAAAGUUAAAACCACAAGAAAGUAUCCUUUGUUUUCGGCAAUGCGUGAAAUUUCUGCCUGCCCUAUAGAUUCAUCUUUUUCUUCAUGCCAAAUCUAAUAGGAAACCUAUAAUCCCAUAAUCUCAUAGGCUAAUAUAGCCAGUCAGAUCAAACAGAAUUAUCACCAUGUCGCUAUAUGGCACUUUUCAAGGAAUUCAAAAUUUCAACCUCAUUGAGGAGAGAAGCUUAUUUAUAAUAACGCGUGACUUGAGAGACAGAGAGGAAUAGUGCAUAUAUCCAUUUCAUGUAUAAAAAAAUUCCAAUUGGUAUUGAAAGAGUUGAAAGAGACAAUUAGGAAUAAUACAUACCGUUUCAUAUAAGUUAUCCUUGAAUUGAUAUCGAAAUAACAUGUGAAUUUCAAUGGGGGAGAAAAUGAAAAAUUGUUAUUAUUCGAAAAGUGGCAAGACAAUGUCCGCAGAUUUUGUCUAAAGUCAACAUGUCUAACAUCACGCAGUUGUACAAUAAAAUGAACCGUUAUGAGCAAAUAGAAGGCAAAAAAUUGGGAGAUUUUAAGAUGAAAUUUAGGUUUUCUGUCGAAUAGGAGUUCAUUUGAACCAUUAAUGUUCAUGGCCACAUUUUUCCUUUGAAUAUAUGAAAUCCCAAAUUCAAAUUUCUCUUUCGAAAUGUUAGGACGACCCUCUGGGAUGGGACUUGGGCUUAAAGGUUAUAACGGAGAAGACAACAGUCAUUUGUACCUAAUUGUAUGGAAAAAUAGUACAAAAUAGUCCGGAAAUUUCAAAUCAAUGAUCCCAUUUUGGCCCAAACCAAUGGAGUGGGUGGUCAACCCAAUAGCACCAUACAGAGUUGCGGUGAACAGAACCAAGAUGGAGACAGGUCGAGUUUCCAUCUUCAUAAUGACCACAGUAAAAAUACACCAUAAAAUUUUGCGAGAAUCUAAAUCAUGGGGAAAUAAAAGGGAAAUUCUUCCAUCUGGAAAUAAAUAACGAGGAAUGAGCACUCAAAUUCAGCAAAAAUAGCUCUUACAAAGAGAAAAUCAAAUGCAGACGUAUUGCCAGUCAUCUGGUAUGUAACAGAGAGAAGGAGGGGGUAAAAAUUUCACUUCAUUCAAAAAAAUAAUACAUUGUUUCCAUUUUCAACAUUUCAACAGGGAUUUUAGCGUUACGUUCGAAGGCCAAUAUGAUAAAGACCAAGAAAACUAUAGUCAAACUUGAUCUUUUACAGAUCAGUGAUCAGCAUUGAUACCAAAUAUACGAACCUUGUGCAUGUUUGGGAACUUUGCAACUACCAACACAAAAACUGCUAGGGUGUUAAAGAUGAGAUUUGGAUUUUGAUAGUCUGUUGUGUGAGAGGCUAUCAAGUACCUGCCAAGGAAGGAUGACGGGUAAGAAAAAGGGAUUGAGGUAAGGAAAUUCAGUACAGCAGCAGCACUUGUCCAACAAAAAGCUAAUUAUAUUCCGUCAAUGUCUUACUGGAAGACUUAUACACAAGAUCAAAAUAAGUCUAACCAGCAAAAAUUUGACACGAGUAUAACAGCAAUGUUGAAGCAAACUCAAUGGUUGACCAUAUAAAGAAGUGCUCAUCUAAGGGGCUUAAACUGAAGGACAAGUGAGGGACAAUGUAUUUAAGGGCAGCAUUCACUUGGAUGAACUAUUGAUUUCAGGAAUUGCGUGGAGUCCAGCAAUUACAUACACUGUCACUCAAUUUAAGUCCCUUAGGUGACGACUUCUAGUAUAGUUACUUAUAUUUCACUAGGUAGUAUAAGGGAUCUAUGUAUGAGGACCAUUAGAAAAAAUUCUAUAAUUUAUGAGAGCAGAGCUAUUCAUGCUCCUAUGCACUCCCCCACUUUUGUGGAGGAGUGAAAAUCACAGCUACAUGGUUGCUAUUUGCAUUCCUAAAAAGGGUAGGGGAUAGAAUUACGAGAGUACAAAUGAUGGUCCAUCUAAUGAAUGCAUUUCAUGUUUGCAUUCUCAAAAUCCAAUCUCAAUCUGGAAGGCUUAUAAAGCAAACUUAAAGUACUUACAGCACAACAGGCACGACAGUCAGAAAUUUUCUGUUUCGAGUGAGUUGGUUGCCAUUGUCUAUCUGCUCCCACCAAGUAAGCGCAUUGUAGAUGCCCUGAUCAUCUGCAAAUGGCGUUCCCUUCUUCCAGUGAAAAAAGUGAUAAGUAACCUGAAGGAAAACGUAAAGACAAUGAGAAAAAAAUGACAAUAAGUAACUAAAAGUGUCAUCAAUAAGACUACUAAGACAUCAAGUCUACUAUAUGGGUCAGAAAGUGGACAAAGAAUAUUAGAGAACUGAUCAAUCUCCAGAAAGACAUCAACUUUUUACCUUUCACAAGAAAACACAUAACAGGACACUUAUCACAUAAAAUCAGCACCAGCUAAAUAGACGAGCUUUAAUUUCAACUCAAUUUAAGGGUCGUUAGAACCACAUAAGGUCCUCAUCUACCAAUACGAAGUGUGCUAUUUCAAUAACCCUGGGAAGCAAACUGUCUAUCCAUAUUCCUCAACAAAAAUCAAAUAAUCCAUUUUCCAUAAUGAUUCGAAAAAUUUGCGCUUUAGAAUCCACAAAUUGAUCCUUGCCAAACUAAAUCUAACUUUCCUGACAUUAAAUAACUGAAACUGUGUGUCUAAAAUUACAUGAUUAGUCCACACAAUGAAGUCAUAAAGUAUUUUAUAUUUAUUUCAUUCUUCUUCCCUACAUAUGGAAUCCAGUUCUUUUGGAGUUAUAAUUAAUGGUUCUUUAUAAGUUUACCGCAUCUCCACUACAAAACUGAACAUGAAAGUUUCUUCUCAUCCAGUUCCUUGCAAAUUAAGGUGACUAAGAAGUACUAUACAUGUACUUACUGAAGAAUAUCCGGAAUCAAUAAAUUCUUUUAACUCUCACCUAAUCCAUUAGAAAUUUGUACAUCUAGGAUUGUGGUUUGAUAUUAGAGAUGAUGUUAUUACCACCCUACUAGAGGAUUGAAAAUCUUGCUCAUCUUUGUGUGGGAUUAAGCAGGAGGAGCAGGACCAAACUACGCAAUUUGAUCCAAAUUUAAAAAAAUUUAAAACAGGAUUACAUAUGGUGGUUGAUUCUGCUAAUGUUUUCACAAUAUUCAUUCAUGCUAAUGAGUUUUCCAUCAUCCACAUCAAACCCUAAUGAUUCAGAUUCAAAAUUUCCAGCUAACUAGGAAACCUAAUCCUCCAAAUCAAACAAAAAAUUUCCAUAUCCAGCACAACAAUCAUAUAUAACAGGAAACUAAGCAAAUUAAGCUUCAUCCAUAAAUAAGCAAAUGAAAAAACAAAGACUGAAGAAAAUAAGAGAGAGAAUACGAGGAAAUGGCAGAGGUGAACGAUGGUCCAGGCCAUGCCAGGCGAGCAAGAGAAGAGGCAGAGGACGACGAGCCACGAGAAGAAGACCGUGAGAAUGUAGGUGGUCCAAACCCCAGGGUACGUGAACCAUUCUGUGUUCCGAUUCAGAUCCGUCGUUCGAACCGCCGUCACAUACAUUUUCCGAUUUCUUUUUUUUUUUUUUUUCGAAUAUUUUUUUUUUGGAUGAAACAAAAUUGAUCAGAGACUAUGAGAUGAAGAUUAAGAUUAACGACGAUGAUGAUGGGAGUGAUAAUGAGGAGGAGGAGAAGCUCAUCAUCACCGAAGAGAAUAUCAGAAACAACCCGAUUUGUGAUUUUCGCGAAGUUGCCUUGCAGGACAGAUUGAGAUUCGGAGAUUUUGGGUUGGCGUGUUUUUUUUUUCCUUUUUUCUUUUUUAUUAGGAAAUUAUAAAAUUAUAAAAUCGGAGCGAAGGAUAUGAUUGAUGAAUAUUAACGGUCGGUGAUGAAGUUGGUGCGAAAGGGACCCAUGGACCCCUCCACCUAAUUGUCAUGCAUUUUAUUACCCCACCCAAAAAUACGCUGACCCCACCUAGAAUUAAGUUUUAGAAUGAAAUAUCCUUUUUUUCUUUUAAAAUAUCCUCCUCUUUUUUCUUUUUUUCUGUUUAAUGAGUUUUGAAAAUAUCCUUGAAAGAAUUUACUUUUUAUUUUAUUCCUUUAAACCAUUGAAAAAUGAGAGAGGAAAAAAAAACCCAAAUAAGUAUAAAAUUGUUGUAAAUGCAUGAGUUGGUGGAUGACCACCAUACCUCUUAAUAUUCCACCGUUGGAUUUUAUGUAACCUAUGCACUAAGUAUUUGUAAUUAAUACUUGUAACCUAUAGGUAUAUUGUAAAUGAUGGUAUUCAAUCUUCUAUCUUGCAAGCCUAUAAAUAGAUAGUUCUACCAAAGAUUAAGAAAGGAAUAUGCAUGGUGAAACUUUGUCUUUAGCAUAUCACUUCUCUCUACAUUUUCUCCCUCUAGUUUUAUAACACGUUAUCAGCACGACAUUGCUCUUGGUAUGUUUUCUUUCUCUGAAUUUUCUUUCUUCUUAUAUGAGCUAGAGUCAUCACAUGGUAUAGAGUUUCUUUGUACUCACCAUCAGACUUCAUCAUGCUUGUUUAAGAAAAAAAUUCUUAUUCUUAUUACACAUGAAUAUAAUGCCAUGUUUUUGUUUUUAUUUGUUUGUUUAUUUAAUUUUAAGUAUGAUCUUAAUUAUUAUGAUGAGUUUGAAUUAUACAAAAGAUCAGGGGCCCGAAGUUCCGUGAUCCUCAUCAUAUAACUAGAUUAGGAUAUAGAGUCAUUUUGAUUGAAUCAGAACCUGAAGUUCUUUGAUUCCAAAUAAUUGAGGGUGUGAAGUUCCGCGAAUUUAAAGAGCACAUAAGGACAUAAAACUCCUCGAUUUUGUAUUAAUCAAAAUUAGAAUUCCAUGAGGCCUACAUAUGUCAAGAACUUGAACCAGAAGUUUCGAGUGCAUAUACAUCGAUUUGAGUAUGAAGUUCAAAGCACAACUAUUAAUUCAAUUUAUUUAGAUCUACGUAUUCGUACCUGAAGUUUCGAAUAUAUAUUGAUAUGAACCUGAAGUUCAUAGUUUUUCAUGGAUCUUAAUACUAUAUAUGAACUUGAAGUUCAUUACUUAUUUGUGCCUAUAUGAACCUGAAUUGGUUGGAAAUCCAAUUCUUAAACUUGUAGUUUUAUCUACAUAUUGAAUCCACAUUAAUAUUGGAUUAUCUUGGAAUUUCAUAAUCUUUAAUUGAUUUAUUUUAUUUCUUGUUUAUACCACUUUACUUAUUUUAUUAUAUUUUAUUUUAUUUAUGUUAGGUUAUUAAUUAAUUUCGUUUUACAAUGGUAAUGUUUUGUAUUACCGCCCCAAUAUUGAUAGCCAGAGGCGUCUAUUGGAGAAACUUCCUACUUUCUUUUGUGGGUAGGAAGUUUAUGAUGUUAUGAACCAAAAGUUCUUGAGGCCCCAAUAUUACACAACUAUUAUAGUUGAAGAUUAUGAUGUCAUGAACUAGAAGUUCAUUGACCGAAUAACUUUUAUGUUGUGACAUGACUAUCUUGGCAGUCCAUGUCCCACAAUGAUGCAUAAGAUUUUUAUAAAUUUGUAAGGACAUCGUUUAAAGACUCGAAUUAUUGUCUUGUCCAACAAUAUCAUUACAAAGAACGCUCACAAAUAAAAGCUGUCAUAAGAUCAUCUCAGUCAAAAAUUGACUUUGAGCCAUCUUUCCUGAAAUAAUUCAAGGGGAUAUUUGUGAGCCUAUACAACAUCUAAUUAUGGAUCACUUCACUAGUUUUACUGAAUGUGCCUACUAAAAUGGUCACAUAUUUGAUAACGACUGUGAGUUUAUUUUCCUACAUUUUGAGACAAUUUUCCCGCCGUUAGAGGGAGAAAUGACAAUUCCUAAAGAACGUCGUGAAAUAGUGUUGAAUCAAUCCGCUUUUGUCUCAUCAAGAUAAUGCAUAUAUAAGUUGUACAUAUGCUAACAUGGAUUGAUAUUCUCGUAUCACAAUCCAUUAACAUGGUAACUAUAUAUAUAAUGCAUGCCUGAAGCAUGUCAGGAAUAUAGGUUCUAAAGACUUAACUCCUCAGAAAUGGAGAUUAUUUGAAAAAUUCAAGCCCUAUAAAAAAUAACGCUCUAUAGGAGGUUAUGAUCCACAUAUUCUAAAUAAUUCAUUGUAAAAGAGAUGUUUGUCCCAUAAGUGACAACAUAAGCCCCUGAAGAGGCAUUAGUACCCAAAAGCAAUGAGAUGAUUAUAAAUUAUGCAUGUGCAUGCACAUAAGAAUUGUGGGAUCACAAAUUGAUGAUACAUUUGGUUUAUUAGUAGCUACUACAAUCAUCAAGGGCUACAUUUAUAUUAAAUCACGUUUCAUGAAUGUCGACAAGUUAAGCGAUUGGCCAAAAAUGGAAAUAGGCAAUUCCAUUUAUCACUAAAUAAGAAGAGUUGGAUAUUGAACCUAUAACUCAAACACCAAAUUACAAAUGUUUAGUAUGAAGGUUAUGAAUUGGUGUUUGUGAAGUGAAAUAAGAUCACUAAUAUGACAUAAGGUUUCCUGGGAGAGACAUGUGGUUUUAGUCUCCAAUCUCAUCGUAAAUGCAUCCACAUUUCUAUAAGUGCGGUUGUUACUUUAACGCAAAACUUAUAGUAUGUGUUAAAUGCAUAUUUAUUAAGACUAUAUGGUACAUGGAAAUCCUCAAAGCUCAUGAAAUAUUUGAGAUAUAUCGGAUGAAGCAACCUCUUGAAGGAUAUAAAGUACCACAAUAUUCUUAAUUAAGAGUUAACACUAAGAUUUUGAGUAUUUUGAAUUCAAAUUUGAUAUUGUUGUAACAUAUUCUAACUACUAAAUUAGUUGUUGAUACUCCUAAAGAUUUCAAUCAUUUGAAAAGUGAAAAGCAGGUUGAAUAGUGUGAUAGAUGAUCAUGUAUGAAGACAAUGUUGCUUGUAUUGCUCAAAUCAGAGAAGGAGAGAUAUUAAUCAGGGGGAGAUAUCAAUCAGGGGGAGCAUCCCAAUUCUACUACAUUCAAGGCAGAUGCGCGUUGUACUCUUUUUCCCUUCGACUAAGUUUUUAUCCCACUGGAUUUUUCCUAGCAAGGUUUUAACGAGGCAAUAUAAGCUCAUCCAACACCAUAUCAAUGAUUCAGAAGAAAGUUUCACUCUUUUUCCCUUCGAUUUGGUUUUGUCCCACUGGGUUUUCCAAGCAAGGUUUUUAAUGAGGGAACUAUGUCAUUGUGUGGUGGACAUCCAAGGGGGAGUGUUGUAAAUGCAUGAGUUGGUGGAUGACCACCAUACCUCUUAAUAUUCCACCGUUGGAUUUUAUGUAACCUAUGCACUAAGUAUUUGUAAUUAGUACUUGUAACCUAUAGGUAUAUUGUAAAUGAUGGUAUUCAAUCUUCUAUCUUGUAAGCCUAUAAAUAGUUGGUUCUACCAAAGAUUAAGAAAGGAAUAUACAUGGUGAAACUUUGUCUUUAGCAUAUCACUUCUCUCUACAUUUUCUCCCUCUAGUUUUAUAACAAAAAUAAACAUGUGGAAAUAAAACCAAUUUAUAAUUAACCACAUAUGGGAAAUAAGUUACAUAAUAUUACUUGUGAUAUCUUCAUAAACAAUAAAAAAAAGGGGAAAAAACAGAACUUGUAAUGCUUGGGAACUGCAUGGAAAUAAAGCUCAAUUCUUUGAAAGGAGCUUAAUUCUGUCAAAUUACAUGAAUAACAUCAUGAACCGAAUAAUUUUACAACAUAUAAGAAGAAGUGAGCAAGCAAAAACUUUCAGAGGCUAACAGUGGCAUUGCCAGCCCCAUCCAAGCCCUCCACUAAUCUUCUCUUUGCAGACUUUGUUCUGAAACACCAGACCUCAAAGGCCUCACUCAAGUCGGGAUACCGAACCUGCUCGGCUCCCAUCCAGUCUGCCAGAAUGUCUGCUUGAUCGUUCGACGGCAAUGCCAGUACCAAGGUCACCAUGGCCCCUUCUAUGCUCUGGCACAAGUCUUCACUCAUCUUGUAUGGAAAACCUGUCUCCUCACUGCCCUUUGAAUCCAGAAGGGGCUUCAUCUUCCUUAUGUAAGGAAGCCAUGUCUUUAGUAAUGUCAACCGGAUUGGAGUUGGAAGAAUCACAUUGCCAUAGCCAACUGCUUCCAGGACUUUAGCAGUAAUUUCUAUGAGCUUUAUUUUCAAACCCCACAUAAAAGAAUCAAGUUUAUUAUUCUCAACUACCCCUAAAACAUUACUGGAGCUUUCAGCCCAGUUGGAGACAAAAUCCUUCAUUAAAUCCAUCUUCCCAAGUAUGUUACACAUCCAUUCAAGGUCAGAUAAGCUGUGCAAUAUUUUCUCCUCUGCUCUCUCGGACACAAGGUCAGGCUCCAAAAGCAGGGAAGACAAUUCCUUUUCAAAUGAUGAAUAAAUCUGGGAUAGGCCCAUUCUCAACACUGAUUUUACUUCCUCAUCGGCUGUGACCAACGGUGCAUCCUCGUCUUCUCCUAACAUGAAUUCAACUUGUUCCUGAGCAGACGUUUUAAGCUCGUUGCCAAAUGGAGGACAUGGUCCCGCAAUGGAUGUGGCGAUGCGAACUGCUGAGACAAAAACAUCUUUGGUGGCAGCUAAAUCAACAGGUUGGAUCCUAGCUAAUAUUGGCAUAGCUUUUGGACCCAAUUUGGAAACUGCUUUUAGGAUAAGUUCCUCUUCUUUGUCCUCCCAAGGAACAGCCUCCAAGUACUGGAUGCAGCAGCAUGCAAUCUCUUCACACUGGAAAACAACGGCUAACUGAAGAAUACCAACGGCAGAUUUCACAGAGUCGAAUGAGUCCAAAAUUGAGUCUGUUGGAAGAUACAGAAGCCUCAACAGGUUGACAUGGUGAUCAUAGUUAACCUCUGAGCAAUAAAUAUCAAUGCAAUGAUUAGAGCCUGGAUGAGAAAGCCUAUUGGCAAAGUACUUGCUCUUAUUUAUGAGAACAGAAGAAUGGCUGUAGAACCGUUUCGGUAUCCCUUCUCUAUUCUUCAAGCAUAUAACAAUGUCACUAGUAUUCUUAUCACCAAAUCUACAAGGCUUGGUCUGUAAAGCUGUGUCCAUGUGCGCCAACAAGGUUCAUGCUUUGAACAAUUGAAAGAGCAAACUUUCAAAGUGGUUUUCAACUGAAAAUCAAGAUUUGGAAUAGAUAGUCAAUCCAUAGAAAUUCUAAAUGACAGGAAAAGAGAUUAAUAAUUGGCAAACUUGGAACUGUUUGAACAAGAAUAUUAUCUACGAAACAUCAACAAAAUGUAUCGAGAUCGAAAAUUCGCAAAGUGAAUUUGCAGUAACAACAGCUGAUCCAUAGAUAUUAACUUGCCUAUAUGCAUUGAAUUAUCUACAUCACCAAUUGACCACAAUCAAAACCACCAGCAAGAAAGAAGAUUAUUGCAACUACAAAAUAAACCUCAAUUAAACAAACAACCCAGGGUCAUCUCAACAAAACUCACAGAAAAUUUACUUAAGCUAAACCAUUCAUUCAAAGCAAUUAACUAAUCACUGAUUGGAUACUAUAAGCUUGUAAUGAUAAUAGAGACCUAGAGACAAAUUGAGAACUGAACCCCAAAAAUGUUUCCAAUAAAAAAGGAACAAUUCUUGAAUUCUCAUACAUAAAGAUGACAAAUUGAUAAAAACCCAUUCGGAACAUAAUAUUUAAAGUUCCAAUUUUUACUGUUGUCCUGAAAUAAAGAUUUAUUUUUUGUUAUUUUUCAAAUUGGGAAUUCUGAAAAACAAAACAAAAACAAACAACUCACCCCUAAUUUUAUCAACCGCAGCAAUGGGUUCAAGCUUUUAACUGCAGAAAAAGGGAUCUGCAGUGAUUCUGUGAAUAGCCGAAUCUGAAUUUUGCGGCAAUUUAGAAGGUUAAAAGAGCGCAGAGGAAGCCCUCCAUUUUAGGUUUCUUACAAGCUCUGAAUUUGAGUUGAGCUUCAGCUGGAACAGCUGAGAAACGAGCUUUGGGGUGAAGGCCCAAAAGUAUUAAAUGACCAAGAUGACCUUCUGUUUGAUUUUAAUUAGGAUGGUGUUCUGCACAACAACACAAGGCACACAGAGCAAAUUAAUAUAUAUUCCAAAGGGCAAUUGUUUACAAGAAAACAUAGGACACAAUUUGGUUCACUACCCUAAAAUGGGUGCAAAUGAUUGGUAGAGACGGGGGUUAUAGGAAUCUGAUUGGAUCCAAGCAGCAACUUGGCAAUUUGCAUACCCACUUGCUCCUCGCUAUUCUAUCCUAUGUUUAGCUUUCUUUUUAAUUAAGUGACUGAUUUUUCAGGGCUCAUUUACCCUCAGGAAAAUUCUUUCAACCACUCCUCUCAAAUCCUAGCUUUGUGCACCAUUUUAAAAAAUAAAUUAUACUAGAGAUAUUAAGAGUGAGAAUCGAACAUAGAACUUUGGAUGUAAAUACAAAUACCUUUAAUUAUUUGAACUACAAGUCUCUUGUCUAAUAUUGCACACCAGUACAAAAAGGAAGAAGAAAAGAACACAAUGAAUACAUUUUUAGAUUUAGGUAUAAUCAUUGGAUUAUUAUAUGUAUUUGCAUACAAACUUUUAAUUCCUCAAGUAUUUUAUUUUCUUUUUAGGGAAAUGACCAUCUGUAUACUAAUGUAGAAGCCAGAAAUAUGCUUAACAAAAGGAACAAGUUUAUGCCCCAAAAGCAUGCUCGAAAGGAAGAAAAUGAGAUAAUACAAUCCAAAUGUCCUGGUCGACAUUGACUAUGUUGUUAGCCAUUGAUCUACCAAACGUUUCAAUUGCAAAUUGCUAACCAAACUAUUAAGUUCAUAAUUUUGUGUGCUUUGAUUUCCACUCUUCUUAACAAAUCGUGUUCUUAACACUAAAAAAAAAUUAAUUAAGAACUUCGAACACGCAUAAAAGACUAAUAAACAAUAUUUAAAGAGAGCUGGGAAAAUAUCUAUUUAUUUUGUGAUAAUGAUCAUCCAUGCAUGCCCACACAAAAGAUUUCAUUAGUGCUAACAAAUUGUGCAUGGAAUAGGACAGAUGUUUUUAUUGAAUUUUAAGUGCACCUUAAUCUGGUUCUAAUGUCCCAAAUAUCUUAUUAAUGGGGAUCUUUAUUGCAUUGUAAUUUCUUUUUUUGUUAUUAAUAGGAAAGAUGUUAUUGAAUCUUGAAAUCUCUUCCGAUAUUGGGAAGAGAAAUACUACGGUACCAUUUUGAAUGAGACUCAACAUUAAAUAUAAGGGAUCUUCCCAUAUUAAAUGAAAAAUCUGCCCAACCUUUCCAAUUAAAGGUCAAGCCAUACGCAAAGGACCCACUAGUAUAGUGGUUUGGAAUAUUUACUCCCUCAGGCAAAUCCUGAGUUCAAGUCUUAGUAUCCGUGUUGUGUGUGUGAGUUUAAUAUGCUAUCGCUCCUUUCAAUAGGAAAGGUCCUAAAAAUAAAAAAAUAAAAAAUUUCAAACCAUAUAAAAGCCAAUACUAGUUAUGAGGUUGAUACUUGCAUUUAAUUAGGGGUCUCUUGUUGGAGUUUAUGUUAUAGUAGAUUAAUUAAUGCCAAAGAUCCGAGUCAACCUGAUAAGAAAGUAGUCAUGGCAUCAUUCAAGCUUCAGCAUUUGCUUGCUGUUCUUCUCAUCUUCCUCCACCUCUCUUUUCAUUCCAUUGCAGACCCCCAUGGCAUGUCUCUCUCCUCCUCCCUUGAUCGCUGCCUUUUAGGUGCUAGGGAAUGCGAGGCUGCAUGGAAUUGUGGCUCUGUGUGUAGAGACAUGGGGAUAUUAAGCCCUAAUGCCCUAUGAUGUGUUCCCAACCCAGCUGGUGGAAAACGUUGUUGUCGUCUUCCUCUUACUCAGCCCAAUUAGCUUCCUACCAUAAUCACAUCCUUUUAUUUUUCAUGAAAAUAAUGAUUUCUUCUUUUGUUUUGACCUUGUUUUUUUUAAAUAAAUAUAAGGUCAGUAUUUCUCUUGGGUCAUCAAUUUAUGUAUCAGCUCAACCAAAGGUAUUGAAUUUGCAUGAAUGUACUACCUUGCAAAAUAUUAUUCAAUACGAAGUGAACUUUAGUGCAUGGUCGUUUCUGAGAUUUUAGGAGUCCUAUACAAUCUCACAAGUUACUCCUUUUUAGAGUCGGCUCUAUUCUAGUGAAAACCUAGUAAGAUCAACUAUUGUUCGAUAAACUCGACAUCAUGAGUUCAAUUAGAGCCUCACACACUGCGCCGGAUAGAAUUGCUCAUUUUCGUAGUUGUAAUGUUUAUCGACUCGUGGCUUUGCAAAUAUGGGCCUUGAAAAAUUACUUGUAGGAUUGGGUGUCCAUAGAAGUUUUCAAAGCUACACCUCAAUCCACUAGUUUAUGGGCCUAUUGUUAUCAAACGCAAUUUUACUAUGUCCAAUAAAAAUCAUGGCCUUAGCCCAUUUCGAAGCUACCCAGAAGAAGAAGAAGAAGAAGAUUUCACACGUGCGAAGCAGAAGUACAAGACACGUAUUAAAUGAAGCUGGAAAAAGACAAAACUAGACACCCCCAACAGAAAAAGCUGAAGUUGAUUACGUCUAUCACAUCAUCAUACCUGACAGGGCCAUCAUUCCACCCAGCAUGUCACAUGACGUGGCAUCCACAGGUCCCGCGGGGCCACAUCCUCUCUCUAUCUCUCCUAGGCAAAGCUAUAUUGUGGUCCCCACCAGCCCAGCAGCGAGACACCCUCGCGCCCCAGACCACACUGACUGACUAAUUAGAGUGCAAAGAUAGGAAAAAGCAUCUGAACCGUCCGGCUAAUUGUUCCCCUUAUCACCGGCAACUGGCCCUCAAAAUAACCGCCGUCUGAUUGACGCGUCCAUCAAUAUCAUCAGCCGGCCACGUGUCUUCCCCUUGAGUAAGAGAAUCAUGCGUUUUUCGAUGCCAAAGUGAAAUGGUCCAUUCAUCUAGAGGCUUUUUUAGUGGCUGAUGGAAGGAAACCCAGUAGUACCACAAGUGAAAAUGGCACACAUAUGCAGCUAUAUUACUUGGCCUUUACGAGUUUACUUGGUCCAUAUGCCAUCGUUAUUAAGUUUCGUGAAACACUGUGAACCGUUCAUUUCAAUGAACGUAUUACUAUACUUCGUGAACCGUUAAUUCUGAUAGACACGAAAUUAAAAGACUAAUCACUAAGACAACUGGAACUAGUCUUUGUUAUUCUUAUUACUAAUCAUCACAAUAAUUACACUAGGGCUCUAUCAAGAACUUGAUAAGUCCCAUGAAUAGAAUAAUUUAUUUAUUUUUUUCGGAUUGUUCUCCACCCUCCAAUAUAGAAUUUUCAAAUUCCAAGUCUUAUAAUGAGCCUAGUUUGAAAUUCAUAGCCACUUUCAUGUGAAACCCAUUAUCCCCCAACGUAAUUAAAUUAUGAUAUAUAGUUUUACUGUUCUAUUUUCAUAGCCCACAGCCGUAUAACAAUAAUAAUUAGCACUCAUAUAUUAAUCUUAUCCGGCAGCAAUCAUAGUAUUAUUAAUGAAUAAAAUACAAAUUGCUAGAAAUGCAUAUGGCUUUGAGCCAAAGGCACAAAGGUGGUUUUGUAGACAUUCUCUGGUGAAAAACAGUAGUGUGGUUUGAGAUUGGAGUGGAAAAAAUGAUUGUCGGAUUGGUGUUUUGGGUAAUCGGGUAAAAGGAGAGCUAUAAAAAUCCAAGGGCCAAGAGAGCUUUUGUUUGUUUGUUUGAUUCGAUCGAAGGGUGGGGUCCACGUUUUUGGGGGGACCUGCUGUGGGGUUGUAGCUGGACCUUCCUUUUUGCUCGCAGUUGCAGAGAGAGGAAGAGGGAGGGGAGAAAGGGAGAGAGACCAGCUUCUUGAUUGCAUCAAUAUGAUGAUGAUUGGGUCAUUAGUGGUGGCGCAAUGGGUUUUUAAGCUCUCGGGCUUUUGUUAAUAAAUGCAAAGGGAAAUCCGAUGCUAGCUCCUGUGGUGUGUGUGGCGGUUUGGAUAGUAGUUUGUACUGUUUACAUUUAUCAUACUCAUAUUAAUCACCUUUCUAAUUUCUAUCUUCUUCUACUUUUUUGAGACUUUAGUAAUGUACUUAUGUAAAUUCACAGAAAAAAAUAAAGUAAGCGUCGAGAGUCGAACUCUAAAUAUAAAAGUCUUUUCUCAUAUUAAAAAAGUAUAAAAGUCUUUCCAUCAUUAGUAAAAUUCUUUGUAUUAACAUAGAGUAGAAAUUUUGAAUGAGCAGUGUGAGAUGACUAUUCUAAAGUGUCAAUAACGAUUCCCUAAUUUAAGUUGAAAUAUUGUAAGAAUGAGAUUAUGUCGUGUUUUACUCAUGUACUAUUUUUUUUUAAGACGUGAAUACGUUACGGAGUCUACUCAUACUUAAUUUAUGUCCGAUUUAGAAAAAUGUACCGUUGAUAUUUGCUUAACUUAUGAAAUAUCCUUACCCAAAGUUUGAAUGAAUCAUUCACUAUAAUAGGUUUUACCAGUCAAACAAUAUUAGUAAACCGACAUUAAAUAUUCAUUAUGUAAAUCCCAAAAUGCAAAAAGAAAGGAGAAAAAAAAAAGAAAAAAAAAAGAAAAAAAGGGUAAUGACAAGGGAGCUAGCUAUGCUACAACACAUAUGGUACCACCUCAUCUUCUAUAGCUCUUCUGAGUCCCCCCCAGUAUUCUCCACCUCACUGAAGGCUGUGCAACCUACACUUUGAGGGUCCAUGAUUUUAUAGAUGCACAUCAUGCACUAACCCAAAUGCAAACUGACUACAAAGUCCUUUUUGCUGUAAUUUUAACUUUUACUGUUUUACAGCCCACAGUUUUACCUGCCUCUACCCUUUUUGGUUGGCGGUUGCGUGAACAAAAGAAUAUAGAAAACCCAGACACCACAAAUAUAUAUAGCAAUCAUAAUGCUGCCUUUCCCAACCUACCAAGACACAUCAAUGCAGCAUUUGAUAUGGUCUCUCAACUUCUAGCUUCAAAUCCGGUACCUCUCAAUACGCAUUUCCUCUGCGAAACCCUACAUAUGCCCAUAACCUAACUACAUGAAACGACAUGUUGCCAGUUCUGUGCUUAUGAAAUUGAUUUGGAUGGGAUAUUUCUAGGGUUUUCGAAAACCAGAGAGAUUUGCUCUCUGAGUUUUUGAUUGACUUCAUAUGGCAUUGUAUUCUCUUUGGGAUGGUAACGUGAGAGAGAGGCUAUAAAGAUUGCCCCAUUUAUUUAUGUUGCACUUUUAUUGGACACUAUAAAGCUUAUGUGGCAGCUCUCUCUCAAUUGCUUUUGUCAGCUUAAAGCUUCCAUUAAAGCACUGAGAUUCCUUGUAUGAUUUGAUUUCUCCCAAGAGGAAAUCCAAGACAAGAUUUCAACCAGGACAAAAAACCCUUCUUCCUUUUCUCACUUGAGGUUGAACACAACAAAGAGGGGAUGAUUGAACACUUUGUCUAUAUAUUUAAUUGUGUGUAAAUCAUCAGUAGAUUCAAGUUGAUGUAAAUUAGAACAUGGUUAAAACCCUAAAUGAAAACAAAAAAUCUGCUUUCACCUAUAGCUUUUCUAAAGGAUCCAAUUAGAUCUUAAAAAAGUUUCAGCCUUUCUAAGAAGAGAAUCUAGCAUAAGUACAUGUUAUUAUCUAAAAUGAUAACUUAUUUAUUUUAAGUAUUCUUUAGUGAGUGCUACUAAACUACAAUUAAUAUGGGUCAAACUUACAAUUCAAAGCAAACUAGUGUGCUGUUCUCUGCAGCAAAGAAUCAUCCCAUAGUUGACAAAGUGGUAAAGAAUGUUGAUUGCUAUUUCACUAGGCAUUCAGAACCUUUUGCCGCUAGCUACUAAUUAAGGUGUCAACUUAUUAACAAAUAAAUCCAAUAAUUUCUGCCAACGGGGUCUAGCUCAGUGGAAAAGGAACUUGUCUCCCAUGUUAUUUAAACUAUCGCUUAUACUAAAAAAAGAAAAGAAGGUCCAAUAAUUUCUAAAUAGUUUGAAUUUUGGGAAAAUGGGGUUAUAUGAUACUCAAGUUAUUGCAAGAUAUCUAGGAUUGAAAAAUAAUGUCCAUCUAUUGCAGGAGCCUAUGUAUUGUUGAAUUAUUGUUGCAAUUCAUUAUGCAAGUCAAAACUUGAGAAAUUUUGAAAUAUAUUGCAAACACAUGUGCCACUGUUAUUUGUAAGAGAACAUAAAUUAUGACUAUGAAUAAUGAUUUCUGUCCAGUAGCCCUUAACUAGGCCCCCCUGCCCUUUUUUUCAUAGGACAAAGCAUGUUUUCCCAAGAAAAUAAAGCUUAAAACUGUAAAAUCUUAGCAUGACACAAUAAUUAAACACUUUAAGUAAGAUCUAAAUUGAUCAUAAAUUCCAUCAUCAUAUGGAUCACAACCUUUAAUUCACUUGAUCCAUACUGUCACCAACUCAAUUAAGCAGGCUUUGUUUGUUCUUUAUAAACCAAAAGGGGGGGGGGGGGGGGGAAGAUAAAGAGCAAAACAGCCAACAAUCCAAAUCCUAGUGCUGGAUUUUAAUUCCUCUCCCUUUUCUCAGCAGAAAAAAUAAAGAUGUAAAAGCCAAACUUUUUUAUGCCGUUGACUUAAAUUCUCAACGGCUAUGAUGAAGCGUGUGUUGUCUUGAGGAGACAAAAUUAUGGAGUUUGCUUGAUAAAGAUCGAAGGGUGGUGAUGCUAAGGGAAAAUUGGAGCAACUUUGUGCCCUUGCAAUCACUUGUGGGUCUCUUUCCCACCCCCUCCCUCUGACACACCCACCCACUAACACAAGAUUUGGGUUGCUAGCUAAGUAUGGUUUAAAGCCAGAGACCUUAUAAUUGACAAUGCUAACUAACAUAUCAACACCAAAAUGAAUAUGUUGAAGAAAAAAUACACCUAGUGGAUGACUCUCAAUCAUGCAAUGCUUUGUUUGAACCAAAUUAAGGGGUAAAUGACAAGAAGAAAAAGAGGAGAAAAGCUUUGACUGUGAUUUAUUAGUUGUAAAAGAUAAUUGACAGACAUUGUGAAGUUAAAAUAUAACAUGUAUUACGGAAUCUGAAUUAUAAAUAAAAACAUGUCAAACAUGUAACACACGACAUGUUUUAAUUUGAUGGUGUGCGCUACUCAUCAUGUUUGUGACAAUGAAAUCCUAUUUAAAUUUUCUUUAUAAAAAAUAACAUAAAAAGAAAAAAAGAGAAAGUGGUCCUUAUUAAUUGGGUAAGUACAAUAGGGAUGGAGGGUAGGGAUUGGAUGAAAUAAGAGAGUGAAAGAUCCAAAUUGGGGAAGAAGAGUAAAGAAGGGAUUUGCCAAUUUGGUGUUUGUGGUGUAGUGUGAAUAGUACAAGUGUGCAAGGUCAAGAUUCUCAGACUAGGUGAGGAGAUUGUGGAUAUAUAUGCAUGGGGACCCAUACACAUAUAUAUGUCUCAUGCAAUUGUGCACCAACAUUGAUCUCUCUUUUCAUAAUUUUGUUAUGAAGAAUAAUGGAUGUCCCCCCUAAGCUUUUAGAGUUUCGACCUUGGAUACCCUACAAAGAGAGAGAGAGAGAGAGAGAGAGAGAGAGAGAGAGAGAGAGAGAGAGAGAGUUGCUUCAAAUUUCAAUUACUAGCUUUGGUUGAUCAGCUAGCUAGCUGUAUCAAAUUCAAUUAUGGACUGAAAUCACUGAGCUAGCCCUAUGGAACAUAAAAACAAAUUGUGCAGGUUGCUAAUAUGAUAUAGGGGGAUGGCUCACCAAUUAAUAUAUAUAUAUAUAUAUAUAUAUAUGGAGCUAUGUAUGUAUCAGAUUGAAAAGGCUACGAAUUAUGAAGAGAGGAAAAUCGUAUUGGAUGAGACUUUCUCUUUUUACCCAAGAAAUGCAUUUACACCUGUCUAUAUGUAGCAAAAUGAGCUUCAACCCAAGUGUGUAAGGAGACAGGGUAAAAAAAAAGUAUGAACCAUGCAGUUAAGGGAUAUCAAUGAAAGGGAGGGUUGUAAGUUUCUUUAUUUACUGACCCGUGCCGUAAAUGUUUGCUUUUUGUAUACCUACCCACAGUACUCUUGCUUUCAUACACACACACACCACCAUAGCCACACUGUAUUAUUAACUUCAUACAAGGCUAGUAUGCUAGCAUGACCCUUAUUUUGAUCUGUGAAAUGAUGUGAGCAUGGACAUGUUCAUAAUUCCCACCACGUGAAAAGUGUGAUGAAGCUCCUUCUACUCGUAUAUGUGGACUAUAUUUCUUUUAUACAAUCUGUUAUAUGCAAUUAUAAGUCUAUAUCUCUCUCAUCACGUGAUGAGAGAGAUAGACGCAUAAACAUAUAAUGUGAUGAAAAAUUUAAAUACAUAGUAAUAUACAAUCGAUAAUACCUAAAAUUUACUUGUACACUAGAAUAACUCUCUCUCUUUGAACUUGUUUCAUGCCAACAAUGGUAUUGGUGAGAAAUACACACAAGUUAGAAAUACUCUCACCUCAUAGAUAUUUGAUACUUGGUACUUGAAGAUGGGAUGUACCAUGAACCGUUGAUGAUGUACAUCAUUUUCAUGAUCAUUGAUUUUGAUACUAGAAUGAAAUUGAUGGAAUUCAAAUUACAUCUUCAUCAAAAUUGAAGACAAUUGCCAAUUAAUUAUUGGGUAUUUCUCUUGUAGGAGACUAGAGUAGUUGUAAAAAACGAGAGGGUGAGGGAGGCAUUGGCAGGGGGUGAAAUCAGAAAAUGAUCCCUACAAACCCCACAACCCUAAACUUGGGGACCACCCCACUCACAUUUUUGCCUUUAGGACCCUUCUAUAAUGUUACAUUUCCCGAGGGUAGGCCCCCCCCGACCUCCACUGGGCCCACCGACAUCUCACUCUUCUAUUCGGAAUAUUCUCUGGCCCAAAUCUUCGGGCUCCGCCGAUGACCACUUUUCCAUUAGAGCCAUUUUUAACCAUUAGGCGCCACCACUCUUCACCAGCAAGCAACGUCCCAUUAUCUAUCAUCUUUUUUUUAUUUUUUUUAUUUUUAUGAGUAACUUUUGUGACCACAAAAUAAAAGCUUAUUAUUAUAAGUAUUUUAUACACAUUUGCGGUCAUAUAGUAGCAAUGGAUUCAAUUGAUCAAUGUGAAGUGUAUUAUCUAGCUCUUACUUUAAUGGUAUUUUUUUUCUUCUAACGAGAUUUUUCUUUAAUUUACGGAUUGAGACUAAUUUGGGCAACGGCUGUGUUUGACAAGCAUGGUGUGUAGAUUAUUUCUCGAUGUAAAAACAGAAGCUCUCAUCCAUUUUAUUCAUAAUAAUUAAACUAUUUUUUUUUCCCUUGUAAUAUUGUAAUCAUUUUUUUUUUUGUAAUACAUUGUUAAGGCUAUAAUCAUGAAGUAAAUAAUACGGGUAUGAUCAUUUUUCAUAUACAUCAAUUUACAUAUCUUAUCUUUGUUCAAUUGAAAAAGUUGUUAAUCAAGUGUAUAGGAUUCAUACGGGUCUAGACAAAACAUAAUUUUUAACGUAAAAUAUGCACAAAAUUAUUUGCAGAGAAACAUAAUAAAAAGUGAAAAUACAGAAAACUGUAAAUGUGAAUUCAAAACCCUAACCUAAUAUAUGAAACGUGACAAAAGGAGAGAGAGAGAGAAAAAAAAAAGAAGGGAUGCUAUAAAUAAAGUGGCACCGUCCAUGGUUAUAAAAAUCAAAGUUACUAACUUGCGCAAGACACAAGCAUGGUGAUCUACUGAGGUGGCUACUGGCUACUGGUUAGGGUUCUUUUAGGGCUGAAAACCCAGGGAGGGUGGCGCAAGAUAGCAACGAGCUUUUGCUAUUCAUAUGUUAUGUAUGAAUAUAUUUAUAUAAGUUUUCAUUGAAAAAAGAUAUAUGUAUUAUAUAUAUUUAUAGAAGUAAUAAUGGGGACAGGAGAAUUUGCAGAAUAAUAUGAUUGCCAUUACGAUGAAUAUUAGUAGGCUGUGUCUGUGUGUGUGUUGGUUUGAGAGUUCGCAGAGAUAAGGACGUCUGGUUUUGUAUGUUCUUGUGGCUUUUGAUGCCGACCAUGAUAUCUCAUGAGUUAUUCCAUGUGUUUGUCUCGAAUUGGAACUAUUUUUAACCACUUUCCUUUUACUUUUAUUUUUCUGAUAGAUUGAAAAUUUAGUCGGAAAAUAGUUUUUUAAUAUGAACUUAUAGCUCAAGUGGUAGAGCACAUUAUUACUACUAUUUGAUGAUAAAAUUUUGAUUCUGACACAUUUUUAGAAUUCAAAUUAAAAUAUAAAAACUUCUAACAUUUAUAGUUUUGUCUAAUUAAUUUGAGAAAUUUCUUCAAAAUAAGGCAAAGGGAUGUAAAAACGGAAUAGUACAUAAAAAGGGAAAUAUUUAUGUUUUUACUAUAAUUGUUUUCGGGUAAUCUUCUCUAAUUUUAUAUAUUUUAUUUAAUCUUUCUUUCUCUCUCUAAACUAGGUCUGGUUCGAUUUGGUCUCUCACGGUUUUUAUAUUAUGAAAUUUGACUUGAUUUUUUGCACCAACAUUUAAAAAUAUAAAAGAAAAGCCAAACCAAGUCAUGUUCGACCAAAUUUGACGGAUUUUCAGUAGAAACACCCACCCCUUCUCUUAAUCUCUAUAGUUACAUACAAGCUUUCACAAUGGGAAUUUGAUUUAGAUGCAACAAAUCUUUGUAAUGGGCAAUAGCUCUAUGUCAUCACCUUCCAAAUCCCAAUGAGAUUUUCCAUAUGUACAUUGCCAUUGCUUCAAUCAGCUUUGAAAUCUUUAGCUAUAUUGGUUUUGAAAAAUUUAUUGUAAAAUAAUUUUCCCAAAAAAAGAAGGUCAUUAUGAUUGUCACACAACAUAAGAAAUUAAUCACCUUAUUAUAUAGAAUCACCUGACUUUAGAGGUUAAUUAAGCUCACAAUAUUCUCUAACAAUUAAUACUCUUUCACUCAUUUGGUGCAUUAAAAUCAAUUCCUCCAAUACAAAUCCGCCAUCUGUCAAAUAAAAUAAAUACACCUUUAUCUUUAAGGAGUAAAUUACAAAAUUAAACCAGAAUUUUCCCAAUAAUUAUGCAAUAAAACCCAUGGAUUUUCCUCUCCAUUUUCUCAUAUCUCACGACAUCUCAACAUCUCUUGUGAUUGGAAAAGCUUCUUCCGAGAAAAUCAACUAUAAUUACCGGCUAUAGGCGGUAAACCAACUGAAAGGGAUUUGGGCGGACCAAUGGGACCAGUCACCGGCAAGUCCAAGCCUCCAAGGAGACAGAGAUAUUAACACAGUAAAUUAAUACCCGAGAUCUCAGUGUUCCCCUUCAUCUUCGGAGCACUGUAUCAGAUUUCUUUUUCGUCUUCAUUUUCAUUUUCAUUUUCAUUUUUGGAGGUUUCAUAAAGACAAUAAUACAACCAACAUUUAUAGAGACCACAGAGAGGGAGAGAGAGAGAGAGAGAGAAGCAAAGCAAACCACCACCAUCUUCUAUAUAUAUAUAUAAAACCUUUCUUUUAAUCUUAAACUCUCACUCUCUAAACCGACCACUUUUCAGCUUCAAAAAUUUCUGGCAACUUAACACUCGUAGUUUUGAUAAAAAUACCCUCUUUGGUUCUCCAACAGUCAUCCCUUUGGUUUGUUUUGUUUGCCUCGGCAGAAAGCAACUGGCUUUGGUUUUCUUAGUCUGUUCAUGUUCAAGGACAAAAUAAAUUACAGCGAAGUAAGAGUUUGGGUUUUUGGGUUCUUGACUGAGUGACUGAGUCAAGCUGCUUACUGGUUGACUCGGACCAGGGUCCUCUUAUGGGCUUGGGUUGGUGAAGUUUGGGAUUGUUUAGGUGGUUUUGGAUAGUGCAAUGGGUGAAGCUGGGAAAAGUUCUGUGAUUAGAGAGACACUUGAGAGUCUUUGUGUUAGUAAUGGGUGGUCUUAUGGGGUUUUCUGGCGCUUUGAUAAGAGAAAUUCCAUGUAAGUUUCUUUUUUUUUUCCUUUUUGGAAAGAAAAUACUUCCGUUCUCCUUUGGCUGCUGAUUUAUUGUUUAUAUAAUUUGGUUUUUCCAACUUAGACUCUGUUUAUUUUUUCAAGAUGCAUUUUCCUUCUUCACCAUUUCACUUUACCCACCCCCUAUUGUGUUACAGUCUUUCUUCUUGUGGGAAAAAAAGGGUACAGGUCUCUUUUUACAUGUAGAAUGAAAUCGUAGAACAAAUGAGAGUUUGAAAUGUUCAAAUUUACUUGUUAUUCUUGUUUUCAUUUCAAAUAUUAGUCAUUUAUGUUCUGCAUGCUAGCUGUUUUACAUUUUCCUUUGUGAGAUCAAGCUUCUAUUGAAACUCAGAUUUGAUAUUUGGGAUUCUUAAGGUUUUUAAUGGUUUUAAUCUGACAUGAAUUGGCUGUUUACUAGGUUUUUCUCAUAAAAAAUUCUGGGUUUGAAAUGCUUUAGGUUGUUGACCAUGGGAGAUGCAUAUUAUGAAGAGCACAUGGGAGCAGUGAUGGACAGUAUGCUUCCGCAGGUCCACAUGCUUGGAGAAGGGUAAGUUCAAUAUUGUACCACAUUUUUUCCAAAUUUCCAAUAGCUUGUUUUCUUUUUCCCCAUCAUAGAAUCCAUUAAACUUGAAAGCAAAAUUUCCCCACAAAAUUACUUUUGUUUUUUUAAAAUAAGCAUUACAAAUGUAUAACAGGGCUGAUCUUCUUGUUGUUGUUGUUUAAAACAGUAUUAUUGGGCAAACGGCUUUCACGGGGAAGCACCGGUGGAUGCAUUCAGAUGCUCCUAGCGGAGAAUGGAGUUCAUGCAAUUCUCUUGAAAGUCAAGAUAUGUUCCAGGUAUGUUCUUCAGUUGUUAACUAACUUAAAAAGUUAAUAGGCCAUAACAGUUCUGGUGGAAUUGCUCAAAUUUUUGCGAUAUAUUCAUAACUUCUUUUUUUCCCCGGUAAAUGGUGAUUAUUUGUUUACUUAUCUGCAUAUUUACUGCCAUUCUACAGGAUGAUUCUGAGCUCAGGUGCCAAUUUUCUUCUGGUAUAAAGGUAUCGUCAUUUCCUUUUCAAUCUGUUUUUCUUUCUUGAAAAGAAGCUUGAGUAGUUGAACUUUAUGAUAAAUCUAUGUGAACUCUUUACCUUUCACAGCCUUUUAAAGCUAAUAUUUGUUGUGUACAUUUCUUCAUCAAUCCAUAAGUCAUAUUUAUUGACACUUAUAUUUAAUUUGCAGACAAUUGCGACAAUCUCUGUUGAACCACGAGGAGUAAUUCAGUUCGGAUCCACCAAAAAGGUAGUUGAAUUGAAACAUCAAACUGGGAUUCAGCUUUCUGCAUUAUGUUCAUUUUGACAUGUCAACGUUCUUAUGUUCAAAUGAGACCAUGGUUGCCAAAAUCUAGAUUUGGUGUUCGUAUAUUGUACUUUCAGUAUAGUAACACCAACCUCUGUGUAAAUAUCCAUCAUGGGGUAUAGCAUGGUUGAAUACUUCCUAACAAUACUGCUAUUACAUUUUGCAGAUUAUGGAGCGGUCUGAAGUUUUGGAUGAAACAAAAAGGUUGUUCUGGGAGAUGGAAAGUCUUGAUGGGCUUAUUCCUUUGGAAAAUGUUCCAUCAUGUUUGAACAAUGGUACUAAUGAUCUAAAUGAGUUGUUUGCUUCCUUAAUUUCAUCUGGGAAUUCCUAUAAUGGAGAUGUCACCUGGACCCUUGGUGAUAAAUUUAAAGAGCUCCGAGGAAACGAUACUUCUGCAAUGAAUUUACAUUCUACAUCAUCUGAUGACAUUGGCUCAGCUGAUAAAACCCCUUGGUUUAGUACAUGGAGUACUGAGUCUUCUUAUUUGACUUCAUUCGACCCGCAGUUGACAUCUGAAAUUAGGGUUCAGGAUUCUCAUGAAUCUUGCAGAAAUACAGCACAGAAUAUUCAGAUGGAAUCAACAUUCACUUCAUUGGCUGACUUAGCGAAGCCUAUUCAAGGCAGCUGUGGAUAUCAGAUGGAUAACCAGCAUUCUCUGCAUGGUUUCCCAGUGGAGUUUAACCCAACUGAUUUUACUACAAAUAUCUCUAAAUUCUGCCAGGUGGAUGAUCUUUCCCAGUGGUUUGCUGCUUCACCAGAACAGAACAUCAAUGGAAUGGCAACCACACUGAAUGAUGACCUCUCACAAGUAAUGGAAAGUACUUCGGGGUCAUCUGGUCUGGUUAAAGGUGAUAGGUUCAUUGAUGCUCCAAUCGAACAUCCAGAUAAUUCCAUGCACAGUUCCAUUACAAAUCCUUUCAAUGCUGGUGGACAUGAGAAUUCUGUAUUCAUUCAGAAUGCUGAAAAUGGUUUGUUUGAUGGUUUGGGACCAGAUUUUGGUUGCGGUCAAGUAGGGGAGUGUUGGGAAGAUAUUAUGGUGCCGGCAGUCAGUGGUGGCUACUUGAACACUGGUACUGCUUUGACCAAAUGCUUCUCAGAGCCAGAAGUUGGUUCCAUGACAGCUCCUCGGAAAGGGUUGUUCUCGGAAUUAGGACUGGAAGAGCUUUUAAAUGGUAUAAGUACUACUACAAGCUCCGUGUUUAAAAGCAGUCUAGAGGACCUUUCAUCCACCACCCGAAAAAGGAAAUCAGAAUGUUCAUCUGUGAACAGUAACCAGGUUCAGUUUGCAAGGCUUGCUGGCUCUAGUGGGAGCAUGCAUUCAACGGAGCCUUUGUAUAACCUGGACAAGACAAACAGUCUUGUACCAAAGAAAGAUUUUUUCCCAAAAUCACAGGUCGGUUUAUGGAUUGAUGAUAGCUAUAGUGUCAACGCUAGAAGUGCUGCACAAGAUAAACAACAGCAGGCUGAGGAACACACAAAGACCACCAGGAAAAGGGCAAGGCCUGGGGAGAGUACUCGACCAAGGCCCAAGGAUCGUCAGCAGAUCCAAGACCGUAUGAAAGAGUUGAGAGGGAUCAUCCCCAGUGGUGGCAAGGUACUUAAUCUUUAUUUUGUCUUUCAAUAGAUAAUAAGAUGGGAAAGUGUUUGAUUCUUUGGAAUUUUUUCUUGAAAGAGAUACAAACCAUUUUCUCAUAUUGGCAGAUUGUACAAUGUGUUUCUAGUGAAGUUUUUGACAUUCAUAUGUUUGGUUGAUGCAACAGUGUAGCAUAGAUUCGUUGUUGGACCGAACCAUCAAAUACAUGCUCUUCUUGCAAAGCGUGACGAAAUAUGCAGAUAAACUUAAACAGGCUCAUGAGCCAAAGGUUAGUUGAUUUAGUUAUUUCUGUUAUAUACAGAACAAGCCAAAUAUGUUUGAUGUUUGUUAACUAAUGGGACAAUAUUUUGGAUGGAUUUUGUAGCUAAUUGGCAAGGAGAAUGGUGUGGUUCUAAAAGACAACAACAACCGAUCUGCUGGUAAUACAUGGGCAUUAGCAGUCGAGGGUCAAACAGUGGUUUGCCCUAUAAUAGUUGAGGACCUUAGUCCACCUGGCCAAAUGCUUAUUGAGGUAUGUAAAAGGCAUGAGUAUUCUGUCAACCUUAAUGUUUUGAUCUCUCCUCCUGACUGAAAUAUUUAUUGUUUCUGUUGCAGAUGCUUUGUGAGGAACAAGGUUUCUUCCUUGAGAUAGCAGACAUAAUCCGGGGCUUUGGGUUAAAUAUUUUGAAGGGGGAGAUGGAAAGUCGAGAGGAUAAGAUAUGGGCACGAUUUAUUGUUGAGGUAAACCUCAAGUGAGAUUUAUAUUAAUGAUGUUACAGAGUUUUUCCCAUAAUUUAUAUUGAUGGAAAUUUAUUAUACUUACUUUCUGAAAAAAAUGAAUUUUAAGCUUUCCUCUCUAUUCUCUUCUUACCAAGAUAUUAAUCUUAAACUUUGUUUACAGGCAAAUAGGCAUGUAACAAGGAUAGAUGUAUUCUGGUCCCUUCUCCGUCUUCUUCAGCAAACAACAAACAAUGUGGUUGAUCCAACCAAUCUGCCGACUAAUAUCGUAGAUAGCGGAGUUCCUAUAUUGGAUAGUUGUCAACAACAAAGUUUACCUCCUCCCAUCAGCUUGUCAUGAGACGCUUAUCGUAUCAGCUUUGGGACGACAGUUUCAGGAAUACCUUGAGCAUUUACUUGUGAGGACAUGCCAUGAUAGGUGUUCUGGAAACGGAGGAAGUCACGAAAGAAGGGGAAUUUGGCUUAUCCAGCUUUGGAAGUAGGUGUGAAGUGUGCAUAUUGUUAGUAGAGAGUAGGACACACCUUCAAAAUUGCAGGUGCUAUUUUUGUUGCUCUAGUUCCCAAUAAGAAAGGACAGGCUUUUAAGGCAAGGUUUUGUAUUUUGGUUGUUUAUAUCUUCAACCUGAUGAGAAUUAAACCAUUUAGAAAUAGGCUAACCAUUGAUCUGUUUCUUGGCCUUUAUGUUGUGGCUUAAUAUUUGAUAUAGUAAUGGAGUGUUGUCAUCUCUCUCUCUCUCUCUCUCUCUCUCUCUCUCUCUCUCUCUCUCUCUCUCUCUCUCUCUCUCUCUCUCUCUCUCUCUCUCUCUCUCUCUCACAUACACAGAAUAUAAGGAAUCAAGAUCCACCAUAUCAUUUACAAUGAGAACGACAUUACACGGCAAUCUUUAUAUUUGUAAUAAUGUGAUUCGUAUCAAAGGGAAAUAUUUUUUUGUCAACCAAUUGACAUCCUCUCAAUCUGGAAUGUUCAUUAUAUGAAAUGUUAUUCAAAUAUGUGUCACGAUUGACAAUCUAACAACGUAACAUACUAUCUACAACAUUGCCCUUGUAUUAAAGUUUAGUAUAUGGGGACAAAUAGAGAAUCAAUAUCUCAAAGAACACCUAAUAUGCAUACUAUACACCAUAUAGUGGUAAUCAAUCAUCAUGCACUAUGAACCCUUCAAGGCUAAAAUAUAUAUACUUCUGUCUGGUACAGUUGAAAGUUAGGCAAGAUUUUGUUAUAGCAAAUAUUGGUUGUCUGCUAAUUACAAUUACGGCCUAAAAAUUACGUAAUUAUGAUCAUAAGUACAACAUCAAUGUAGCAAAUAUAAGCAGAAAGGACUAAAACUUUGAGAAAUUUUUGUUUUUGUUUAAAUAAAGGAUUUGAACUUUGGUUUGAAAGGUCUUAAUCAGCUUUCGGUAAAGUAUGGGGGCACUGGUAAGACAGCUGCUUCUUUUAAAAUGUACAUGAUAAUCAAUCUGGUGAUAUUGUAGGGCAAAGCCAUGCUUUUUGUGAUAGUUGAAUUAGCCUUUCAAAGCAGUGCAUGCAGCAGUGGAAAGGCUCCAGUGUGAAGAGAUAAGUGCUCUUUCCAUUCAAAUGAAAUCAGCAACAAACAAUCAAAUGCAGCCCCAGUUUUAAAUCUAUUGCCCCACCUUUUCUUGGUCCUAUUCAUGACCUAAUUUGCCUUCAAUUUCAAAAUUAAACCCACAAUAAAAUAUAUUAACAUUUCUAAUCCCAUAUUGGGUUCUCCACUACGGUUUGAAACCCACUAGUCACUCAACUGCUUGGUUACAGGUCUAACAAUGGCUGUCUCUAAACAAAUGGGGGCUUAAAUUUUGUCCUGUCUCUGUCAAACAGCUGGAGCAAUUUUGAGAAACUGAGACAUACAGAUGCCUGGAGCUUGAUUUUAAAAAGAUGAGAUAGAGAAAUGGGAUUUGGGAAAUGCAGAGAGGGAAGAAAACAAGGUUGAAAACAAAUUUUCUUGACAGCUGCAUAUGCAAUUAGUUGGGAAGAUAAGGACUUUGAGAACAAUAUGUGAUUGCAGUUGUUCAAUCAGAAAGUAGCAGAGAGUUCAUUAUAUUAUAAUAUCAGCAAUAUUAAUUUCUUUGAGUGCUGGUUCCUAAUUAUCUUAUCCAUGGAAAAACAAAAGAGGAAUCUGAUCAAAGCUCCACUUAAAACAAAAAUCAACAGUGAACACUUGCAUAUAAGUAAGAAUAUAUUGAUGUUGAUCACACAUGAUAGUGCGCUGAUGUUUUCACUUUUUUGAUGAAUUUAGGACACAAUAAUAUGUCACCUCUUCAUGAAGGUUUGAUUUUAGGUCCAUUAAACUCUCUCUCUCUCUCCCUCUCUCUCUGGGGCAUUAAGGAAAAAUAGGAAGCUUUAAGUACCAGUGUACUUGCAGAAUUUCCUUGGAAUGAAAGAUGAAAAGCACACGUGUCUGCAAAUACCAGAUAUUUACUAGAACAAUAUGUAUACAGAUUUGCAAAUCAAAUUGGGACACUUCCCAUAUGUUGCUACUAAUCUAAUUACAUCCGGUAAGUUUCCACUUGAAAAAUCAAAUAUUGCAGCUGGACGGUUAAGUUUGCAGCACAAGUAACACGUGCCUUGCACAUAAUUCUACCAUAUCCAAAAUAUCAGUUUUGACUCUUCAGUGCAAUUUGGUGCAGACACUUGUAUUAAAAAAACGUGCUGCUUUUCCAAGAUUGAACACAGUUCUGUUGGUUUAAGAAGUGAUGAAAAGGCCUAAUUGGAUACAUUUGUAAAGAACUGUGGGACUAAAAGAUUGAAAUGCAUUUUUACCUGUUCUGAGAGAACAGAGAGUGAAGGAUUAAUGAAAGUUCUAGAUCAACAUGUGUCCUUGAGUCCCAACCUGACCUACCCAAUAUGAAAAAAAAGAAGUGCAUUGGCUUCUUGCUGCUGACAUUGUCAUGCCAUUGGAAAACCUUUUUUUAUUGUUUAUAUGUGCUUAUUUGUUUAUUUCAGACCACUAUGAGAUACCAAACUCCCACUUAGUAUAUAUAUACUCCAAUAGUCACUCUUCUUUCCUCACCAAAACUUAACAAUUCCUCUGCAUGAGAGGUUGAGGACUUUGGCAACUUGACAACUUGGCAGCUUAAGUUUUAUCAAGCAGCUCCCAAAGUUGGUUUUGUUUCUGUUGUCAUUAUCAAAAUGGCUCAGGAGAAGGAAGUGGCCAGUGGAAUGGAGUGGAGGAUAACAAUGGCAGAUGGGUCAUCUGAAGCAUUGGCUCCUGAUGCAGGGUUUGCCAAAAUAGCCUGGCUUGCUUUGAAGGGUCUGAUUGGAGGGUUGGUUUUGAAAGUGUGGAAGUUCCUGAAGAAAGCUUGGGACUUGGGACAUAAUGAACCCAGAAAAGUGAUUCAUUGCCUGAAGGUAGGGAUGGCCCUCACUGUUGUCUCACUUUUUUACUACAUGAGGCCACUGUAUGAAGGUGUGGGAGGAAAUGCCAUGUGGGCAGUUAUGACAGUUGUGGUUGUUUUUGAAAACAAUGUUGGUAAGUUCCUUGUCAUGAUCUUUAAGCCAAUUGAGUUCAACAAAUAUGCAUCUGUAAAAUUAUUGACUUACCUGAAGCUAAAUAUUUCAUACUGGUUAAAAUGCAGGUGCAACUUUAUGUAAAAGCAUAAACAGAAUUUGUGGAACUUUUCUUGCUGGUUUUCUUGCCAUUGGCAUCCAUUGGAUUGCAAACCGAUCCGGAGAGGAAUUUGAGCCUUUCAUUACUGGAAUUUCAGUUUUCUUAUUAGGUAUGUAGUCCUAUAUUAUAUAUUAAUGUUCUCUAAUUGUGGCUAGCUAUAGAGAAGACUUUUCAUGGGUUAUUUUUCUUAUUAUUGUUUUUUUGUUCUCCAGCUUCUGCAGCAACCUUCUCAAGAUUUAUACCAUCUGUGAAAAUCAGAUUCGACUACGGUAUUAUGAUCUUCAUCCUCACAUUCAGCUUAGUUUCAGUAUCCGGUUACCGGGUGGAUAAAUUAUUGGAUAUGGCCGGUCAAAGAAUCACCACCAUCAUCAUUGGGACUUCCUUGUGCAUAAUCAUAACCAUGGUUAUUUGCCCUAUUUGGGCUGGGGAGGAACUCUAUAUGCUUAUCACUCGCAACAUGGACAAACUUGCCGGUUCUUUAGAUGGUACGUACUUUAUUCAAAUACCCACUUUUGCUUUCAUUAAAUAAAUACCAACCUGCGGUUAAGUUUAGGCCAAUGUCAGUGACAUUAAGUGCCCCUAUAUUUUUCAGGUUGUGUUGCUGAAUAUUUCAAUGAUAGUGGAGGCUUUGCUGAUAGUGACAAAGAAUCUGAUAAAAAAGUGCUUGGCUACAAAUGUGUUCUAAGUUCAAAGGGAACAGAAGAAGCCAUGGUAUGUAGCAGGAACAUAAUUCCCUGGUUUUAUUGAGUUACUUAAAGCAUUCUCUUUCUCACAGUGGCAUUGUCUUUUGUAGGCCAAUUUUGCAAGAUGGGAGCCUGCACAUGGCCGCUUCAACUUUAGGCAUCCAUGGAAACAAUACCUCAAAAUCGGGGCAUCAAUGCGCGACUGCGCUUAUUGCAUCGAGGCCCUCAAUGGUUGUGUCAAUUCUGAAAACGAGGUAUUUUUCUACGAGUUAUAUUCUGAACCAAAUUAUUGUUCCACAUGGAAAUAUGUCAGCAAUGCAACAUUGACUCAGUUAACUUGAACAACUUCAUCUGAAUAAACAGGCCCCUGAGUUCACAAAGAAGCAUAUCAGCAACAUUGCCAUAAAAGUAAGCUCUGAUUCUUCAAUGGUCAUAAAAGAGCUUGCAAAGACUAUGAAGACAAUGAAGAAGUCAUCUACAAUAGAUUUCCUAGUUGGAGAAAUGAACAAUGCAGUGCUGGAGCUCCAAGAGGACUUAAAAUCUCUCCCUGCUAUAUUCAUUCCACAGCCACUGCAAGAAGCUGAAUGUCCCGAAAACAAGAGCACGGAGCAAGAUUCCAAAAAGGCAGUUCCUCUCAUGGAAAUAAUUCCACUUGUAACUUUAGCUUCUUUACUGAUUGAAAUUGUUUCAAGGAUUGAAGGCAUGGUCAGUGCAGUUGAAGAACUAGCAGGGUUGUCUGAAUUCAAGUCCGUCAACGAUAGGAAGACUAAUCAAAACCAGACUACUAACAAAGUUGUACCAGAUCACCAGGGCGCCCUUCAGAGGGUCUAGAAUUUAUAUAAAGUUCUUGGCAGAUUUACGGAAAGGGGCGAAAAUACUGAAGAGAUGAUGUAAAGUUAUACAAAUCUAACAACUUGGACCCCAAUUGAAAUCUGUCAAUUGAAAAUCAUUAUUUGUUCAGUGUGUAUAUUUGGAUCUGAGAUUCUGAAUGCAUAUGGCUACUGGACUUGUUCUGGCAAACUAUCACUAUUGUACAUGUAAUAGCAUUGUGCUUUCAUAUUUAUAACACAUUAUGUCACCUGUUGUUCCCCAAAGUUUGCUAUUUGAUCAUACAAGGAAAAUCUCAUUUCCUGGGUAGAAAUUGUUGUAAAGGACAAAUACAUUUCCAUAUCCCAAAAAAAAAAAGAAAAAAAAAAGAGAAGUGAUUAUUGUGCGAAGAAAGGUGUAAUGUUCACUAGCAAGAUAUCAAACAUGCAAAUAAGAAUAAUACUAGUCUUAUCACAUUUGUCUACCACAUGAUGUGGUAGCUGAUAUAUACAUACCACAUCAACUAAUUAAUGUGAUUAACACCCACCUACCCACCUUCGUCGAAGUUGAAAUGACGCUGUUUUGAACGGUGAAAAUUGAAGUAUUUUCUUUUUUGAUUCCGUUGAUUCGAAUCAAAGAGACCAAAUUUUCAUCAGUCACCAUAAAAACACAAAGACCCAGCUUUGUUUGCUCACCGAAAAACCAAGCUUUUCAAUCCCUUUAGGUUGGGGUUAGGAUCACACAGGCGAUGCUUAUUGCACAAAACUUAGAAACACAACACUUUCCAACUUCGCAUCCAACGACAUGUCGUUUCCUUGGGCUUAGUCCACAUUCAUUCAUUUAGGCCCAUUCCCAUAUGACCAAAAAAGGAAGCAACUUUCUUGAGUCUUCGACGGACCUUUCUGUUCACUUCACUUCGUCCCUGACUCCAAAACCCUUCGAAGCUUGAACAGCUUUGGCCAUGGCGGAGCCUAUUAUCACCUCUGAAAAACCCUCCACCACGCCUCUUUUGGACCCACCUUCCCGAAUCGUCUGCCACGUGUAUGAGCUUCUCCAACCCCACCCCUCUUUUCUUUUCAAAGUUCGUUAAUUUUGUGUGAAUUUUCCCCAUUUUGAUUUGAUACAAGUAUUUUUGAUUUUCUAAAUGCAGUUGCCAGAAGCAAUUUUCACAAUACACAUGCCCUCGCUGCAACUCUCGAUACUGUUCUCUGCACUGCUACAAGGUAGGCUUUUUAUUGUUCUAGUAAUUUACAGAGAUUGGAGUUUGGUGUUGUGUUUAAUUGUUUUGCAAUUUUUGUUGAGCAGUCUCAUAAUCUUCGAUGCACCGAAUCGUUCAUGCGGGAAAAUGUGGAGGGGGAGCUUGGGCAAUUGGGACCGGACGACGAAACUAAACAGAAAAUGCUGGACAUACUGAAAAGAUUUCAUUCUGAAGAAGAAGCUGAUGCCAUGGAUGAUGAUGAAGCUGGUAUGGCUUAUUAUUUGUGUUUAUUGGUGUUCUUGUUUUUCUUUGAAAUUUAUGGCUUUCAACUUCAAUGAACCUUUUGUUGUAUGCUUGGGAUUUUGCAUGUCAUGCAUUGUAAGAUGGUAGGGUAGUAGUAGUUUCUUAGGGAGAGGGAAGUUUCUGAUUGAGGGUUUGCUAGAGUUCGGUCUCGGUAUACAUGUUUAUUGGGGAUUGAGGGUGGCUGGAAGAAUAUGCCGAUUUUGAUUGAUGCUAUGCUUACUGAUUGUUGUGUUGUUGAUGCUAUGUGCAAGUUUACUUGAGCAGUGAUUGUUUUUCAAUAUUUGAGUACAUAGAAUAAAAGCAGCUCCGGUGCAGUUUUGAACCGGGUCUUAUUGAUUAUGCAUGCAAUAAGCCUAAGUUGGCCUUUAGAUAAAAUUGCUGAUUAGUAUCCUUGGGUUGAAGAGUGAUAGUUUUCGUAGUUGGUCUAAGGAUCACUGAAGCCUAAUGAGGGCUACUGGCUAGUUUUUCAGUUUAUUAUAGACUUCCUAAAAUACAUUCAUGUUAAACUUAUAGCCCUUUAGUGUUUUUUUUUUUCUCUUUCAGCAAAUUGGAUUGCUGACCAGAAUCUUCAAUAUUUUUUUGCAGGUUCUACUCUGUCUGAGGAGACCAUUCAAAAAGUGCUUUCUGGUACACUCCUGUCUAUCCUUUUUCAAUGAUGUAUUUAGUUUCUGGCGCUCAAGUUCUUUCCUAUCUUUCAUUCAUUCUGAUUUUACAUUUCAAAUCUGUUAUAGAAAUUUUUUGCACUUCUUAGUUUAAAGUUGUAUAUUUAAUGUCUUACGAAUUAUCUGUUCUCUGAGCUACUUGCUAUUUCCUAAUGCUGACACCAGCUGAUUCUCAUUAAUAUUUGCAGGAGGUCAAGUUAGUUUUGAUGAUCUAUCUGCAGAAGAGAAGAAACUAUUCCAAAAAGCUGUUGUAUCCGGUGAACUAAGCAAGAUGAUUAAGCCUUGGGAUCCAUGGUGGUUGAAGCCUUCUGCCAGAGCAAUAACAUUCAGCAAGGAAGGAACACAACUUAUCAAACCGCUUGCCAAUGAGGAGGAAUCAAUGUCAACAGAAGAUGAUCUAGAAAGUAAUCAAGCGAGUGAGAUUCCACCUGGGCCUGACACCCCGCUGCCUCCAGUCAGCAAGCUUAGUUCUACAAAGCCAUCACCAACCUUAGCUGUUCAUCUGGUUGACAUUAUAUAUAGCUACUGUUUCACACUCCGUCUUUACAAUGGAGAUUGGCUAUCAGACGCCACAGGAUCAGCCAUGGUACUACUGUCAGUGUCCUCUGUAUUGGGCCAAGGUGGACAACCAGAGACCGUCCUGGAAGCUCUGUCUUAUUGCCUGGAACAAACCUGCUCUCCUGCUUUCAGACAGAUGGGUGGCUUGCAAUUUGGACUUGGUCUUAUAGAUGAUGUAAUAACCCUAUUAACGUUAGGAACCCCUGCUUUGUUGUGCUUGCUUUCUGAUCUGCAGAGGAUGGUUCAGGCUGGGGAGAGGGAACUGAAAUCAGAGAAACCACGAAAGUCGAGAAGAGCUGAAAUUAGGAGUAAGCUGAAGGUGGCCGAGAGGAAAAUUUAUUUCAUCAUGUGUUGGGUCCAUGAGCAACCCGGGGAAGCUUGGUCUUCCUUGGCAGCCAUUGUAAAGGCAGAGAAAGGUUCGGCUUUGAAUUAUGAAGCUGCUGCUUCAAGGCCCGGGAAAGUGGACAAGAAAGCAGAACCAAGAAGCAAGGUUUUGAUUCAGGAGAUCAAGUGAAAAAAAAAAUGAUACUGUAUUUUCUUUGCAUCUUGUUAUCUGUCAACUGUUGUAUGAGGAGCACAAACAGCUGUUCCUAGUAGAGUAGUUUACAGUUCAGUUGUAUAGUUGGCUAAUGCAGUUGCAGUCAGUUAUUUUAGACUUGUUUUAUCUAGUUUUACCAACUAGGAGCUGUAAAUCAGUAACUUUUGUUUUCACUGGGUUAUCAAAAUUCUUUAUUUUCACCGACAAAAUUUCCAACAAAUUUAUUAGGCUGAGCGAAACGACGUUGUGGGGGUACUUUAAUCCUGACAGUUAUAUAGUCCGUUUCCCAACCCGCCAAGGCGAGAAAUGCUUACAAAACGGGACGGUCAACAACUGUAUGUUAUACGUGAUAAUUUUUUUACAAAAAUAAUUCUAUUUCCGUUUCAUACAAGAUUUUCUGCUAAGUUUCAUACAAGGUUUUCCGCUCCAAAGGGGUAGAAGAAGGAGAUCACAUCAAUUAUUAUUUUCGAAUUCCUAGAGUAUGGCUAUUUCGUUAUUUUCCUAAGAAGUAGGGGUUAUUUCUGGUAUCCCACCCAAACCUAUAUGACCUUCCGUCUCUCCCUGUGGAUGCCAUAAACCUCCAGUUCUCUCUCGGAGAACGAACAUUCCAAGAACGUCGUCGUAUUGUUCUUCGCUCUCUCUCUCUCUCUCUCUCUCUCUCUCUCUCUCUCUCUCUCUCUCUUUUCGAUUCGUACCAAUCUCUGCAACACUAACCGUACGGAGAUGGUUGAUGUAAACGACAAGUUAGCGUAUUUUCAAGCGAUCACAGGCCUCGAAGACCCUGAUUUGUGCGUGCAGAUCCUCACCGCCCAUGGCUGGGACCUCGAGCUCGCGAUCUCCGCCUUCACCACCACGACGAACCACACACCUUCGCCGGAGAAUCCCGCCUCCGGCACCACCUCCACAGUCCCCGACGGCAGUGGCGGCGGUGGUCUAUACUCCGUUUCUCAUCGCGGAGAACCGUCGCAUCCAUCUGGACCGUCAUCAAAUGCUGUCGCAGCACCCGGUUUGGCUUGGAAGAUCAUCACUCUGCCGAUUUCCGUAAUUUCUGGUAGUUUAGGGUUGAUUUCCGGCGCAAUUGGUCUUGGACUGUGGGCCGCGGGUGGAGUGCUCUCCUACUCUCUCGGAAUGAUUGGAAUCGGGUCGGGUCGGGACGGUGAGUCGUCAGCCCGAUUGGUGUCGGUGUCGGCGGUGGCGAAUGAAGCGAUGCAGUUCGUGGCGAGUUUCGAGAGGGAUUACGGGACGAGGAGGCCGAAUUUCGUAAGCGAAGGGUUUAUGGACGCGUUGCAGAGGUCGAGGAACUCGUUCAAGCUGAUGUUCGUGUACUUGCACUCGCCGGACCAUCCUGAUACGCCGUUGUUUUGUGAGAGGUCUCUGUGCUCCGAGACCUUGGUGGCGUUUAUCAACGAGAAUUUCGUGUCGUGGGGAGGGAGCAUUCGGGCCAGUGAAGGCUUCAAGAUGAGUAAUAGCUUGAAGGCCUCAAGAUACCCCUUUUGUGCCGUCGUUAUGGCCUCCACGAACCAGAGGAUCGUGCUGCUUCAACAGGUAAAUGAUUCUUUCCUUGUUUUUUUUUUUUUUUUUUUUCGUAUUAGAAUUAUUUAUACGAAAUUCAUAGCUCUGUAGGCUUAAUUAGGAAUGGCAAUUAUUGCAUGUAUGUCAUUGUAUCUUUUUAGGCCGUACUGAAGCUAGAAAAUAUAGGUUUCUUAGCUCUCUCUCGAGAUAAAGUUCCAAUUUGGGUCGUUAUCUCAUCGGUUAUCAGCAUGACAUACUGAAAGAACAUGUUUGACUCAUCUUAAGUGACUCCUUUCUGUUUCUUGUAAAUGAGUCAACUGGUGUCAGCAGUAGUGAUUCUGGGGUUUAACUGCGAAUGUCACAGACCGGUGUCUUUUUAUUGAACUAAGGGUUGAGUUCAUUGGCUUUCCCUAUUCGGAUUGUUCAGAGUGCUACAAACAUCCCAUUUUCAUGUAAUGCUAGCUGAAACUUUGCAUGGAAACAUUGCUUAGCAUGUUCACUUUGGUGUGAGUAAUUUUAGCAGAAACACGAUUCUUUGGUAGCGGAAACGGGGUUGGACAUCAACCUAUUCCUGUAGUUUAGCUUUCUUAUUCUUCGUCCUUUUUUUUUCCCUCUCUCUAAAUCUUUUAUGUUUUUGUUUUUUGUUUUUUUGUAUUCUUGUUUCUUUUUGGACUUUAGGUGGAUGUAAAAUUUGUAAUUGAGCUAUUUGAGUUUAAAUAAGCUCUUACUGAGUAAAUUCUGCACGUCCAUAGCUUGGUAUGAGCGUUUUGUUUAAUGCCUUACCUUUAACAUGUUUUCCUUAUGCAUCUUGAACAUGAUGUUUUGUAAGCGGGUUUAGUGUAUAUGAUAAUGUUUUGACUUUGAUGUGUGUGCAUUUUUUUUCCUUUCCAUUUCCCUAUUUUCCUUUCAACUUCCUGGUAACUAGAUAUGAAUGAUGACAACUUAUUGUUGUUCAUUUUAUCCUUAAUGAGUAUCUUUGUCUGGUUUGGCAGGUUGAGGGGCCAAAGUCUCCCGAAGAAAUGCUCGCAAUAUUGAACAGAGUGGUUGAAGAAAGUGCUCCUGUUCUUGUUGCAGCAAGGCUUGAUGCAGAAGAAAGGAGAAACAACAUUCGUUUAAGGGAGGAGCAAGAUGCUGCUUAUAGAGCAGCACUUGAAGCUGAUCAAGUACGUUUAUAGUUUAACCUAAUUGCAUGCUCCCUUUGCCCUUUCACGUCACAGACAAAAAACUUAGGUUUUUAUAAAGCUCUUAGGUUGUUAUUUUCCCAUUGCCUCAUUGUUAUCUUCCUUUGCUUCAGGCAAGGGAAAACCAGAGGAGGGAAGAGCAAGAACGUCUGGAAAGAGAAGCAGCUGAAGCUGAGAGGAAGCGCUUGGAAGAAGAAGAGGCUCGUGAAAGAGCAGCACGUGAAGCUGCGGAGAAAGAGGCUGCACUAGCUAGGAUGCGGCAGGAGAAAGCCUUGUCGCUUGGUGCCGAACCUGAAAAAGGACCUAAUGUUACACAAGUAAUCCCUCGUGCAUUAGAACUCAAAUUUCCCCUGAUCGUUUUCUUGUAUCUUUUGAAUGUAUUGAUAUUUCAGAUAACUACUAUCAUAUGUUUACAUGUUGAGUUCCGUGUGUAAUUAAUGCAUGCUUGUGAAUUAUAAUUGAACAAAUAGGUUGUGGUGAGGUUCCCAACCGGAGAACGGAAGGAAAGGAGGUUCGUCAGUAGUGCAAAAAUCCAAACUCUCUAUGAUUAUGUUGAUUCUUUGGGUUGCUUAGAUGUGGAGAAUUACAGUCUGGUUUCUAACUUCCCUCGAGUGGUAUAUGGACCAGAGAAGCUGUUGUUAUCCUUGAAAGAAGCCGGGUUGCAUCCUCAGGCCAGCCUUUUUCUGGAGCUGAAUUCUUAGAGAAGUUUAAUGCAGAGAGUGUUAUUAAAAAUGUAGUAGGGUUACUCCGUUUUGCAUCUCUAUAUACUAGCAACUAUGUCCAUUUUAUUAGAACCAACAAUGAUAUGACGAGGUAAGAUAGAUGAUGUGAUACCAUUCUCUCUCUUUCUCUUUCUCUCCCAUCUCCUCUUCUCUUCUCUUGUCUUGCCUUGGUGGAUGUGUAGUUUGUCUUGAUUGCAUAUUCUUUCAAACAAGGCGGCCAUAAAAUGGAAGCUGGGGUUGAAAUAAUGACACUACUGACUAUAUGUUAUAUAUAGACUUGAAAAUCUGAAUAAGCUUUACCAUUCAUUCAUUCAUUUGUAUGAUGUGAUUUAUGAUUCGUUUGUGAUGUUUGGUGAGUUGUGAUGAUUGUUUCCCAAAACUACUAGCUCGUCAUUAGCCUCGGAAAUCAAGUUCGUCUUAACCUUUCUCCUUUUCUUCAUCCCAGAUGGACUUUACGGAUGCUCCUCAUCUACCUUUCCCCCCCUCU
rnacentral:lncRNA from 1 species